rnacentral:lncRNA from 1 species
CUACCAUUUCUUAAAUUUAAAGCAUUCCACCAUUUAAUUAAAAAAAUUCGAAAACCCAUUAUAUACAAUACAAAAAGCCCACCGACACCAAACCAUAUUAAUUUAAAAUAAUUUUCAAUUGAGAUUUGAAUUUUAAAAUUACAUACACAAACACACCCGAUUUAAAAUAAUAAUAAUAAUAAUAAUGCUAACAAUAAAAAAUUUCAGCCGUCCUAUGUGUUAUCGCCAAAAACGGAUUUCCAAUCUAUUACAACAUGAGGUAUAUGGGUUAACAAGUCCCAAUAUUGUCCUCCAUCCUUUCUGCACUUCUCUUCUAUCAACGGACAUUCCCAGAUAUUUAAUUGCAAAAGUGAGGAAGGCAGGCCCUUCUCCGGAAAGUAUUUGAGCUUGGGACAAUCAUAGAGAUACAAAUGAGUGAGGUUUUGAAGAUCAACAAUUGAAGAAGAUAGGCGUUCCAGAUUUGGAAAAUCUUGAAUCCACAGAGACGUUAGAGAGGCAGGAAGAGGAAGCGCGGUCCCUAAUCUUUUGUCCUCUAGUGGAAAUGACACCAUCACCGUGUCGUCAUCACAUCCUUGGAUUAUGAGUUCUCGCAAAGAGGAGAAUCUGUGAAAUCCCCGGCCCCGCUCAAUCAUUGACUUCCAAAUCUCCAUAUUACCCCAAAUACAAAGUGACUGAAGGUUGGUGGGAAGGCCAUCUUCUUCAAGGCUUGGAAGCUCACCUCCUCUUCUUAUUGUUAAUUUUUGAAGAGAGGUCAGAUUGUGCAAUCCCUUGGGUAAGGCCUCUAGUCUCUCACAAUCAGAUAUCGUCAGCCUCCUGAGUUUCGCACAAGGCAAUCCCCCUUCGGGAAAGGACACCAGGUUUCCACAACUCCGUAUAGUAAUCCCUCGAAGCUGCCGGAGAUUAUGUAAACCACUCGGUAAAUUUUUUAGAUUUUCACAAUCAUCUACACUAAUUGUUUCAAGAGAUGUGUUGUUGUCCAACCUUUCUGCUAUUGACUCCAGCUUUGAACAUCCAUAAACACGAAGGGACUUAAGAGACGGAGGUAGAUUGCCAACUUCAAGGGACUCAAGCGUGGCAGGUAACUCGUUUUUUGAAAAUAUACAUGUCAGUGAUGGACAAUCCCUAAUUUCUAACUUCUCAAGAAGAGAUGAGGUGUACCUUCUAUUGCUGCUGCUUCUGCUACUCUGGAUGCCCUCUUCCACUGUCAAAGUCCUUAUAUUAUCGCAACACCAGAUCAUCAACUUCUUAAGGCUUGAUGGUAGCUGGACAGCAGCAAUAUAUGUCAACGAAUGGCAAUACUCAAUAUACAAGAUCUCCAGAGACGAAUUGGUGUCGCACAUCCAUGCCUCUGGUAACGAUUUCAGUGCAUCACAUUCCCCAAUCAGAAUUUUCUUCAACUUGGAAGGCAGAGCAACCUCAGGAAAGGAAACAAGGGAACUGCAUUUGUAGAUGUCUAUCUCUCUCAAGGAACUGAGGCUGAACGAUGAUUGUGGCAACUUCACAAGGCCUUCGCAUUCUCUCAAUCUUAGACAUUCAAGUCUGCAUGACAACUCGCGGAGCUGCUGUUGUUGGUCUUUCUCUUCCUCCGCGACCAAGGAUUGAAGUUUGGGACAACUUGUAAUCAGCAGUCUUUUGAGAGAGCAAAUGUCUUGCAGUAAUUCGUUAUGACUCUUCCAUAUAUGUGUUUCAUUUUUAAUAUUUUUUAUCUCCAAUUCUUCCAGUUUUGGUAUUCGCGGCUUCAAUGGCCCUGCGAGAAACACUUGAUUUGAUGUAUCUCUACAAACCACUGAAUUCUGUGAGCCGAGAUGAUCAGUUGCACUUCUCCACACAACCUUUUUACAUCCACGAAUUACCAAUUUGCAAAGAGCUGGAAGACUCCUAAUUGAAAUUGACAAUUCUUCGCAUUGUUCAAUAACAAGCAUCUCCAAUGCAGGAAGGUGCUCUGGAAAUGUUCCUUGCAGUUUAGAACAUCUUAAAAUGUGAAGCUCUCUCAAUUUAGGAAACCGUUCAACUCCCUGACUGGAUCCAUGAGGAAUCCACUCUUCCCACUCUUGCAGGUUUUCAAAACGAAGAGUCUCCAAGCAUGUAAAUGGAAUUUGAGAGUCAUUCCCAUAGAACUCUGAACCCAAACUCUUUACUCUACUCAUUCCACGCACUGCAAGAUGCUUUAGAAAGGAUAGUUGCCCGACUGACGGCAAGGUAGUACACACGCCGCAAUCUUCAAAUUUAAGUGUCACUAAAUUUGAGAAUGAGGAAUCUCCUAACCAUGUUGGAAAUUUUGUACCUCCAUAGCCACUGAUACAAAAUUGUUCCAGAUUUUCAUGAGGUUUUAGCAUGUCGAGGACAUCCUUUUCAGUUUCUGCCUCCCUUGAAGACAAACCAUUGGUACUCCGUGUCCAUCGAAACUUUAACACUUUAAGAUUCUUCUUUCCAUCCAACCGAGCCUCCUUUGCAUCACCAAUGUCUUUUACAUUCCCUAAAUUUGAAAUUUUAAGUGUCCCCUGAAGAUGUAUCAAUGACUUUAGCUCUCGUAACCCAGAACCAUUGUCUUUUCCCACAGCAAAAUUACUCAACGUCUGAAGACAAGUCAGCUUACCAAUUCCUACUGGCAUUUCCUCCAACGAAUCUGUAUUUGAAUUAUUGAGAUGAUGCAAUUUGAUGAGGUUUCCCGUGGCUGCACACAACUUCUUCAGUCGCCGACAGUCUUCCAACAGAAGGGUGUGCAAAUUGUAAAGCUUGCUGACUGAUUCAGGCAGAGUUUUAAUCUCAGUUCCAGACAGGUUAAGGUGCCUUAAAUACCUCAAAUCACCAACUGAAUCCGGCAGCUCGGAGAUGUGAUAUCCACGCAAAGAGAAGACCCUCAACCGUUGGAGUUUGAACAACUUAGGAAGAAUGCUAUGAGCCAAGUAUCCACGCGAACUAUUUGUCAACAUUACUGGUAAAAAAGUUCGCAAAUGUUGGAUAUCGUACAAGCCCUCAAACCUUUUAACGCCAUCACAUGCUCCACCAAUGUACGAUAGAUGACGAAGAUUUUUGGAAAAACUUUGUUGCUUGUUAACCUCUGAGGUAUACUCCAUUGUGAAGUACAUCUCCCCUGCAGCCCAAUGAGCAAGGUCGUUGACAAGGUCGUGCAUCACAAAUCGUGAUUUAUUGUUGCUUGAUUGCUGAAAAAAAGAUCUUGAACGUAGCUCUUGAAAGAACUUUCGACCUAGAUCUUCAUUAGGAUUCCCGCUCUCUUUGUGAUCCAAGAAACCCGAAGCACACCAUAAUAAAAUUAUCUCCUCCUCUUCAAAUUCAUAAUCCUUUGGAAACAAUGAGCAGUAUGCAAAGCAUUGUUUCAAAGGUGCCGAAAGAUAAUAGUAGCUCACUCUAAGCGCCGGUAUAAUGUCACAUCUCUCUUCUGGUAAAUCCCAUAUCUUGCAACUGAGCACACCUUCCCAAUCACUCCGGUCAAGUUUACCACGCAAGAGACCACCAAGAGUUUUCGCAGCUAAGGGCAAGCCGUUGCAUUUGAUCACUAUCUUCUUGCCAAUUUCCUCCAAUGACUUGUUUGAACUGAAAUCUCUUGUCCCCAAAGAGUGUUGAGCGAACACAGACAGACAAUCAUCAUUUGACAGCUUUUUCAAAUGAUAAGCCCGAGCAGUCCCCAUGAUGGCUGCAACCUCUUGAUUACGAGCUGUGACAAUAAUCUUACUCCCCGGUGCGCCAGCUUCAAACGGACGGCUCAUGUCAACCCAGUCAUUGUAAUUCUCAUUCCAAACAUCGUCUAAAACAAGCAAAAAUUUCUUUUGAGAUAACUUCUUCUUCAGCUCCUCUUGAAGCAAAUUUAAAUCACUGUCAUCAGUAGUCUGCUUAGUAAUGGAUCUUAGAAUUGUUUUUGUUAGCCUGAUAACAUCAAAAUCAUCAGAGACACAAGUCCAUGCCUUGAGAUCAAAAUGACCCUGCACUCGAGCAUCAUUAUAGACAAGCUGAGCGAGAGUGGUUUUGCCCAGCCCGCCCAUGCCUAUAAUAGGAAUAACAGAGAAUUCACCAUCAUUUCUCAAAUCAUCCCUCAACAACAAUUCAACAAUUUCAUUCUUUUCUGUUUCCCUCCCAUAUACCUUGGCUUCAGUCACUAAAGAGGUUGUGGGUAGUCUUUGCCUGUCUUUUCUGGACCUCCCAGCUGAACUUACGUUCAAACCGAGCGAGUCUUUCUGUGUUACAAUAUCUUGAAAUCUGUCGUUGAUCUCUUUGAUUUUGGACAUUAUGGCGUAAUCGAACUGAAUCGAUUGUGGAGUAAAAGUGGUGCAGCAAGUAGGAAUGAGCUUCUGAAACUUACUUGUUCUUGUACGACUGCUACUGGGUUGAUCCUGAGCCGCAGCUGGAUCUCCAUUUCCAAGCAGCAACUUCCUCCGGAAAGCCUCAGUUUGAAACUCAUCCAGCAAGUCUUCAACAUCAAAAGCCAAGUUCUGAAGCUCAUCAAGCCACAACUUCACAGACUGAUCAGUCUUCUUCUCCUCAGCAUCAGCAAGCACCGCCUUGAUCAUCACCAACAUAUUCUUCCACUUCUUUAGGUCGGCUUGGAUUUGCUCUUGGCGUGCAAACAGCCGAAUCCCCUCUGAAGCUAACUUACUGACCAGCAAAUCAACGGACGCCGUAAGGAUUGCCUCUCCGAUGAAUGACAUUUUUUGUUCUUUUUCUUUUUUUUUGGUUUUGCAAAGAAAGAAAGGAGCAGAAUUAUGGGUUAUGGAAAGCAGAAUGAGAAAAUGGAACAGGUGAGAAAAUGGAUAAUUAAGCAGAAUGAGUUUGUGAUUGUGAAGGGUCUGGCCCAGCAAGCUUAGUAGAAAUCACGCGUUUAUACUUUAUUGACCAAUGACUAAUAAUUUGGCAAUUCACUCAUUAAUAUUUAGCAAUUCACCAAUCAUCACCACUUGUUACGAAACCAUCUCAUAAACCAAGUUCGUAGGUCGAGCAGUUAAUCCAGUGUCUAUUUCCUAGAACCUUCAUCUCAUAAACAAGUUCAAUCAAAACGUUCCUCUCUCUAUUUUUUUUUUUUUUCAAAACUCCUAAAACGUUUCUUUUUAGAAAUAUUUUACUUUAUUCAUCUAAUAUGUUAUCUAACAAAUAGACACAAUUGAAAUCACUCUAAAGUGAAGAUGAAAGGGGAAAAAAAUAACCUUCCAACCACCAGUAAUUUAGCAAGCUUCACUUUAUUCCACCACCAAAGUGUAAAUAAAGCCAGCCCCCACCACCAUCAAUAAUUUUGUUGUCUUCUCCUUGACGAACUGGACAUGAGUGCACCAAGAAUUAAUGACAGAAUUUUAAAAAUAAUAAUAAGAGAAAAACCUACACAUUUUGGACUUAGAGUAGAACCAUAAUUAAUGCUAAAAUCUACUCAGCUAACAUUUUCAAAAUAUUGUUCUUUAUGAUUUUCAAAACCGUGAUUAAGGUUCAUCUCAAAUGUUUGAAGAGAGUCUAUCAGUUCUUCUACGUUAAGAAUAUUAAAAUUCUUACUUUUUCUUCAAACAUUGAAUAAUGAAAAAAAAAAUUGAAUAUGGAGGAAAAUAGAAUGCAUCCAUCUUCGCUGUAGAAGUCUUCUACUUAUAAAAGCAAGUUAGAAUAAACGAUUUUAAUCUCUCUUUUUAUUCCUGUAAGUGUACUAUAUUUUUUUUUUAUCUCAAUGCGAAAUCGUAUCAUAAUGUUAUAUUUCUGUUGUAAAACGAAAUUUUAAAUAAAACAAAUUCGACUUAUUUUUUAAAGGUAUAUAUUUAGUAGGUUACUAACAUAACUAACAAAACGUGAUUAUUACACUAUUUGUUUUUGUUUUAACUUUAUUAAUCAAUAAGCAAACAUGUAAUGAUUUGUAUAUAUCACUAGCAUCACAUUAUUAGGAGGUAUUGCGCUUAGUAUUCACAAUUUUUGUAAGAUGAAUUUGUAAGACUAAUUAAUUUUGAUGAAAAUGUAUUUGUAUUAAGAUAUUAUUUAAUUCAUUAAGUUAACUUGAGGUAUUAAUAUUCACUAAUUGUGGUGCUGAUUAAUUUACUUAACUUGUCACUAUUUACAAUUAAGAAUGAGGUUCAAUCAAUUUAUUGGGAAAAAAAACAAAGAUUUGAUUUUAAUUCUUAGGAUUUGAUUUCGCUCUCUUUCGCUUUUUUACGUUGCUAAAGAGGCAGUAAAAAGCUUGCUGAAUGUCAUCAAAUGCUUGUAUCUCAUCUCACAAAUUGGUAAUAUUUGUUUGGUAUUUCAUCUCAACGGAUGCAGUAAGGAUUGCCUCUCCGAUGACUGACAUUUUUUUUUCUUUUUUCCGGCAAAGACUGGAACAGAAUUUUGAGUUUCGAAAAGCAAAAUGAGAAAAUUGAGCAAUUCACCAAUCGGUCAAGCAAAAUGCGCGUAACAAGUCUUCCGCUUGUUGUUUAUUCCACUCAAGUGAAAAUAAAAACAGAGCCCACCACCCAUUAAUAAUUGAGCAAUUCACCAAUCACCAGUCACCACCACCCGUUACCAUGAAUAUAAUAAAUUGCACCUUGAUAUUUGCAGGGUCCGGCAACAUUGACCCAGUGUCCGGGUAAAUGCUGAAUAAAGAGGAAAAUGAAGUGUAUCCACUACGAACCCUCGCUUUACAAGUCUUCAAACUCAUAAACCAAGUUAAAUCAAAACGUUUAUCUCUCUCUCGCUCUUUUUGCCAUAUAAUAACUUUAUUUAUUAAAUUAAUUUCCAUGCUAAAAGGAAGACUUAAAAGUGCACUACAAUUUUUUAUAAUCACAAUAGUAAUUUCUACUAUCAUGUUAUUUUAAUGUCGUGUUAAAAUAAAUUAUUACAAAAUUUUUUUUAUGAACACUCUUUUCAUUUAUAAUUUUUAAUUUUUUUCUUACUCUUUUAGUCUUAGAGCCAGUUUAGUAAUGCUGCAACUUUUAAAAUAAUUAAAUAAAGCUUAUAACAGUAGAGCUUAUAGCAGAAGAACUUAUACCAAUGAAGCUUUUGAACAAAAAGUCAUUGGGUAUUUGAUUAUCAAUAAAAAAAAAUAUUUUUAAAUUAUUAAACUAUAUGAUAUUUUUUAUAUUAAAUAUUUUUUAGAUAAGCUCUCUAACCUCUAUUCCCAAAAGCUUAAAUUUUGGGCUUUUGCUAGUAAAGGUAAAUUAACUUAUUUAAAUUAAAAAAACUUUAAUAAAAAAAUAACUAAACACUAUAAAAAUUUUUAAAAAGUGCUUAUACGAUUAAAUAAAUACUUAUAUCUCUUAAAUAAGGCAUACCAAACAGUCACUUAAUAUUUAUAUUUCUCUUCAAAAUUUUUUUAUUAUUUAAUUUUUAAAUAAAAAUAUAAAAAAAAGUAAGAAAAAUAUUAUACUUACAAAAUAAUAAAUAUUUUAUGAAUUAAUACAAACUGUAUUAUUUUUUACGAUGAAAGAACACGCGAAAAAUCUUACUCAUUAAAAAUUUUGUGAAAGGCAUUUGAAUGUGUGGCCACAUUUUCCGAACGAAACGAUAAGGCUUUAGUCUUAUAAUUGCAAUUAGUUUGUCUUGUAACUAAAUUAUUGCCGACAAACACCAUCAUGCCGACAAACCGUGCAUGCACGUCCUCAAAGACUUUGACAUUGGGGACAAAGUGGUUGUAAGGGGUGGGGAUUAGUCAUAAGGUGCUUUGAAAUAAAUAGGUACUUGACAUUUGGCUCACUGAUUAUGUGUGCAAUAUUCCCGUAUUUCCCAUUACUUCCCGUACUUUAUGCUUUAUUGUUUUGUAUGUCUUUUGGUGUUUACGGUGCAGUUAGGGAUGGCAGCGGGUAGGGUCUGGUACGGAUUUGACAUCACCAGACCCGCAUCUAAAAACAAAUUUAAUUACUAAAUUCGCUAUGGGUUAUAUUUAAUUUUAUUUUUUUAACAAAGCCCAUUCACCGUGGGUUUGAUUGGUGCCCGGUAGAUAUUUUGUGAGUUCCCACGUAUAAAAUCACACUUGCAACAAAAUAUAAAAAUUUAAAUUACGUAAUUUAAAUUAUAAAUUUAUAAUUGUUGCUAAAAAACCACAUAAAAUAUUUAGUUCUACAUUUUAUUAACGUAAAUGAGAAAUGAAAAUAUCAACAUUAAAACAAAUAUACAAAAUAUAUCAAUUUAACACGAAUUUUUAAAUUUAAUUACCAAAUAAAUAAGCCUAUCACAACUCGAUGUGCUUUCAAUUGAAAAAGAAAAAAGAGAAAGAGAAAAAAAUAAAGAACUACAAAUCAAAGUAGCACCCAUGACCUAUUUCAUAGGCUCAUUUGACACUAAGAUCUUAGAAUUAAGAUCUUCAAUUCACUCAUUACCACUAGCACCCAUUCAAUGUAGUUUUUCUAAACAAAAUAUAAAGUACAAAAUUACAAUAAGCAUAUGAUACUCCAUACUUUAUGUUAAAGAUCCUUAUAUAAUUUUAUGACUAUUUUUUAGCGAAAUUUUAUGAUUAAAGUUAAAAAUACAAAUAUUAAAAUAAGAAUUUUGGACACUUGCGCAACUAUUUGCCAAAUUUUUUUUCUAUGAAAAUCCACCUGCAACUUGCAGCAAGUUUAAGUUUAUAAUAUCAAACUUGAUUGUAGCUCGCAAAAUUUUUGGAUUUGAGAUAAUUUUACCACCCUAAGUGUAGUUAGUAUUAUAUGUCGUGUGCUUCCAAUUGGCUCUUAUAAAAAGCCUAGGAGUUGUUUGAAUAAUGAUGGAGACAAAUAUUUCCCAAAAAUAUUCUCUUUUAACAUUGUGGCUUUUGGCUUGUCCAGAGAAAUUUAGGAUAGAUUUUGAUGUAUUAAGGCUCGUUUUACUAUUGAGAUUUUGGAACUUUUGAGCCACACUUGAAAUUUGUAUUAUUCUAAUAUGUGAUUGGUAUUAAUCAGGUGUUAUGUUUACAGCAGUUAAAGGCAUAUUGAAUCAAAGUCCACUUUUGAUUGAGAUUUUAAAGUAGGUUUUUAAUUUGAUAGCCACUCAAGUUCAAAUAUUGGAACCACAGUGCUUUAUAACCAAGUGGGAGAACUUCUAUCCUGAAAGUUGAGAGCUGCAGAUCGAGUUUUACUACCAACAAAAGUUGGUGUUAAGACUUUAGUUGCCCUCCUACUUAUGGAUAAGGGUAAUUAGGACUUUACAUCCCCUCCUACUAAUAGAUAGGGGUUACUAGGAAUAUUAAAAAAAGGUUCAAAUAUUGAAAAAAAUAGGUAUGGGUUAUAAAAUUCAUAAUACAAGAACAGUAAAUCAAGAUAAAAAUUUAAAAAUUUAGAACCAUGAAAGCGUAACUUGUAAGUUUCAAAGAAGCAUGUGCAAACAUAUGUGUAUCGAUACCCAUUAAGGGUGGGCAUUAAGAUCGGGUUAACUCGAACUGAACCUUAAAUUUAUUUUGGGUUCAAUUUGAUUUUGGUUGAACCUUUCAACUGAGUUAAAAACUUAUAAACGAUUGGGUUGUAUUUCUAUUCGAAUUUAACAACAAACUAAGCAACCUAAUCAACUUAAGUAAGCAAAUUUUAAAAAAAAAAUCCCAAAAAAUUAAAUCUAACCCUAAUUAAAAAAAAUUCAACCCCGGCCUCCUUCUCGUCUUCUUUUCUUCUUCUUCCUCUUGCUCACCCCUAAUGCCCCAUUAAUGGAAUUCCAACAGCUAGAAACGCGUUUCAGCCGCUUGCGCGUGUGUGAAAUUUUCCUUCCCAUAGGAUUGUUCGUUUCCUUGGCUUGCAUUAACAAAUUUGAAGAACAAUUAAAAAUUAAAAGAAAAUAAAAAGUGCUUUCUUUUUUAACGAUGAUAAUUUGUUCGGAUGAUGAAAAUUCUUAGAGUGGUAUAAUAAGUAUUUUCGAGUGUUGCCAUCGCGAAUAAUAUUUAAUUUCAUUUAUAUAGUUAUAUCUCAAGUAACAUUUAAACAGAAGCAAGUUGGAAAUUAAAAAAAAAAAAGAACCAUUGAGAGUAUGAAAAACUAACCAAAAAAAAAAAGUUAAAAAUUUGUAUCUCAAUAAAUUUACUUGAGAGCUACUCUACUAAUCCGUGAAGAGAAAACACAAAGAAUAAUGAUGUAUCUCAAUUAAUAGGACAAUUUUUGUAUUUUUCGUUUAUUCAAGAAUCAUGAAACUUCAUUUAAACUUGUUAUUUCAUUAAUAAUAUAUUAAUAUUGAACAAUUUAGGAGACAUUCCUUUCCAAUUAUGCCCAUGUAUUAAUUAAAAACCACAAAAAUGUUCAGGGAUACUAUAGUAAUUUAAGUCAACAAUUUCUGUGCUUCAAAUCAUCCUAUUAGACUCACUUCAGAAUAAACUGAGAUAUCAAAAUCACAUUCUCCAAUUCUACAAUUUCAAUUCAUCUUCAUAACUUCAACUGAAGAAUUGAUUGUAUCUCGUUUUAAUUUUUUUUUAUGUAAAGAUAAAUAUAAAAUAUAAAUGGCGAGGAGACUGGAAAAGUAAAAUCAAAAGAAGAGCACGAGUUUUAUUGAAAAUUACUCUUUUUCAUCAUUUUGCCGGAGUGAAUGUAUCUACAUUUAAACGAAAGAAGCACAUUUGUUUGUAUUAGCUUUUUUAUUGUAUUUUUAAUAAUAAGUCAUUUUUCAAUUAACUUAUAUCAUUUUUUACGAAAAUAAUAGGUGUUAGUUAGUUGAUUCAAAUGGCAAGACCUCUUGGGAUAGAGUUUGUAAUUUAGUGGCUUAUCAAUUGUUUAAAUAGGCAUUAUUAGAGCCAAAUUAUUGUAUUUGGUUAAAAAAGCUCCUACUUAGCUUACAACUUUAUUAUCCAAUUAUGUUUAUUAAUAAAUAACAAUUUUAUUGAAAAAAAAACAAGAUAUGUUGAAAUGAUACAAAAAAUUUGGGAUGUAAAUCUUACUCGAAUUUAGCUUGAGGUUGGCAUUGUUAGCAUAAUAUUUGAAGAUAGAUUUUUUAAAUUAAAAAAAAAAUUGGGUUCACACUAGUUAGUUUUAACUCAUAGUGAGAUUUAAACAAAAACGGAAUAAUAAAUCUUGAUAUCCUAACUCAUGAAUAACAUCUACAUAAAAUAGGAAAAUCUAUUGUGUCGAAAAUAAGGGGUUUGGAGUUUGAAUUUCGCUCACAUAGGUAGCAAGAGAAUCAAAUUAUUGUUAGAUUAAAUUAAUUAAAAAAUUAUCUGAUAUCCAAAACACAGCAUAUCAAAAAAAAUUGAAAUAAAGGAAAAUUGAAAAGCAAAACGAUUGAGAGAACGAAGAACUAACACAAGAAAAUGCCGAUAAUUAAUUGCCUCAGCGGCCACCAACUUAAUUAUGCUUAUUAAAGCCUGGGUUAUUUCAUUUUCAUUGAUAAUCAUUUUGACACCGGUCAAAUUUAAAAGUUUAAAUAAUGGGGGCCAUUUUUCUUUCCAGCUAUGCCCAUUAGCUAAUAAAAGAACCGCCGAAAGGGUUCGGGGAUAAUAUAGUAAUAUGAUUGAUAAUCAUUUUGGAGCUGAGUAUUCUUCGUUCCACAUUUUGGGUUUUGGUUGACCAUAUUUUAAUACUUUUCUGGAAAAUAAGUUUAUAUUUAUUGACUUGUAAUGGGUGCAACUCAUGUUUUUGAAACAUUAAGAUCUGGAAAAUGCUUCUCAGCGAGAAUGCUGAGAGAAUGCCGAGAGAAACGGCAUACAGUAAUGCCGUUUCUCUCGGCCCCACCCCCCACCACGUGAACUUUUGCCCCUUUUGUUUUUUCUUGCUACUUUUGCUUUUUCCACAUUCUCUCGGCGUUCUCUCGGCAUUCUUGACGUCUAGCACUCCUCGAAAGCAACAUCAUAUUUUAAUUACUUACACUAAUGCGGCAACUGCUGCUUACUUACACUAGUUAGUUUUUUUUUGCAACAUCAUAUUUUAAAAAUAUUAUUAUUAUUAUCGUCGUUAUUCUUAACAGCAAUGACUAGAAUUAUAAUAAGAACAAUAACGUUAAUACAAUAAUAUAACAACAUAAUAAUAUUUUAAUUGAGAGGAUAAGAAUGAAAUUAUGAAAUUUAGGUUGGAUAAAAAUGGUGAGUAUGAAGAAAUUAAAUUAUCAUUUUUUAAGCUAAACAAUUCAUAAAUUCCACAUAUUUCAUUCUUAUUUCUCUUAUAUUUUAACAAGUAAACAUUAUCAAUCGUUUUAAUAUUUUAAUUAAUAAACACGGCAUUAACUCGGGACUAAAAGAUCCCAAAAAAAAAAAAAAACACAGAGACGCGUGUAUGUAUUGCUUGUGACAAAUCUCACCCAUGGAAAACUUUGUGAAAGUCAUUUGAAUGUGUGGCCACAUUUAAUGAACGAAACGAUAACUAUAACAGAAAGUAUGUACUGUGUUCAUUAUUAGGCUUUAGCUUAAUGAUUGCAAUUAGUUUGUCUUUUAAUUAAAUUAUUGCCGACAAACACUAUCACGACCCACGUCCGCUACUUGUGUGAAUGUGUGUAUAAAUAUCCGCAGCAUAUUAUCAAACCUGAUGCGUGAUCAUCUUUAACUUUUGGUUAGGGUUCAUCAGACGUUGGAAGAUAUCUUUCCUAAUUUGAAGAAGAUGGAAACUCCUUAUCCAGGUUCUUAGGCCAUGUUCAGUUGAAUGUCAUUUAUAAUUUUUAUUUUAACAUUAUGUAUUUAUGAAUACAAUUAUUGUUAUGAUUUUUUCAGGUAAGAAUGGAUGGUCUGAGGGUAACCCAAUAACUAUGUACAGUAUUAUUAAUGAUGAGAGCGUGAAUGACAAUUUGGAUUUUAUUCUCGUCCCUCAAUACGGAAGAAAUCUUGACCAUAGAGGUUAAGUGCUAUGUAACUCUUUCGUAUUAUGUUUAAUUAAUAAUAAAAUGAUGGGUUAUUAUUACUUGUCAAUUAUGUGAGUGUCUUUGUUUGGUUUAGUUCAACUUAUAAAAUCUCUUGAGAUAUACAAGAGAUUUUCUUUAUUUAAUUUUGUGUACCGUGUCUUCUUGUAAAAAGAAAUUAAUAAAAAAAAUAUCAUCGUGUGCAAUGUAUUAACUAAGUUAGUGUAUUCAUGUUAGGUUAAUUGUGCUCUCUCUUCUUGAUAUUUAAAAAAAAAAAACUCCACAUAUUGUUGGUUAGCUAAUUCUUGCAGCUAGCAAGUGAUCCUUUUCUUUCCCCUACUGCCGUAGCAUCAAAUCCUUACAAUUACAUAUCAAGCGGUAUUCGAGCCGUCAAAUGAUCCAUAGAAACACGCAACAAAUCAAAUGCUGAAUUUUGCGAAGAGAUUCACGAAAUCCUUGCUAUACAUGAGUCUAGUUUUGACCAAGUUCACGUCACCCAUCAGCUACGGGUUUGAAUGGUACCUAGUGGAUAUUUUGUGAGUUCCCACUAAUAAAAUCACACUUGCAACAAAACUUAAAAAUUUAAAUUACGUAAUUCAAAUUAUAAAUUUAUAAUCGUAGCCUAAAAAAUACAUAAAAUACUUAAUUAUAGAUUUUAUCAAUGUAAAUGAGAAAUGAAAGUUUUAACAUUAAAAUAAAUACACAAAAUAUAUCAAUUUAACACAAAUUCUCAAAUUUAAUUACCAAAUACAUAAGUCUAUCGCAACUCAAAGUGCAUUCAAUUGAAAACGAAAAAAGAGAAAGAGAAAAAAAACAAAGAACUACAAAUCAAAGUAGCAGCCAUGACCCAUUUUGCAGUCUCAUUCAAUACCACUAUGUUACGGACCGCCCAAUUCGCUAGCCCAAUUGCCCACAAUUUCGGGCUAGAGAGCCAACACAAGGCCAAGAGUGCUAGCUUGGCCCAAUUCCGGAAGGUUCUAGGCAACUCUAGCACAUGUGAACAUGUAAAUAUUCUAGAAUACCUAAUACAAUUCCAGCACAUGUAAAUAGCUAGGAAAUUGUAUAAUAUUCUAGAGUUUGACCAAGUUUGUCAAAGUUAGGCAAAGUUAGGCAAAAGUUAGGUAAAGCCUCCCCUAUAAAUAUGGGAUGGCAUUUGGCAUUUGUAUCCAACAAGCAUUGUAAUCUCUCUUUGUGCAAUACAAGUUUCUUUGGCUCAAUUGCUCUCUCUUCUCUUGUUCGAGAAUCUCUAGGCUUACUUAGCAACAUUCGGCAAAGUUGUCUAAGUGCCGCACGGGUUAGCUGCGCAAAACACUCAUCCCGUGACAAGUGGUAUCAGAGCUAAGGUUUGCACGCACGCAAAUUAGCUCACGAAGCAAUGGCCAACCCUUCGAACGUAGCACAAGAGGGUGUUGUUGGUGUGGAUGUUCCACCGGAACCAAGCCGCGGCCGAGAGGGAGAACGCGCCCAAGGCAAGACUCGCGGCAAGUCCAAGGCCCUAUCCGUGGAUGCGUUGGAGCCUCGUGUAGGCACUCUCGAAAUAGCAUUGUCCGCCACUCAAGAUAGCCUCGUGGGAUUGGAGGAAAGAGUGGAUGGUCUCGAGGGAGAAUACGCCGAGUUCACGGUGGCCACAAAAGCUCUCAUCCAUGAGCAAGCAAACAUUCUCCGAGGUGAGUUUCGUUCUUUCCAUGAUGAGUUGCUCAAACUUCGUAGUUUUGUUCAGGACGAACUACGUGCUGUCCGUGCGGAAGUGGAUGAAGUCCGCUCGGAUUGGGCAUGGCACAAGCGCACACUCUCCACAAGUCCAGCUUCCGCAAACUCGAGUAAUGCGCGCCGCAUUGACGUGCCAAAGCCCGACACCUACGAUGGCACACGCAAUGCCACCAUCGUGGACAAUUUCCUCUUUGGGCUGGAUCAAUACUUCGAUGCCAUGGGCGUCCGAGAUGAGGCAUCGAAAGUGGGCACUGCACCCACCUAUCUUAGAGGCGCUGCACAACUAUGGUGGCGUCGCAAGUAUGGAGAGAUGGGCAAGGGCAUUUGCACCAUCGACACUUGGGCCGACUUCAAGCAAGAACUCCGAAAGCAGUUCGCCCCAAGCAAUGCGGAGAAAGAAGCGCGAGUGCGCUUACGUCGCCUCAAGCAAUCGGGUAGCAUUCGGGACUACAUCAACGAAUUCACUACCCUCAUGUUGGAGAUAAGCGACAUGUCCGACAAGGAUUCACUCUUCUACUUCCAAGAUGGCCUCAAGGAUUGGGCCAAGACCGAGCUUGAUAGGCGUGGUGUUCAAACACUUGACGACGCCAUUGCCGUUGCGGAGUCGCUCACUGAAUACUCUACCCAAUCCAAGGACAAAAAGGCCAACCAAGGCAAAGGUGGGGGAGAGAGUCGCAAGGACAAGGGCAACAACCGCAAAGAUUGGGGGCAGAAAAAGCCACCUAGCAACAAGAGUUGGCAAGGAAAAUCGGAGGGCAAGAAGGAGGCGCCAAAGCCGCGAAACCCAUGCUUCAUAUGCAAUGGUCCUCAUUGGGUACGCGACUGUCCGGAGAAGAGGUCGCUUAACGCUCUUGCUGCCCAACUCAAGAGCAACCCCACAAUGUCCACGGAGGAACCCCAACUCAGCAUGGGUUCUCUCCAACGCCUCGGCGCACUCAACCGCCAACAGCCCGCACUAGUCAAGAAAGGGCUCAUGUAUGUUAGUGCAAAGGUAAACGGCCAGUCCGUUCGCGCACUGCUAGACACGGGAGCAACACACAACUUCGUGUCCGUAGAUGAGGCCAAGCGUUUAGGCCUCAAGGCCACCAAGGAAGGAGGCACAAUGAAGGCAGUAAACUCACCCGCCAAGCCAAUUGCGGGAAUUGCACAAGGCGUGCACAUCACACUUGGUACGUGGAGCGGAAAGCUUGACUUCUCUAUUGUGCCCAUGGAUGACUUCAAGAUGGUCCUCGGCAUGGAAUUCUUCGACCAAGUCCAUGCCUUCCCACUGCCCGCUACCAACUCCCUAAGUAUCCUCGACGGGAGUAAGGCAUGCAUGGUUCCCACGGAACGAGGCAAGUCCGAAGAGAAGACACUCUCCGCCAUGCAAUUCAAGAAGGCUUUCAAGAAGGACCCAAGCUUCUUAGUCUCCAUUCGGGAACUAAAUGAGGAAGGAAAUAGCGGAACUUCGCCAAGCCAAGUCCCUCCGCAAAUUCAAGCCGUCCUCAAUAAGUACAAGGACGUGAUGCCUCCAGAACUUCCGAAGAAGCUCCCACCUCUGCGAGAGGUGGAUCAUGCGAUCGAACUGGAACAAGGCGCGAAGCCACCAGCCUUGGCACCCUACCGCAUGGCGCCACCAGAAUUAGAGGAGUUGCGGAGACAACUCAAAGACUUGCUGGACGCAGGCUAUAUUCGCCCCUCAAAGGCCCCAUUCGGUGCACCGGUCCUCUUCCAAAAGAAAAAGGAUGGAUCGCUGCGGAUGUGCAUCGACUAUAGAGCGCUCAACAAGAUCACCAUCAAGAACAAGUAUCCGAUUCCCUUGAUUGCGGACUUGUUCGACCAGCUUGGUAAAGCACGGUACUUCACCAAACUUGACUUGCGCUCCGGGUACUACCAAGUGCGCAUCGCCAAGGGAGAUGAACAAAAGACAGCGUGCACAACAAGGUACGGGUCUUUCGAAUUCCUUGUGAUGCCUUUUGGCCUUACUAAUGCACCCGCCACAUUUUGCACACUCAUGAACAAGGUGCUCCAACCAUUCCUCGACCGCUUCGUGGUCGUGUACUUGGACGACAUAGUGGUGUAUAGCACCACGCUCGAGGAGCAUGCCCAACACUUGCAACAAGUCCUCCAAGUACUUCGAGACAAUGAGCUCUUCCUCAAACUAGAGAAGUGCUCAUUUGCCCAACAAGAGGUGGAGUUCCUUGGCCACAAGAUUGCGGGCGGGAAGAUCAUGAUGGAGAAUGACAAAGUAAAGGCCAUCCUCGAUUGGGAGCCUCCCUCGAAAGUACCCGAACUUCGCUCAUUCCUUGGACUGGUGAAUUACUACCGCCGCUUCAUCAAGGGCUAUUCAGCUAAGGCGGCACCCUUGACGGAUAUGCUCAAGAAAAACAGAACAUGGCAUUGGUCCGAAGAGUGCCAACGUGCCUUCGAGAAGUUGAAGAAGGCAAUUUCGGAGGAACCAGUCCUCGCUCUUCCGGACCACACCAAGCCCUUUGAAGUUCAAACGGAUGCCUCGGAUUUCGCCAUAGGUGGAGUCCUUAUGCAAGAAGGCCAUCCAAUAGCGUUCGAGAGUCGAAAGCUAAAUGACACGGAACGCCGCUACACGGUGCAAGAGAAGGAGAUGACCGCAAUCAUACAUUGCUUGCGGGUGUGGCGACAUUACUUGCUUGGCUCACACUUCACGAUCAUGACGGACAACGUGGCGACAAGCUACUUUCAAACUCAAAAGAAGUUGAGUCCGAAGCAAGCCCGGUGGCAAGAUUUCCUAGCGGAAUUCGACUAUCGGCUGGAGUACAAACCGGGGAAAGCCAAUGUCGUUGCGGACGCUCUAAGCCGCAAGGCCGAAUUGGCGACACUUAGCAUGAGCCAACCGAAGUCUGACCUUGUCUUACGCAUCAAGGAAGGCCUCCAACAAGAUCCGCUAGCAAAGGAUUUGCUGGAGAAGGUGCUCGAGGGAAAGACAAGACGGUUUUGGCAAGAGGAAGGCAUCCUCCUCACCAAGGGAGAUCGGCUGUUCGUGCCAAGGUGGGGAAAUUUACGGAAGGAAGUAAUCAAGGAGUGCCACGACUCUAAGUGGGCUGGUCACCCAGGAAUUGAGCGCACCACCGCACUAGUCCAAGCCUCGUAUUUCUGGCCGCACAUGAGGGACGACAUCGAGGCAUAUGUGCGAACUUGUCUUGUGUGCCAACAAGACAAGGUGGAUCAUCAACUUCCAGCGGGAUUGUUAGAGCCGCUACCACUAGCAACAAGGCCAUGGGAGAGUGUCUCCAUGGACUUCAUCACAUCGCUGCCCAAGUCCGAAGGUUGUGGUAGCAUCAUGGUCGUUGUCGACCGAUACAGCAAGUAUGCUACAUUCAUUGCCGCACCCGUCGAUUGCAAAGCGGAUGAGGCAGCCCGCCUAUUCGUCAAGCACAUUGUGAAGCUUUGGGGAGUUCCGAAGAGCAUUGUGAGCGACCGAGACCCUCGGUUCACUGGGCGUUUUUGGACGGAGCUCUUCAAGAUGUUGGGGACCGAUCUCAAGUUCUCGACAAGCUUCCACCCACAAACGGAUGGGCAGACCGAGCGCAUCAAUGGCAUUCUCGAGAUGUACUUGAGGCAUUAUGUGAGCGCUCACCAGCGGGAUUGGGCAAAGCUACUUGACAUUGCCCAAUUUUCUUAUAACUUGCAGCGAAGCGAGGCUACGGGCAAGAGUCCAUUCGAGAUCAUCAUGGGAUUCCAGCCCAUGACCCCCAAUGCCAUAGCCUCGACUUACGGAGGGAAAAGCCCCGCGGCACACAAGCUCGCCCGCGAAUGGCAUGAGGAAGCGGACAUCACGCGAGCCUACCUCGACAAAGCCGCGAGGAAAAUGAAGAAAUGGGCGGAUACAAGGAGACGGCAUGUUGAGUACAAGGAAGGUGAUCAAGUCAUGAUCAAGCUCCUACCCCAACAAUUCAAGACUUUGCGGAAAGUUCACAAGGGGUUAGUGAGGCGCUACGAGGGACCCUUCCGAGUUGUUCGACGUGUAGGCAAGGUCUCGUAUCAACUCCAACUUCCGCCAAGACUCAAGAUCCAUCCGGUCUUCCAUGUGAGCCUUCUCAAGCCAUAUCACGAAGACAUGGGAGAACCAAGUCGCGGAGAAUCGAGGCGCGCGCCAACUGCCGUUGUCACCGCAUUCGACAAAGAUGUGGACUACAUCAUUGCGGACCGAACGGUUUCGAGGAGGGGCGUGCCAGCACAUAGCGAGUACUUGGUGAAGUGGAAAAACCUCCCCGAGAGCGAAGCCACUUGGGAACGGGAAGAUGAUUUGUGGCAAUUCGCUGAGCACAUCCAGCACUUCAUGCACGAAAGCGCGACGAGGACGCCGCGAGCUUAAGUGGGGGAGGAUGUUACGGACCGCCCAAUUCGCUAGCCCAAUUGCCCACAAUUUCGGGCUAGAGAGCCAACACAAGGCCAAGAGUGCUAGCUUGGCCCAAUUCCGGAAGGUUCUAGGCAACUCUAGCACAUGUGAACAUGUAAAUAUUCUAGAAUACCUAAUACAAUUCCAGCACAUGUAAAUAGCUAGGAAAUUGUAUAAUAUUCUAGAGUUUGACCAAGUUUGUCAAAGUUAGGCAAAGUUAGGCAAAAGUUAGGUAAAGCCUCCCCUAUAAAUAUGGGAUGGCAUUUGGCAUUUGUAUCCAACAAGCAUUGUAAUCUCUCUUUGUGCAAUACAAGUUUCUUUGGCUCAAUUGCUCUCUCUUCUCUUGUUCGAGAAUCUCUAGGCUUACUUAGCAACAUUCGGCAAAGUUGUCUAAGUGCCGCACGGGUUAGCUGCGCAAAACACUCAUCCCGUGACAACUAGCACCCAUCCAACACGAUUUUUCUAAACAAAGUAUAAAGUACAAAAUUACAAUAAGCAUAUCAUACUCCAUGCUUUAAGUUAAAGAUCCUUAUAUAUUUUUAUGAAUAAUUUUUUAAUGAAAUUUUAUGAUUAAAAUUAAAAAUACAAACAUUCAAAUAAGAAUGUCGGACACUUGCGCAACUAUUUACCAAAUUUUUUCUCUAUAAAAAUCGACCUGCAACUUUCAAUAGGUUUAAAUUUAUAAUAUCAAACCCGAUUGCAGCUCGCAAAAAUUAUCCGUUGCGGCCAAGACUUUGGAUUUGCGAUGAUUUUUCCACCCUAAGUGUAGUUAGUAUUGUUUAUCAUGUGGCUCUUAUAAAAAGCCUAGAAGUUGUUUGAAUAACGAGUGAGACACAUAUCUCCCAAAGAUUUUUUCUUUUUCAAAUUAUUAUGUUUUCUCUAUUAUUGUAACUUCGAAUCCUUAUAAAUUACAGAUUGGAGACAUGAACACAAUGUUUUGACAUAGUGGACUUUUGACUUGUCCAGAGAAAUUUAGGAUAGAUUUUUACGCACUAAGGCUCUAUUUACUAUUGAGGUUUUAGAACUUUUAAGCCACACUAGAAAUUUGUAUUGUUUUGAUAGAGUUGUAGUCUUUGAUAUGUGAUUGUUAUUAAUCAAGUGUUAUGUUUACAAUAGUUAAAGGCAUAUUGAAUCAAAAUCCACUUCUAAGGGCUUGAUUGAGUGAUUGUAAAGUAGGUUUUUAGUUUGCUAGCCACUCAAGUUCAAAUAUUGGAACCACAGAGCUUUAUAGCCAAGUGAGAGAACUUGUGCCCUAAAAAUUGAGGGGUGCAUAUCGAGUUUUACCACCAAUAAAAGUUGGUGUUAAAACUUUAAUUUCCCUUUUAUUGAUGGAUAUGGGUAAUUAGGAGUUUACAUCCCCUCCUAUUAAUAGACAGGGGUUAUUAGGAAUAUUAAAAAAAAGUUUAAAUAUUGAAAAUAUAGGUAUGGGUUAUAAAAUUCAUAAUAUAAAGACACAAAAUCAAGAUAAAGAUUUAAAAAUUUAGAACCAUGAGAGCGUGAUUUGUAAGUUUCAAAGAAGUAUGUGCAAAUAUAUGCAUUAUCGAUGCCCAAUUAAGGGUGGGCAUUAAGAUUGGGUUAACCCGAACAGAAUCGAACUUAAAAUUUAUUUGCUCACAAAUGGGUGGUUUGUGGGGGGGAUUCACUUGCUUUUGUUUGCAUUGCCUGAUUGGAUAAAAGUUUGUAGAACAUCGUCUGUUUGGUUAAAGCCGAGCAUGAGUGAAUAAAAAUUAAAAAUAAAUAAUUUUCCAUUAAUUUGCAACAAGUAUUAAUAAAGUGCAUGAGAAAAGACACCAGGAUAUGCUUUUUUUUUAAAAAAAUUAAAAUAAAUGUGUUAAUUAGUCAAUUUAAAUGGUAUGACAUUUUGAAAUGACAGAAGCGAUCUAAAGUUUAAAUCUCACUCACACUUAAUUUAGGGUUGGGGAUUAAUUGACGUAAUAUAUAAUAACGAAUUCAAAAGACAAUUAAAAAUUAAAAGAAAAUAAAAAAGUGCUUUCUUUUUUAUGAUGGUAAUUUGUUUAGAUGAUGAAAACUCUUAGAGUGGUAUUAUCAAUACAUAGUUUCUAGCGUUGCCAAUGUGAAUAAUAUUUAAUUUCCUUUAUAUAGUUAUAUCUCAACUAACAUUUAAACAGAAGUAAGUUGUAAAAAAAAUGAACCAUUGAGAUUUGAGAGAACAAAAAACUAAAAAAAAAAAAAGUUAAAAAAUUAGAUCUCAAUAAAUUUACUUGAGAACUACUUUACUGAUUAGUGAAGAGAAAACACAAAAAAUAAUGAUGUAUCUCAAUUAAUAAGACAAUUUUUGUAUUUUUCAUUUAUUCAAGAAUCACGAAACUUCAUUUAAACUUGUUAUUUCAUUGAUAAUAUAUUAAUAUUGAACAAUUAAUGUGGGAGACAUUCCUUUCCAAUUAUGCCCAUAUAUUAAUUAAAGAUCACCAAAAAGUUCAGGGAUACUAUAAUAAUUUAAGUCAACAAUUUCUGAGCUUGAAAUCAGCCGAUCAAACUCACUUUAGAAUAAACUGAGAAAUCAAAAUCACAUUCUCCGAUUCUACUAUUUCAAUUCAUCUUAUUUCUUCAACUGAAAAAUUGGUUGUAUUUUGUUUUAUUUUAUUUUUAUUUUUAUAUAAAGAUAAAUAUAAAAUAUAAAUGACGAGGAGACUGUAAAAGUAAAAUCAAAAGAAGAGCACAAGUUUUAUUGAAAAUGACUCUUUUCAUCAUUUUGCCGGAGUUAAUGUAUCUACAUAUAAACUAAAGAAGCACAUUUGUUUGUAUUAGCUUUUUUAUUGUAUUUUUAAUAAUAAGUCACUUGCCAAUGAACUUAUAUCGAUUUUUACGAAAAUAAUAGGUGUUAGUUAGAUUAUUCAAAUGGCAAAACCUCUUGGGACAGAGCUUGUAAUUUAGUGGCUCAUGAAUUGUCUAAAUUGACACUACCGAAUUAUUGUAUUUGGUUAAAAAAGCUCCUACUCUGCUUCAACUUUAUUAUCCUAUGAUGUUUAUUAAUAAAUAACAAUUUUAUUGAAAAAAAGACCUCUUGAAAUGAUACAAAAGAUUUGGGACAUGAAUCUCACUCGAAUUUAGCUUGAGGUUGGCAUUGUUAGCAUAAUAUUGAAGAUAGAUUUUUUUUUAAUUAAAAAUCAAAAGAUUUUUUUUUUUGGGUUCAUACUAGUUAGUUUUAACUUAUAGUGAGAUUUAAACAAAAAAGGAAUAGUAAAUCUUGAUAUCCUGACUCAUGGAUAAUGUAUAAAUAAGAUAGUAAAAUUUAUUGUGUCAAAAAUAAGAGGUCUGAAGUUUGAAUUUCGCUCACAUAGGUAGUAAGAGAAUCAAAUUAUUGAUAGAUUAAAUUAAUUUAAAAAAUUUCUGAUAUCCAAAACAGCAUACCAACAAAAUUGAAAUAAAAGAAAAUUGAAGAGAAAAACCAUUGAGAGAACGAAAAAUUAACACAAGAAAAUUUCUAUAACUAAUUGUAUCAGUGUGCGCCAACUUCACUUAUUAAAACAUGGUUAUUUCAUUUUCAUGGAUAAUCAUUUUGACACCGGUCAAAUUUAAAAGUUUCAAAAAAUAUGGGCGAUUUUUCUUUCCAGCUAUGCCCAUUAACUAAUAAAAGAACCGCCGAAAGGGUUCGGGGAUAGUAUAGUAAUUUAAACUAACAGUUUCUGUGCUUCAUAUCGUCAGAUCAAACUCACACCUCACAAACGCAGAGAAAUCAAACGGUUUCCGACUCUACGCUUUAAAUUCAGCUUCAUUUCUUCAACUGAAGAAUCGGUCGUCUCUCAUUUUUUAUUUAUUAUAUAAAGAUAAAUAUCUAAAUUUAAAUGGCGAGAAGAGCGGACGAGGAAUACGAUUACUUGUUCAAAGUGGUAUUAAUCGGCGAUUCGGGAGUCGGCAAUUCGAACUUACUCUCCCGAUUUACUCGUAACGAGUUCUGUUUGGAGUCCAAAUCCACUAUUGGCGUCGAAUUCGCCACCCGCACUCUUCAAGUAACUAACUUUUCCUCUUUCCCUUCACUUCUUUUUUAUUAAUUAAUUAAUUAAUUAAGAUCCAGUUAAUGUAAUUAAUUUUAUUUAAUCUUUUAAAUAAAGUUCUAGAUUAGGCUAACUUAGAUUCAUGUGAAGUUGAAGUGAUUUACUUUCGAUCUCUUUUUCGUCCUAUGUUUAUUUGUACUUACUAUUACUUUUUUUUGGGUUUAAAUUUUCGUUUUUGAAGUGUUUACUGAAUAAAUUUCUGAGCUUUAUUUGUGUAUGCUGAUUGAUUUGUGAUUUUAAUUUUGUGACUUUUUUUUUGGAAUUUAAAUUUGAAUGCUUUUUAAGUUGAAUCUGAUUGUGUUGGGCUGCGAUUUAAUUAAGUCAUCUGUGAGCGCCAAAUUGUGAUAGCUAUAUAUUGGGGUGAAAAUUUGGGAUUUAAAGUUAUGUAUUUAAGAUGCAGUUAAUUCGCAAGUGAAAAUUAUGGGCCGGCAGAUUUUGUCAUUGGAAGACUGUUCUCCACAUGUUGAAGUUAGUGAUGCAAGUUGAAACCAAUCUGUUUAAGCUUGGGGUUUCAUGUCUUGAAUCAAGGCUGUGACUUGGGGUGGGUUGAAAGUAUUAUAGCUUUAGCUAUUCCUGAAGUGAUCUGUUUAGACUCACCGUGAUGAGACCGAGUGCUGUACAGUAAAAUGAAAGGAAGUUGGAAAAUAUUUACUUAGCAUUUCGCGUUACUAAUGUUGAACUAAUAAAACCUAGCCCCUAUCCUAGUGAAUUUAUCUUAAAAUAAUAGCAAUAAUAAGUGGACAAAGCUAAGUUCCAGAGGUGAGAUAGGAAAUUCUCCCGCACAACACAGCACAAACAAACUUUCCCUUUCAUUUUCUUUUCUUUUCUUUUUCUUGCUCUCCAAACAGAGCAAAAGUAACGUCGCAAGAUUCUUCACUUCCAUCCAAAAUCAUGAGCAACGAAUAGCGAGCCUCCCUGUUUCCUUCCUUUUUUUGAUAUUAACAUUGUUAACAUCUACUCAUUUUCAUUUGACAAUACUUCAAUUUUUUUAAUUUUUGGCUUUUCAUUUUUUUUUGUUGCUAAACCGAUUAUCUGUUCAAGCUGUUGCUUAUCGGAGACUCGUCCAUCGGAAAGUCCUGCCUGCUGCUCCGAUUUGCUGUCUGUUGACUUUUCCUUUUCCUCUUUAUUUUCUUUUUUUUUUUAUAUAAAUUACUUUCUAUUUUAGCUUUUUGUUCUUUGAAUUUGUGUUAUUAAAAUGAUAAUUUAGAUGGUAAAUAAUUGUUAUUCUUGGAAAUUUCAGUUUUCAUUACGUUAAUUACUAGUUUUUAGGUUUAUUAAUGUAAUUUUUUUUUUAAUUUUUCAGGAUGAUUCUUAUGUCGACAGCUACAUCAGUACCAUUGGAGUAGAUUUUGUGAGUCUCUCUUCUAUAUAUAUGUAUAUAUGUGUAUAAGUUAUAGUAUGAGUCUAUGUACGUGUAUGUAUGUAUGUGUAUGCAUAUGUGGAAAGAAAUGUUGGCAGACUUCAGCAUUUUACUUUUUUUUUUUUAAUUUUGGCAGAAAAUAAGAACUGUGGAGCUGGAUGGGAAGACGAUCAAACUGCAGAUUGUGAGUCAAAAUUUCCUUUUAUCCUGUAUUGAGAGAAAUUCGACUUGUCUUAUUUAGUGAAGGUUAUGUUCAAGAACCUUGUGUUAUUUUCUUUGUUUGAAGAGUUAUAUGUCUUUUAAACAUCAUUUAGGUAAUGUCUGAUGUUUGAUUGUUUUUCAUCUGUUUAGUGGGACACUGCUGGACAGGAGCGAUUCAGGACUAUAACUAGCAGUUAUUACCGAGCCCAUGGAAUCAUAGUAAGGAGCCUUCCCUGUUCUUGGUUUAAAUCAGAAAGUUUGUGAUUUACAUGUGACAUCUUAACAACAUUGUAUGUGUUUAUUAACUUAUUUUUCAUCUUUCAUUAAGCAGUACAUUUUCCAAUAAAUCUGUAUACAAGAUGAUGUAGUCCAAGAAUGGGAGCGAUAAUAUGAUGCAUAUUGUCUAAUAAAUUCUUAUGACAUAUGAUGUUGUCGGAAGUAAAAGUCUUGCAAUGCUGUAUUCUCUUUUAAGAAAGAAUAAGUGAUACUUUUGUUUUUCCAAUUUUUUAAUUGAGCAACUGUGUGAGAUUAAUUAAAUGUGUUUGGAUUUCAACAGAUUGUCUAUGAUGUAACUGAGAUGGAGAGCUUCAAUAAUGUCAAGCAGUGGUUGAAUGAGAUUGACAGAUACGCAAAUGACAGUGUAUGCAAGCUUCUAGUUGGGAACAAAUGCGAUUUAGCUGAGAACAAGGUUGUGGACACAUAGACAGCCAAGGUAUAUUCGUGACUUCUGUCGCCUGAACUUUGAACAUAAUUUUAAGCUCUUCUCAAGUGCAUUUGCUUGGUAAGUUUCUGCAUACCCAGGACGCUCAAACUUUGGACAUUUUGUAUCUCGAGUUGGAAUCUUUUCUGUCAAUACAACUUGUUAAAAUAAGGGUUAUUAUCGUUUGAAUCCUUCAAGAAUUGCAAUAAAUCUAAAGUCCAUAAAAAAUAUGAUUCCAUCAUUUUACUAUUAUAUCCAGACAAAACCCAUUAUUUUACUACAUUUCAUUAGCACCGAUAGUUGACCUGUUGGCUGACUGAUAAAAUAUCAAUUUUGCACUUUAUAUUAAUUCUUUUUUGGUUAAAAAAUAACACACAAAGUAUUACAAUAUUAUAAAUUCAAAAUAUAAAGUAGCUACAAAUAAUUGCUAUUAGCCUAUGAAUUUAAUAUUUGAUACCUCUAUUUGUGUAAUUUUUUUCCAAGAGUGAAAUUGGUAUUUUUUUUGUACUAACGGAAAUGUAGUAAAAUGAUAAGUUUUGUAAAGAUAUAGUAGUAAAAUGAUAGGCUAAAAUACUUCUUGUAGUUGUUUGAUAUAUUGUAAUUCUUAAAGUAGUCAAUUGAUAAUAUCCCCUAAAAUAAAUGUUCGUAAUAUGUUCUCAUUUUAAUGCAACUGAUUGUUUAAUAAAAUUGUAUUUCUUUGUUAAUCUUUUUUCAUGUGCAUGCUCAGUGAGAAUUUGACUUACUAGAACACAAGUUUGACUCUUCAUUUAAAUGUCUCUUGUAUCAUAUCCUUCAAUGUUGAGUGUGAUUCCAAUAAAAUUGAGUAGGGGGAUCCUUAAAUACCUUUUCCUAUUUUCCAAGGGCCUGCCAAAUUGCUCUAAGUGGUUCUACCCUUUAUCAAUGAAUAAUGAAAAUAAAAUUUUUAUUAAAGCAUUUUGUUCCUUAAAUGGUGACUAAUAGUACCCCUUUUUUUGGAGAGGAAAGCCAAACAUGCCCAAAGAGAAUCAUUUACUUUCCUCUAAUGUAUUUUCUAAUUCGUUUUGAGCCUUGAAUGUCUGUUUUGGUGCGUAUUCUCAUUCCAUGUCGAAUCUUAUCCAUAUGGACAACCCCACUUACAAAAAAGUCUAAUGAAUCUAUUGAAGUUCAUAUGAGGUUUGUGCUUUAGAUUUAGACCUCUCUCUCUCUCUCUCUCUCUCUCUCUCCACUUACAUGUCUUUCACUUACCUGUUUGCAUGCAUGCCCAUUCACACACUUUCAAGAUAAUACACAGUCACUCGUACUUGUGUUUUGGUUGAAUUACUGGCUGCUAACCUCUGUAAUUCAGUUUGAAACUUGCCACCCUUAGUGCUUCACUCAAAUGGUUGGUUAGGGUGAGAUCUGUAUCGUUUUCCUGGUCUCUUUCCAAGGUUAUCUAAAGGGAUUUGCCAGUCUGAUUCUUUUGGGAAUAUCAUUGCAUAAGAUAUCUAUUGUUUGUUAAUGAAUAAUUUCUAUUUAACUAGUUAUCUAUAUAAAUUGGUCAAUUUUAACUGCAUAAUUUGCAUGCAAUAAGAUUUUAUAAGAAUCUUGUUUUCAACUCAUGACUUAGACUAAUGUGAUAUGUUGAGCAUUAAGCUACAAGAUCUGCACAUCAAAGUGCUUCACAAUGUUAAGGAGAAAGCAUCUUUUUCUGCUUCUUCAUCUGAUUUAAAGUUUCCAAGGUACUUAUCCAAUAAAAUAUCCUUCAAGACUUUGGAAAUGCUUUUAUGUAUGACUGAGAGAAACUUGUUGGGUUGGUUUUUAGCAACAGACGGAGUUAUGGACUUUGUGUUGACUUGUUAUUGAUUAAGACAGUACAUCGGCUGAUCUAUUGGCAUCAAGCAGCAGAUGCAGAAAUUAUGGGUGGCAUACCAUUGUAUCCAAAUAACAUACUACAUUGAUUUUUCUGACUUUCUGUUGGUCUCCGAGAAAUGCAGGCAUUUGCAGAUGAACUGGGGAUUCCUUUCCUGGAGACGAGUGCCAAAGAUGCAAUCAAUGUGGAGCAGGCUUUCUUGACCAUGGCUGGCGAGAUUAAGAAAAAGUAAAAUCACUUAACUCUUUCCUUCUUGCCGACUGUUCUUAUUUAACAAUCACCAUUAUUGCUGGUUAUAUGCAUUGUGAUGAAAAUUCUGCAAUGAGUAACUUUUUACCUAAUGUUUUCUGUUGGAACAAAUUACUCUGGUAGAAAAGCCCUACAGGGUUUGAGAAAUCCCAUGAUGUGAUGAUUGUGAGCAUUUUAGACACCGUGUAUGGGUUUAUUUUGUGACUAUAAAAUGUUAAGAUUGUUUCUAGUUUUGGUUUGUAGUGCAUAAAAGGAUUCAAAAUUUGACAUCUGUCUAAAUCAGAUUAAUAACAUGAUAAUGUACCUAUGCAAGAUGUGAGGAAUUGUUUUAUCUCACCCCUAAACUUUAAGAAAUUGAAACAUUAUUAUUCAAAAUAUUUAACAUUUCCAGAAUUGAUAGUUGUCUAUUUGAGCAGUGACUGGUGGUUAUCAUGAACUGAUGUGUGGUUGUGGUUUCAAAUCUUGGUGAAACCUGUUGUCAUAUGCUGAUUAACAUAGCUAGUCUCUGAAACAAUUUGUUGAUUCACUAAUUAUGAGUUCAAAUUUGAUGCAGAAUGGGCAACCAGCCUUCUGCAAACAAAUCUUCUGGAACAGUUCAGAUGAAGGGAUAGCCAAUCCAGCAAAACUGCAACCGCUGUGGUUAGCCGAGCAUCUUAUUUUACUUCUACAUGUUAGCUGACUGAUUGUAGACAGUUUUAACUAUGUUGACUGCAUUAUCUUAUGAAUCUUUUAAUCUGUCAAAUAUUUAUUUCCUGGUUUAAGUUCUUUCCCGUUUAUAACAAAUUUAAUUUCUUGCUCCAUUGCAUUCCAAAUUCCUGUCAAUUUACGAGGGAAAAGGAAAAGAGAGACAAAAUGGGAGAAAAUGGUCAAAUUUGUUAGGGGGAGAGAGCUGUUCAAGUAGUUUUUGUUCUCGUUUAUUGUCAUAUCGGAUGGGUAAAGUUACCGAAACAGCGUCAUUUUGGGUGAAUUAUCAUAUUUAUGUAACACUUUUGAUAAUAUUUUUAUGCAACAAAAAAAUGUUAGUACCCUUUUCACAUUGUGAAGCGCAUGAUCGGAUGAGAGCAGUCUGUAUUCUGGCAUCACAAGCUAAUGCUUUGAUUUGCUUAGUUUGUUUUUUUUUUUUUCAUGGAAUUUGGAGAUGUUGUACAUGUAUGAAGAUGACGUAAUAAAGUUGCUUUGAUAAAUUUCCCUGGUCGGUUUACUUCACUAACCAUUAAUGCGCAAAGCCUCCUAAUGACCCUAAAAAAUCCCGUACAUAAUUAAAGAAUUUCAAUUUUAUACGUACAAAAAUAAAUAACUCUCAAAUAUAUUAUUUGAUAAUUCCAAAAACAGCAAUUCAUUCUAAUAAAUCUCGUAGGAAAUACAUGGUCUAUAUUGCAAGUUUUUUUUAGACUAAUUCAAAGAGAAAAUAUGAAGGACAUAUAAUUGUCCUUUAAUUGUCAUAAAGAACUCUAAAUAAAUUCUUAUACGCAUUGCAACUAAUUACAGCCUUGAUACUUCAUUUGGUUUUUGUUAAUUUUCUAUACAGUUGUGUUGUGCAUAAAAGUUUUGUUAAAUGAAAUCGGUAGGUGAGGGUUAAUUAAUCAAUUAAUUAAGAUCCAGUUAAUGUAAUUAAUUUUAUUUGAUUUUUUUAAUUCGAGUUCUAAAUUAAUCAAUGAAUUUAGAUUCAUGUGAAAUUGAAGUGAAUUAGUUUCGAUCUGUUUUUCGUCCUAUGUUUGUCUGUGUUUACUCUUACUUUGUUUUUUUUGUUUAAAUUUUGUUUUCUUAUUGUUUACUGAAUAAAUUUCUGAGCUUUAUUUGAGUAUGAUGAUUGAUUUGUGAUUUUAAUCUAAAUGUGUUGGGCUGCGAUUUAAUUGAGUGAUGUGUGAGCGCCAAAUAUUCAAUAACUGAUAAAUUAUAUUUAUAAAUAUUAAUAGCGAUGGCACAUAAACAAUUAAUUCAAGAACUUGCCCAUAGUGAUUAAUUUAAAGAGUAUAAGUAACAUCGCAAUACAGUCUAGCCCUUACAUGUUUAAUUAGCAAUUGAAAACUACUGUUGCUGAUGAGGUAGAACAUUAUAACACUGUUGCUGAUGAGGCAGCUGGUAAUUCUUCUGGUGAAGAUAUUAAGACUAUUAAAGCUGAAAUGUAAUUAGAGAAAUAUAAUGCAUUCCCUUAGUUUGCUUUUUGUUUUUUAUAUUUGUUUGGCUAAUGCUUUGCUUAGAUUGCUUUUUGUUUUUUGAGAUUUUAUUGGCUUAGUCGUGGGGUAUUGUUUUCUCUUCUAAUUUCUAUUUUUGUUGUUAUGGGAUUUGAUUGUGGUGUACAUAUACGAAAAUUAUGUAAUCAAAUGCUUUCAAUAAAUUAUUUAAAUUAGUUUUCAACUGAGAUUUGAAUUUUGAAAUUACAUACACAAACAAGCCCAUUUUUUUUAAAUACUAAUAAUAAAAUAUUUCAUUUUUCAUCUAUUACUACAAGAGGUAUAAUCGCAAAAGUGAGGAAGGCAGUCAUCCUCUGUUCAAUUAUCAAAAACUCCUUUUACCAUCCAUUUGAACAUACACAAACACGCCCAAUUUGAAAAAAAAAAAAGUAGUCAUUUUAAAAUAUUUCAAUCGUCCACUGUUCAGUCACCAAAAACUCCUUUUACCAUCCAUUUCAACGCCUAAUUUGAAAAAAGAAAAUACUAAUAAUAAUAAAAUAUUCUAGUCGUCCAUCCUUUUACAAAUCAAAAAUAUCACCAAAAACCAAUUUCCAAUCUAUUUCAAAACAAAUUUUGCCAAAGUCCUCCUCGGCUAAUUAAUUCAUACAUUAAUACAGUCCUCCUCUGCUGAAUAAUGCAAACCCGUUACGUUAUUCUACCAUUUCUUAAAUUUAAAGCAUUCCACCAUUUAAUAAAAAAAAUUCGAAAACCCAUUAUAUACAAUACAAAAAGCCCACCGACACCAAACCAUAUUAAUUUAAAAUAGUUUUCAAUUGAGAUUUGAAUUUUAAAAUUACAUACACAAACACACCCGAUUUAAAAUAAUAAUAAUAAUAAUGCUAACAAUAAAAUAUUUCAGCCGUCCUCUGUUCGGUCACUAUUCACUAAAAACCAAUUUACCAGCUAUUACAACAAGAGGUAUAUGGGUUAACAAGUCCCAAUAUUGUCCUCCAUCCUUUCUGCACUUCUCUUCCAUCAACGGACAUCUCCAGAAAGUAUUUGAGCUUGGGACAUCCCCUGAGAAACAAUGAAGUGAGGUUUUGAAGAUCAACAAUUGAAGAAGAUAGGCGUUCCAGAUUUGGAAAAUUGAAAAUCUUCAGAGACGUUAGAGAGGCAGGAAGAGGAAGCGCGGUCCCUAAUCUUUUGUCCUCUAGUGGAAAUGACACCAUGUCCUCAUCACAUCCACUGAUUAAAAGAUAUCGCAGAGAGGAGAAUCUGUGAAAUCCCCGUCCCCGCUCAAUCAUUGACUUCCAAAUCUCCAUAUUACCCCAAAUAUUAAGUGACUGAAGGUUGGUGGGAAGGCCAUCUUCUUCUUCAAGGCUUGGAAGCGCACCUCCUUUUCCUAUUGUUAAGUCUUGAAGAGAGCUCAGUUUGUGCAAUCCCUUGGGUAAGGCCUCUAGUCUCUUACAAUUAGAUAUCGCCAGCCUCCUGAGUUUCGCACAAGGCAAUCCCCCUUCGGGAAAGGACACCAGAUUUCCACAACUCUGUAUAUCAAUCUCUCGAAGCUGGUGGAGUUUAUGUAAACCACUCGGUAAAAUUUUCAGAUUUUCACAAUUAUAAAUACUGAUUGUUUCAAGAGAUGUGUUGUUGUCCAACCUUUCUGCUAUUGACUCCAGCUUUGAACAUCCAUAAACAAAAAGGGACUUAAGAGACGGAGGUAGAUUGCCAACUUCAAGGGACUCAAGCGUGGCAGGUGUUGAUGCGAGAUUCCGGUUCUCCUCGUUCCACGACCAGGAUCUCUGCUCGAUCAACUUCUCCACGACCAGGAGGUCUCCUAGUAAUACUUCUUCUCCAGAUGUCCCUGCACAAACAGACAAGUCAGAGUACGCCGGUUGUUCCCCCGGCGCAAACCCUCCGACGCUCAAGUCAGAUAUGAAGGUUCAGGGAACGCUUGCCACAGGUCUUAUGGCUUUUUCGUGGUUUUUCUCUAAUCUCAAAAAUGCCAACCCUUUUACCUUCGUUGGCUACCUUUUUAUAGGCUUCCUCUGAAUCUCAGUCUUCCGCUCUUUUCGAGACGGUAUGGGACUCCAACUGCUGCGUUAUGGGCAAACGUGGGAUCUAGCGUGUUACGCCACGGUUCAGGGGAAAGCGUGGCUGUCAUGGCUCUGUGAGACCUUGCGUGUUACGCCACGGUUCAGGGGAAAGCGUGGCUGUCAUGGUUCUGUGAGAUCUUGCGUGUUACGUCACGGUUCCGGGGAAAGCGUGGCUGUUGUGCCUAGAUUCUCGUGCUGGAGAGCACGUCUUGCCAACUGCCGUCGACCGGGUCUCCUCGCCUCUCGACCUCUAGCCGGGAUGGCCUUAUGCCUCUUAUAGGAAAUUGGCCUCGCGGAUGACAACAUCGUGGACGAGCAGGAUAUUUCUGCUCCUGUUCUUCCACGCACCAGGCUUUAACGGAACACACCGGUUCGCAGAACUCCGCCAUCAGAUAUCUGCUCGUCAUUCCUGGUCCCGUCGACGCAUUUAUCCCAAACAGUAUCUCUCCCAAACACCGGUCCCCCAGUUUCUGGUGUUGGGUAAUGUAGUGGACCAGCAGUAGAAACUCGAUAGUACUCGCUCGCGUGGGAUUGGAAAAGGCUGCCAAGAGUCAUGUCGCAUUUAAUUGCGGACGAGGUGACGUGGCAGAAAUCCCGCCCUCCAUUUGAAUUUCAAACCGACGGUUACCAGAUCCUCGGGAUUCGGCGCGGUUAUAUGCUGGCAACCCAAGAGUCUGUCCUCAUUUGGAAAGCCGAAUCCUCUCGAACGGCAUAUUCACAAUUCACUCCGUCUCUGUCUCUGUUUCUCCGGCGAAGAAGUUCCGGCACAAAGCCCCCAUCCUUGCCUUUCUCCGAUUGGAGCAGUACUUCAGGUAUUACUUCUCUCUCCUCGGUCUCGGAUAGUUUGUAGAUAACUUCUUUUUUCUUUCGUUUGGGUGGUAGUUGGUGGCGUUGUAGUUAGAGUUUAGGGAAUGCCGAAAGGCAAAGAGAAGGUCAUUGAGGUUGAUGACGACGAGUUGGACUUCCUACCUAGUCUGCUCGCUGAUCCCGCUUUUGACCCCGGGAUCCCCUUAGAGCCCAUUAGGUCUAGUGUUGGUACUAGCGCUAGGAGGAUGUCUCCCCAAACAACCUCCUCGAGCGACAGUAGCGAUGAAGAAGGAUCUUCUGGAUCGGAGAACACCUUGAGUGAGGGUCAAGGGGAUGAUUCUGGUGAGGCGUCCCCCUCAGGAGCGCCGCGACCAGAAAGGAGGAGUAGAAUAGGAGGUAGAGCCCUAUCGCGGGAUUACGCUAUUGAUUACAUGACGUGCACGACCACGUUUGAUGAGCUCGAGGACCUCCGGCUGAGGUAUAGCAUUCCUGGUGAAAUACAUCUCAAGGUCCCAGGAAAGAAGGAUGCUCCCAGCCGCCCUCCGAGGGGACAUGUUACCCUGUAUCUGGACAGCUUUAAGUACGGGCUGAGGUGUCCCUUGCAGCCUUACUUUGCCCGGAUACUCAACGGGCUAAAUCUGGCUCCUGGUCAGUUGAAUCCCAAUGGGUGGAGAGUGCUCUCUGGUCUGUUCAUUUUGUGGGACAGAUGUUGCCAAAGCGAGCCCACGGUUGAUGAGGUGAAGCACCUGUACCAGCUAAAGAGCAGCCCCAAAGAUGCCGGCUGGUACUACUUCCAAUCUAGCACCAAGAGCAGGAAACCUAUAACCGACCUCCCUACUGGUGGUGGCGGGAAUUGGAAGAGAAAGUUCUUUUUUGCUGGGGGUCCGUGGGGUCAGGUCGCGCAAACGGACGGGAAGGAUUAUCGGGUCCCACCCCGUUUCACGGUCCCAGGUUGCCUGCUCGCUUCAGAUGCCUUGUAUCCAUACUUGUUCUUGUUUUGUCGGCUUGUUUCUAACCAAGUGUCUUGUUUGUGUUGUAGUUUCUUGGGGUGUCCACUUCCCGCUCGGACCUGAACAGCUCAAACGGGUCGAAGCGGUGCUGGCCAAUUCUUGCUCGACCCGAGAACUGCUAAGUACAUACAACUUGCUCGAGUCUCGCUUGAUACUCCCUGGCCAUAAGAUGGAGGACGCUGUGAUUGGGGCUCUGACCCGAAAACGUUCUCGACCUUCAACCACGAAGAGGGAUGAGAGUAAGGAUGCCCCUACUGCAAAGCGGGCCAACAUCGUGCAGCAGGCUCCACCCUUGAAGAUUUUACCUCCUGCUCCUGAAAAAGUUGGGGAAGCUAGUGGAGCAGCCACAGAUCCCGCCACCUCUUCUCCUCCUGUCGGGCCUCGACCUCGCUUACCUGACAGCCGAGCAGAACCUCUGGUCCCUUACCUCAAUGAGUUAGCUAAACUCGUGAGCAAGGAGGAGCUGGAGGACUUUGAUGGCCGCACCUUGGGCGAGCUGGUGGGGGCCAUUCAGCAUAGCGCCUUCCACCUCAGCUGCAUGGCCACCUAUUAUAAGGCUAAAGUGGGCCGUUACGACCGGAAGAUGAAGGGGGACAUCCAGUCGGCGACGACCAGGGCCGACGUUGCCGAGAAGAAAGCAGGGGAGCUGAAUCUCGAGAACCUGAAGCUGGUAGAGCAAGAAUCGCUUGCUCAAGCAAAAGCCAUUACCCUUGAGGGGGAGCUCACCAAGGUCAAGGAGGAUCUGCAAAGGCAGAAGGCUAUGUAUGAGGCUCAGCUCGAAUCUCUCCGCGACUCCCACCGAGCUCAGGUCGAGAACCAUCGAGCUCAAGUCGAGAACUUGGAGAGGGAGGCCGACAACCAGUACGACCAGGGACUUCGGCAUUCCUAUCGUUGCAUCAUGGCCGUCCUUGCGAAGCAACACCCUGACCUGAAGAUGGAAGACCUUGCAGCUGGUGUUGCCCAGCAUAUGGAUGAGGAGGCGGCCAAGGAAGAUACCGAAGGGGUAGAGCCGAUCGUGAUCGAGGAGGAAAACUCUCCUCCUCGUGUAGUCCCUGCUGAUGUCGGCGAGGCGGGCACCCCCCGGACGCAACUGGUGAUACCCCCCCUGCACCCGAGGAGGUCCAGCCGACCGAUGCUACUCGGCUCACUGAUCCACCAUCUUUGUGAUAUAUUUCUUUUUGUAUUGUAAUGAACAACGUUUAUGAAAUUUCCUUUGUUAGCCAUUAACACAUUAAUAAAAAUGUUGUUGAUUACUUUCUCGUGUAUAUGAAUUAUUUUUCGUUCAAGAGUCUGCUUGUCUUUGUCUUACACGAGCAGGUUCCGACGAGCCUUUGCACGCCUUAGGAUUUUCUUCAAACGAUUUGGAUUCUGCUGCCUUCUCGUGGCCGAGCAGAUCCUGGCAUGCUUGGCUUCUGUCUCGCCAUAAGACAGGCUCUGAGACUUGGCGAGCCUUUGCAUGCCUUAGGUUUUUCUUCAAACGAUUUGGAUUCUGCUGCCUUCUCGUGGCCGAGCAUAUCCUGGCAUGCUUGGCUUCUGUCUCGCCAUAAGACAGGCUUUGAGACUUGGCGAGCCUUUGCAUGCCUUAGGUUUUUCUUCAAACGAUUUGGAUUCUGCUGCCUUCUCGUGGCCGAGCAGAUCCUGGCAUGCUUGGCUUCUGUCUCGCCAUAAGACAGGCUCUGAGACUUGGCGAGCCUUUGCAUGCCUUAGGAUUUUCUUCAAACGAUUUGGAUUCUGCUGCCUUCUCGUGGCCGAGCAGAUCCUGGCAUGCUUGGCUUCUGUCUCGCCAUAAGACAGGCUCUGAGACUUGGCGAGCCUUUGCAUGCCUUAGGAUUUUCUUCAAACGAUUUGGAUUCUGCUGCCUUCUCGUGGCCGAGCAGAUCCUGGCAUGCUUGGCUUCUGUCUCGCCAUAAGACAGGCUCUGAGACUUGGCGAGCCUUUGCAUGCCUUAGGAUUUUCUUCAAACGAUUUGGAUUCUGCUGCCUUCUCGUGGCCGAGCAGAUCCUGGCAUGCUUGGCUUCUGUCUCGCCAUAAGACAGGCUCUGAGACUUGGCGAGCCUUUGCAUGCCUUAGGAUUUUUUCGGUUUCAAGCGAAUGGAAUUCGUCGACGCUCCAUUAAUGGCAGGAUUUGACUUACAUGAAAUUGUUCGGACAUAAAACGUGAAAAAUAAACGAUAAUGAACAUGAGCAACAACGGUUUUUAAAUGUGAACAAGUCUUACUGGAAGUAUUUCCGGAGGUGUGCUGCGUUCCAUGGGCGUUUCACUUCGUGGCCGUCCUCGCGAACCAGCUUGUAAGCUCCGGGUCCCGCUAUCUGCUUGACUCUAUACGGCCCUUCCCAAUUCGGUCCCAGUACUCCUUGAGUCGAAUCUUUGGUGCUCUGAUUCACUCUUCUCAGUACCCAGUCUCCGACUCUGAAUUGCCGUAUGUUCACCUUCUGGUUAUAAUACCGAGCAACCCUCUGCUGGUAAGUGGCUGAUCGCUCGGCUGCUUGUUCCCUCCUCUCCGUUAGCAGAUCAAGAUUCAAACAUAUCUGCUCGUCGUUCUCGUGCUCAUUGAAGUGCUCUGUCCGGUGUGUGGUCGUUCCUAUCUCAGCCGGCACAACCGCUUCAUGUCCGAAAGCCAAAGCGAACGGUGUCUCCCCAGUUGCGGUCUUGUGGGUUGUUCUGUAUGCCCAUAGCACACCCGACAGCUCGUCAACCCACGCACCCUUUUUUGCUCCGAGCCUGGUUUUCAGAAGCCUCUUGACGGUCUUGUUGGCUGCUUCUACUUGUCCAUUCGAUUGAGGGUGAGCAGGCGAGCAGUACUUCAGUUCUAUCCCGAGGUUCUGGCAAAAAUCCCUGAAGCUGUGAUUAUCGAACUGCCUGCCAUUAUCCGUUACCAAGGCAUAUGGGAUCCCGUAUCGACAGACCAGGUUUCUCCACACGAAGUCUGUUGUUUUCUUCUCUGUGAUCCUGCUAAGGGCUUCUACCUCUAUCCACUUCGUGAAGUAAUCUAUAGCAACUAUUGCAUGUGUUGCUGCUCCUCGUCCCUUCGGCAAUGGGCCGAUCAGAUCAAUUCCCCAUUGAGCGAAUGGCCAAGGGGAGGCCAUGGAGGUGAGCUUCUCUGGUGGUUGGUUAGAGAAAUUUGCAAAACUCUGGCAGCUUGCACAGCUCCUGGUCUUCCUUUGUGCAUCCUGGUGCAUCGUCGGCCAGAAAUAUCCCUGCCUUAGAACCUUGUGGGCCAGGGACCUCCCGCCAGAAUGAUUUCCGCAAAUUCCUUCAUGUACUUCCCUCAGCACGUAAUCUGCGUCGUCAUCGUCCAAACACCGAAGGAACGGUAAUGUAUAUCCUCGCCGAUACAGUACCCCAUCGAUCAUCGUGUACCUCGAGGCCUGAGCCCUAGUCUUCCGAGCUCGCAGCUUGUCUGGUGGUAAGACCCCGUCUCUAAGGUAUGAAACUAUCGGGUCCCUCCACGAGCCUUUUUGUUCUAUCCGUAGCACGCCCACAUUUUGCUCGAUACUUGGGCGAGACUUCACCUCUAGGGGGACCGACUUCGGCAUUUUUGGGUCGGCUACGGCUGCCAUCCUAGCCAAAAUGUCUGCUCGACUAUUCUGCUCCCUGGGGAUUUGUAUCACCUCCACUGCUUUGAACUUCCCCAUCAUCUGCCUGACUAUCUUUAGGUACUGUUCCAUCUUCUCCUCUCUUGGUUGGAAUCUUUCACUAACAUGAUUCGCAACCAACUGGGAAUCGGUUCUGAUCUUAACUCUGUCUGCUUUCACGGCCCUAGCCAAUUCCAGACCCGCUAUCAAGGCCUCAUAUUCUGCCUGGUUAUUGGUGGCUGCAAAUCCCAACUUUAUAGCAUAAGAGAUCUCCUCCCCCUGUGGGCCUUCCAGGACAAUCCCUGCUCCUGAACCCCGCUCUCCUGAUGACCCAUCCACAGAUAUCUGCCAUACUUGAGUUUCGUCGCUGCCUAUAUCUGCAUCUUGUUGCUCUAAGCAUACUUCGGGCUCUGCGAACUCAGCUACGAAAUCGGCCAUUGCCUGGGCCUUUAUCGCCGCGCGGGGUUUAUAGUCUAUGUCGAAUUCGCUCAUCUCUACGGCCCACUUGACGAGCCGACCAGAGGCAUCUGGCUUGUGCAGAAUUUGACGCAAUGGCUGGUUGGUUAUUACCGAGACCGGGAAUGCUUGAAAGUAUGGCCUCAACUUCCGAGCAGCUACCACAAGGGCAAGUGCCCAUUUCUCCAACGGUGGGUAUCUGGUCUCAGCGUCGAGCAGGGCCUUACUGGUGUAGUAUAUCGGAUACUGAACUCCUUCUUCCUCUCUCACCAGAACGGAACUGGCGGCCCGAUCCGAUACCGCCAAAUACAGAUUCAACUUGUCCCCAUCCCUCGGUGUGGACAGUAGCGGAGCUUGCUGCAAGUAUUGCUUCAAGUUCCGGAAGGCUUCCUCGCAUUCCGGGGUCCAUUCCGUUUUCUUUCCCCUCCUUAUCACUCGAAAGAAUGGCUGACACUUAUCUGUAGCCUUGGAUAUGAAUCUGCUCAACGCCGCCAACCUCCCCGUGAGGCUCUGCAUCUCCUUCAGGUUUCGAGGAGACGUCAUUUGCACAAUCGCCUGGAUCUUCUCGGGAUUUGCUUCAAUCCCCCUAUGGCUCACCAUGAAUCCCAGGAAUUUCCCUGACUCGACCCCAAAAGCACACUUCUCCGGGUUGAGCUUCAUCUUAUACUUCCUCAAAAGUUCGAACGUCUCCUCGAGAUGUCUGACAUGUUCCUUCGGGAUUUUGGACUUGGUGAUCAUGUCGUCCACGUACACCUCCAUGGUUUUCCCGAUCAAGGGCUUAAAGACUUUAUUCACCAGCCUUUGAUAGGUGGCCCCAGCAUUCUUGAGACCGAAUGGCAUCACCCUGUAACAGAACAAACCUUGGUUAGUGAUGAAAGCUGUGCUCUCCUCAUCCGGCUCGUACAUGGGGAUCUGGUUGUAUCCCGAGAAUGCGUCCAUGAAGCUGAGCAGACCAUGUCCAGCCGUUGAAUCUACUAGCUGAUCGAUCUUUGGUAAAGGGAAACUGUCUUUUGGGCACGCCUUAUUGAGGUCUGUGAAAUCCACACACAUCCUCCACUUGCCGUUUGCCUUCUUUACCAACACCACAUUUGAUAUCCACUCUGGGUAAUUGACUUCCCGAAUGAACCCUGCUCUCAGAAGCUUCUCCACCUCAUCAUUUACAGCCUCAUACCUCUCCUGGUUGAAGCACCUCCUCUUCUGCCUUACUGCCCGAGCACCUUUCUUUAUUGCCAGCUUAUGACAUGCUACCUCUGGAUCAAUCCCUGGCAUGUCUUCAUGUGUCCAGGCGAACACGUCAGCGUGAGCCUGUAAGCAUUUCACCAACUCCUGCUUUUGCUCUCCCUUAAGUCUCGACCCGAUUCUGAUCGUCUUUCCCGAGUUCUCUGGUCCCAUGCUUACUGUCUCCAGAUCCUCUACGGGUUCUUGUCUGCCAGUCUUGUUUUCCACUCGGGUAUCGAGGGAUGUUAUCUGCAUCGCCUCCCUUGCUGCCGAGGAGUAGCAGCUUCUCGCGAUCCUCUGGUCUCCUCGUACCACUCCGACUACCCCAUUCACCCGGUACUUCAGAGCCAGAUAAUGGUUGGACAACACCGCUUUGCUCAUCCUUAAAAAUGGCCGACCUAGGAUCAUCUGGUAAGGACCUUCCUCAUCCACUACGACGAAGUCCAGUAUCAUUGUUCUUUCUGUCGGGGGGCUCCCAAUUGUGAUAGGUAGUUCGACCACGCCCAGGGGGACCAGCUUCCCUCCUCCGAACCCCUUCAAGGAGGUGUUGGUGUAUUCCAACUUCCGGUCGGCUAUUCCCAUCUCUUCCAGAGUUGACUUAAAUAACACAUCGACCGAGCUCCCCGUAUCAACCAGUAUCCGGUCAAGCUUCUUGCUAGCGACCGUAGCCUUGAUGACUAAAGCAUCCUCGUGGGGGUAUAGAAUCCCUUCCUCAUCCUCAUCCGUCCACAUGAUUGGCACUUGCCUGACCCUUGCUCGUUUGGCUGCCGGGGUGUUGAAGAGUAUCUCUUUGCUGGUCAUGGCAUAUCUGGCGUAAUUUUUUCUCGAUCUGUUCGAAUCUCCGGCCAACGUUGGGCCCCCAGCUAUCACCCUUACUGCGGGCUGCUCGCGUCUCAAGAUUCCAUCACUCUGCUCCCCUUCAUCUGUUGUGGCCAUCAUCGGAAAAGUCCCAUCCAUAAACUCGUCCAGGUACCGAUUUCUCACCAAAUCUUCAACCUGGGUCUUGAGAUCUCUACACUCUGCUGUGGUAUGGCCAUGGGUGCCAUGGAACUUACAAUAACGUCCUCUAUCCCUCCUGUUGGGUAGCUUUGUUAUUGGUGUAGGGAGGUGCAGCAGCCCUCGAUCCUUUAUGGCCUCGUACACCUCAUCCAGGGGCAUCUUCAAGGGAGUGUACCGCCCAUAGUCCUGGUUCUGGUCGACCAGAUGUACUGCUCUUUCUCUGUUCGCCCCACUGUGAGUUGGGGGCGGUGGAAGUGCUUCUGGUCUGCUCGUCCUGCUACCGUGGGAAUGUUGAUGAAGACCACCGGGUGCCGAAUCAUGCCUUCUCCAAGGCUCCCUAGCUGGGGAACGAGGAGGUGGCACCCUGCUGCGCUGAUACUGUGGCGGCCUCUGAUGAGGCUGGUAAGCAAUCACCCUACCUCCUGCUCCACUACCGGAGACCUGGUGGUCCCUCCUCCUGAUCGGCCCAUUCCCUGGUGAUGCUUUCUUCUCUUUCCUCCCUAACCCUUCCAACUGGUCUGUCUUGAUUCGUGCAGCCUUCUCCUCCUCAAUCUCGAUGUCUCUUUUAGCCUGUUCGUAUGCGGCCGCAUACGUUUGAAUAGCUGGGCUUCUCAAAUUGUACCACAGCCUUCCUAUCUUCACCCCUUCUUUCAAUCCCCUUAACGCCUGAGGGUGGUUGAAGGCUCCCAAGUCGAGGACAGCCCGAUGAAACCUCUUGAUGAAUUCCCGAAGGGUUUCUUGCUCCCCCUGUUUCAUGCUCUUCAGCUCCAUCAUGUCAUCUUCCGGAGACAUUGCCCCACUAAACUGCUCUGCGAAUUCCUGGCACAUCUGCUCGAAGGUUUUAAUGCUGCCCCGAGGAAGUUUCCUGUACCAUUCUCGUGCACGUCCCUCAAGGGAUAGUGGGAAUACCCUGCACCUUUGGGAUGGAGAUAAUCCCUGUACCCCCGUUAUGUCGUUGAAGCGCUCUAUGUGCAUCAGCGGAUCAGUUCUUCCCGAGUAUCUGAGGUCGGGGAGGCGGAAAUCUCUCGGAAUAACUGCCCUCAUGAUCUCUGCUGCGAGCGGUGAUUCUCCGUCCAGCAUUAUCCUCCAACCAGGGGCUCUGUUCCUCCCUUGCAUGUCGUCAAUUAUUUGCGCUAGCCUUCGCACUUCCUCCUCCAGCUGCCCUGCACGACCAGGGUCACGUGCCGCAACUUGAUCCCGCUCUUGCUCUACAUCAUGCAAGUGUUGCCUCAGCUCUGUUUCCUCUGCAUUCACCACCCCGUCGCCCUCGUCGCAAGUCUGUCUCGCCGGGGACUGCUCUCUUUCUCUAUGAAAUUCUCCCCGCAGAGGUACGUUACCUCUCUCACCACCAAAUCUCCCAGCGGUUAGACUUCUCCCCGCACUAUCGGGACCUGGUGCCGCUCCACCGCCUCUCACCCUUCCCUCUUGGGUUGCCCUCCGCUCGUUCCGCAGCUCAUGCAGGAUGGUUGUCAAGGUCUCCAUCUGCUUUUCCAUUCGUUCCAUCCGGUCGAACAUGACUUGUUCCCGUGCUUCGCUGAUUACCUCCCUCAGCGUCACGGAAUCGUUAAGCCUCAUGUCACCCCCUUGUGCGCUACUUCCUCCUCUCUCCAUUGCUUCUCGCUUACUCCACCCCUCUUCUUGCUAUCGACAGAAGCUUUUCGCUCUGGAUCCCCACAGACGGCGCCAAAAUGUUGAUGCGAGAUUCCGGUUCUCCUCGUUCCACGACCAGGAUCUCUGCUCGAUCAACUUCUCCACGACCAGGAGGUCUCCUAGUAAUACUUCUUCUCCAGAUGUCCCUGCACAAACAGACAAGUCAGAGUACGCCGGUUGUUCCCCCGGCGCAAACCCUCCGACGCUCAAGUCAGAUAUGAAGGUUCAGGGAACGCUUGCCACAGGUCUUAUGGCUUUUUCGUGGUUUUUCUCUAAUCUCAAAAAUGCCAACCCUUUUACCUUCGUUGGCUACCUUUUUAUAGGCUUCCUCUGAAUCUCAGUCUUCCGCUCUUUUCGAGACGGUAUGGGACUCCAACUGCUGCGUUAUGGGCAAACGUGGGAUCUAGCGUGUUACGCCACGGUUCAGGGGAAAGCGUGGCUGUCAUGGCUCUGUGAGACCUUGCGUGUUACGCCACGGUUCAGGGGAAAGCGUGGCUGUCAUGGUUCUGUGAGAUCUUGCGUGUUACGUCACGGUUCCGGGGAAAGCGUGGCUGUUGUGCCUAGAUUCUCGUGCUGGAGAGCACGUCUUGCCAACUGCCGUCGACCGGGUCUCCUCGCCUCUCGACCUCUAGCCGGGAUGGCCUUAUGCCUCUUAUAGGAAAUUGGCCUCGCGGAUGACAACAUCGUGGACGAGCAGGAUAUUUCUGCUCCUGUUCUUCCACGCACCAGGCUUUAACGGAACACACCGGUUCGCAGAACUCCGCCAUCAGAUAUCUGCUCGUCAUUCCUGGUCCCGUCGACGCAUUUAUCCCAAACAGUAUCUCUCCCAAACAGCAGGUAACUCGUUUUUUGAAAAUAUACAUGUCAGUGAUGGACAGCGGUCAAUUGAUAAGUGCUCAAGAAUAGAUGAGGUGUACCUUCUGCCGCUGCUACACUGGAUGCCCUCUUCCACUGUCAAAGUCCUUAUAUUAUCACAAUGCCAGAUCGUCAACUUCUUAAGGCUCGAUGGUAGCUGGACAGCAGCAAUAUAUGUCAACGAACGGCAACCAUGAAUACUCAAGAUCUCGAGAGACGAAUUGGUGUCGCACAUCCAUGCCUCUGGUAACGAUUUCAGUGCAUCACAAUACCUAAUCUCAAUUUUCCUCAACUUGGAAGGCAGAGCAACCUCAGGAAAGGAAACAAGGGAACUGCACUCGUAGAUUUCUAUCUCUCUCAAGGAACUGAGGCUGAACGAUGAUUGUGGCAGCUUCACAAGGCCUUCGCAAUUACUCAAUCUUAGAUAUUCAAGUCUGCAUGACAACUCGCAGAGCUGCUGUUGUUGGUCUUUCUUUUCCUCCGCCACCAAGGAUUGAAGUUUGGGACAGCUGUCAAUCGUCAGUCUUUUGAGAGAGUAAAUGUCUUGCAGUAAUUCGUUAUGACUCUUCCAUAUAUGUGUUUCAUUUUUAAUAUUUUUUAUCUCCAAUUCUUCCAGUUUUGGUAUUCGCGGCUUCAAUGGCCCUGCGAGAAACACUUGAUUUGAUGUAUCUCUACAAACCACUGAAUUCUGUGAGCCGAGAUGAUCAAUUACACUUCUCCACACAACCUUUUUACAUCCACGAAUUACCAAUUUGCAAAGAGCUGGAAGACUCCUAAUUGAAAUUGACAAUUCUUCGCAUUGUUCAAUAACAAGCAUCUCCAAUGCAGGAAGGUGCUCUGGAAAUGUUCCUUGCAGUUUAGAACAUCUUAAAAUGUGAAGCUCUCUCAAUUUAGGAAACCGUUCAACUCCCUGACUGGAUCCAUGAGGAAUCCACUCUUCCCACUCUUGCAGGUCUUCAAAACGAAGAGUCUCCAAGCAUGUAAAUGGAAUUUGAGAGUCAUCCCCAUAGAACUCUGAACCCAAUCUCUUUACUCUACUCAUUCCACGCACUGUAAGAUGCUUCAGAGAGGGCAGUUGGCCGACUGACGGCAGGGCAGUACACAUGCCGCAAUCUUCAAAUUUAAGUGUUACUAAAUUUAAGAAUGAGGAAUCUCCUAACCAUGUUGGAAAUUUUGUACCUCCAUAGCCACAGAUACCAAAUUGUUCCAGAUUUUUAUGGGGUUUGAGCAUGUCAAGCACACCCAUUUCAGUUUCUGCCUCCCUUGAAGAUGAACCAUCGGUGCUGCAAGUCCAAUUAAGCGAUAAUUCUCUAAGAUUCUUCUUUCCAUCCAACCGAGCCUCCUUUGCAUCACCAAUGUCUUUUACAUUCUCUAAUUUUGAAAUUUUAAGUGUCCCCUGAAGAUGUAUCAAUGACUUUAGCUCUCGUAACCCAGAACCAUUGUCUUUUCCCACAGCAAAAUUACCCAGCGUUUGAAGACAAGUCAGCUUACCAAUUCCUAGUGGCAUUUCCUCCAAGGAAUCUGUAUUUGAAUUAUUGAGAUGAUGCAAUUUGAUGAGAUUUCCCAUGUCUGCACACAACUUCUUCAGUCGUCGACAGCCCUCCAAAAGAAGGGUGUGCAAGUUGUAAAGCUUGCUAACUGAUUCAGGCAGAGUUUUAAUCUCAGUUCCAGACAGGUUAAGGUGCCUUAAAUACCUCAAAUCACCAACUGAAUCCGGCAGCUCGGCGAUGCAAUAUCCACGCAGAGAGAAGACCCUUAAGCUUUGGAGUUUGAACAACUUAGGAAGAAUGCUAUGAGCCAAGUAUCCAUGCUGACUAUUUAACAUCACUGGUAAAAAAGUUCUCAAAUGUUGGAUAUCAUACAAUUUCUCAAACCUUUGAACGCCACCAUAAUCUCCACGAAUGUACGACAGAUGACGAAGAUUUCUAGAAAAACAUUGUUGCUUGUUAACCUCCGAGGUAUACUCCAGUGUGAAGUAUGUCUCCCCUGCAGCCCAACGGGCAAGGUCGUUGAUAAGAUCGUGCAUAACAAAUCGUGAUAUACUGUUGCUCGAUUGCUGGAAAAAAGAUCUUCCACGUAGCUCUUGAAAGAACUUUCGACCGAGAUCUUCACUAGGAUUCCCACUCUCUCCGUGAUUCGAGAAACCCACAGCACUCCAUAAUAAAAUUAUCUCCCCCUCUUCAAAUUCAUAAUCCUUUGGAAACAAUGAGCAAUACGCAAAGCAUUGUUUCAAAGGUGCCGAAAGAUAAUAGUAGCUCACUCUAAGCGCCGGCAUAAUGUCACAUCUCUCUUCUUGCAAUUCCCAUAUCUUGGUACUGAGCACUCUCUCCCAAUCACAUCUGUCAUCUUUUCCUCGCAAAAGUCCUCCAAGUGUUUGCGCUGCCAAGGGCAAGCCAUCGCAUUUGGCCACUAUCUUCUUGCCAAUUUCCUCCAAUAACUUAUCUGACCCCAAAGAGUGUUGAGCGAACACAGACAGACAAUCAUCAUUUGACAACUUUUUCAAUUGAUAAGCCCGAACAGUCCCCAUGAUGGCUGCAACCCCUUGAUUACGAGCUGUGACAAUAAUCUUACUUCCCGGUGCGCCAGCUUCAAAAGGACGCCUGAGUCGAUCCCAAUCAUUGUAAUUCUCAUUCCAAACGUCAUCUAAAACAAGCAAAAAUUUAUUUUGAGAUAACUUCUUCUUCAGCUCCUCUUGAAGCUUAUUCAAGUCGUGAUUAUCCACAUUCUGGUCACUAGCAAUUGAAAGUAGGAUUGAUUUUGUAAGCCUGAUAACAUCAAAAUCAUCAGAGACACAAGUCCAUGCCUUGAGAUCAAAAUGACCCUGCACUCGAGCAUCAUUAUAGACAAGCUGAGCGAGAGUGGUUUUGCCCAGCCCGCCCAUGCCUAUAAUAGGAAUAACAGAGAAUUCACCAUCAUUUCUCAAAUCAUCCCUCAACAACAAUUCAACAAUUUUAUUCUUUUCUGUUUCCCUCCCAUAUACCUUGGCUUCAGUCACUAAAGAGGUUGUGGGUAGUCUUUGCCUGUCUUUUCUGGACCUCCCAGCUGAACUUACGUUCAAACCGAGCGAGUCUUUCUGUGUUACAAUAUCUUGAAAUCUGUCGUUGAUCUCUUUGAUUUUGGACAUUAUGGCGUAAUCGAACUGAAUCGAUUGUGGAGUAAAAGUGGUGCAGCAAGUAGGAAUGAGCUUCCGAAACUUAUUUGUUCUUGUACGACUGCUACUGGGUUGAUCAAGAGCAGCAGCUGGAUCUCCAUUUCCAAGCAGCAACUUCCUCCGGAAAACCUCAGUUUGAAACUCAUCCAGCAAGUCUUCAACAUCAAAAGCCAAGUUCUGAAGCUCGGCAAGCCACAACUUCACAGACUGAUCAGUCUUCUUCUCCUCAGCAUCAGCAAGCACCGCCUUGAUCAUCACCAACAUAUUCUUCCACUUCUUUAGGUCGGCUUCGAUUUGCUCUUGGCGUGCAAACAGCCGAAUCCCCUCUGAAGCUAACUUAUUGACCAGCAAAUCAACGGACGCCGUAAGGAUUGCCUCUCCGAUGAAUGACAUUUUUUUCUUCUUUUUCUUUUUUUUGGUUUUGCAAAGAAAGAAAGGAGCAGAAUUAUGGGUUAUGGAAAGCAGAAUGAGAAAAUGGAUAAUUAAGCAGAAUGAGUUUGUGAUUGUGAAGGGUCUGGCCCAGCAAGCUUAGUAGAAAUCACGCGUUUAUACUUUAUUGACCAAUGACUAAUAAUUUGGCAAUUCACUCAUCACCACCACUUGGUAAGCAAAAUGAAAAUGCUUAGUAAUUAAGUGUCAAGGGUCAAGCAAAAUACGACGUAAAAUGUGUCAAGGGUCUCUCCACUACUUGUUCCUUGCAGCUUAGAAAAGAAAAACAGAGCCCACCACCCAUUAAUAAUUUAGCAAUUCACCAAUCAUCACCACUUGUUACGAAACCAUCUCAUAAACCAAGUUCGUAGGUCGAGCAGUUAAUCCAGUGUCUAUUUCCUAGAACCUUCAUCUCAUAAACCAAGUUCAAUCAAAACGUUCCUCUCUCGCUAUUUUUUUUUUUUUUUUCAAAACUCCUAAAACGCUUCUUUUUAGAAAUAUUUUACUUUAUUCAUCUAAUAUGUUAUCUAACAAAUAGACACAAUUGAAAUCACUCUAAAGUGAAGAUGAAAGGGGAAAAAAAUAACCUUCCAACCACCAGUAAUUUAGCAAGCUUCACUUUAUUCCACCAAAGUGUAAAUAAAGCCAGCCCCCACCACCAUCAAUAAUUUUGCAAGCUUCACACGCUUGUCGUCUUCUCCUUGACGAACUGGACAUGAGUGCACCAAGAAUCAAUGACAGAAUUUUAAAAAUAAUAAUAAGAGAAAAACCUACACAUUUUCGACUUAGAGUAGAACCGUAACUAAUGCUAAAAUCUACUCAGCUAACAUUUUCAAAAUAUUGUUCUUUAUGAUUUUCAAAACCGUGAUUAAGGUUCAUCUCAAAUGUUUGAAGAGAGUCUAUCAGUUCUUCUACGCUAAGAAUAUCAAAAUUCUUGCUUUUUCUUCAAACGUUGAAUAAUGAAAAAAAAAAGUUGAAUAUGGAGGAAAAUAGAAUGCAUCCAUCUUCGCUGUAGAAGUCUUCUACUUAUAAAAGCAAGUUAGAAUAAAUGAUUUUAAUCUCUCUUUUUAUUCCUGUAAGUGCACUACAUUUUUUUUUUUUUAUCUCAAUGCGAAGUCGUAUCAUAAUGUUAUAUACCUGUUGUAAAACAAAAUUUUAGAUAAAACAAAUUCGACUCAUGUUUUAAAGGUAUAUAUUUAGUAGGUUACUAACAUAACUAACAAAACGUGAUUAUUACACUAAAUGAAAUAAAAGACAGUACUAUCACCAAUAAUUUAGCAAGUUUCGCAUGCACGAGUUUCUAAAAACAUUAUAUGGAAUCAAUCAACAGUGAUACAAAGAGAAAAGUGGAAAUCCUCUUAUUGUAUUUUUUUUUUCUUUUUCAAAAGAAAUGGUGGGGUUGGUUUGUUUGCAAAGUUAUUAGCGUGUGUCUAUUUGUUUUUGUUUUAACUUUAUUUUUUUUUAAACUAUUCAAUUUCUGGCGACCGUAUUAAGUCGCGACUAAUCCGAAUUUGAAGUAUAAUCAUAAUUAAGGCAUCUUACCCCUCCUAAAUGGUGUAUUUAGUGGGGAUCGAACCCGAGAACUCUUUGCACAAUCCAACCAGUGUUGCCAACUGAGCCAUAACCAUUUGGUUUGUUUUAACUUUAUUAAUCGAUAAGCAAUCGUGUAAUGAUUUGUAAAUAUCACUAGCAUCACAUUAUUGGGAGGUAUUGGGCUUAGUAUUCACAAUUUUUGUAAGAUGAAUUUGUAAGACAAAUUAAUUUUGAUGAAAAUGUAUCGAUAUUAAGAUAUUAUUUAAUUAUAUUAUUUAAUUCAUUAAGUUAACUUGAGGUAUUAAUAUUCACUAAUUGUGGUGCUGAUUAAUUUACUUAACUUGUCACUAUUUGCAAUUAAGAAUGAGGUUCAAUCAAUUUAUUGGGAAAAAAAAACAAAGAUUUGAUUUUAAUUCUUAGGAUUUGAUUUCGCUCUCUUUCGCUAUUUUACGUUGCUAAAGAGGCAGUAAAAAGCUUGCUGAGUGUCAUCAAAUGCUUGUAUCUCAUCUCACAAAUUGGCAAUAUUUGUUUGGUAUUUCAUCUCAACGGAUGCAGUAAGGAUUGCCUCUCCGAUGACUGACAUUUUUUUUCUUUUUUCCAGCAAAGAACGAAACAGAAUUUUGAGUUUCGAAAAGCAAAAUGAGAAAAUUGAGCAAUUCACCAAUCGGUCAAGCAAAAUGCGCGUAACAAGUCUUCCGCUUCUUGUUUAUUCCAGGAAAGUGCAAAUAAAAAUAGAGCCCACCACCCAGUAAUAAUUGAGCAAUUCACCAAUUACGAGUCACCACCACUCGUUACCAUGAAUAUAAUAAAUUGCAUCUUGAUAUUUGCAGGGUCCAGCAACAUUGACCCAGUGUCCGGGUAAAUGCUGAAUAACGAGGAAAAUGGAAUGUAUCCGCUACGAACCUUCGCUUUGCAAGUCUUCAAACUCAUAAACCAAGUUAAAUCAAAACGUUUAUCUCUCUCUCUCUCUUUUUGCCAUAUAAUUACUUUAUUUAUUGAAUUAAUUUCCAUGCUAAAAGGAAGACUUAAAAGUGCACUACAAUUUUUUUAUAAUCACAAUGGUAAUUUCUACUAUCAUGUUAUUUUAAUGUCGUGUUAAAAUAAAUUAUUACAAAAUUUUUUUUAUGAACACUCUUUUCAUUUAUAAAUUUUUUAAUUUUUAAUAUUUUCUCACUAUUUUUAGUCUUAAUAUUUAUAUUUCUCUCUUCAAACUUUCUUUAUUAUUUAAUUUUUUAAAAAAAUAUGAAAAAAAGUAAAAAAAAUAUUAUAUUUAAAAAAUAGUGAAUAUUUUAUGGAUCUAUUACAAGUCUGUAUUGUUUUUGACAAUGAAAGAGCACGCGAAAAAUCUCACUCAUAGAAAACUUUGUGAAAGGCAUUUGAAUGUGUGGCCACAUUUUCCGAACGAAACGAUAAGGCUUUAGCCUUAUAAUUGCAAUUAGUUUGUCUUGUAACUAAAUUAUUGCCGACAAACACCAUCAUGCUGACAAACCGUGCAUGCACGUCCUCAAUCACCCACCCUUCAAACAAUCCUUACUGAACUUCAAUCCUUGCAUCUCCACUCUCCAAUGUACUUCCCCAGAGGGAAAACCAUUAGCGAUUCUCAAAGACUUUGACAUUGUGGACAAAGUGGUUGUAAGGGGUGGGGAUUAACAUGUCUCCAAACGACAAGCAGCCAUGCAUGUAAUUAGUCACAAGUUGCUUUGAAAUAAAAUAAAUAGUUACUUGACAUUUGGCUCACUGAUUAGUUUCCCGUAUUUCCCAUUACUUCCCGUACUUUAUGCUUUAUUGUUUUGUAUGUCUUUUGGUGUUUACGGUGUAGUUAGGGAUGGUAGCGGGUAGGGUCUGGUACGGGUUUGACAUCACCAAACCCGCAGCUACAAAAAAAAUUAAUUACUAAAUUCGCUGUGGGUUAUAUUUAAUUUUAUUUUUUUAACAAAGCCCAUUCACUGUGUGUUUGAUUGGUGCCUAGUGGAUACUCAUUAGCGGUGGGCAUUAAGAUCGGAUUAACUCGAACCGAAUCUUAAAUUUAUUUUGAGUUCAAUUUGAUUUUGGUUGAACCUUUCAACUGAGUUGAAAACUUAUAAACGAUUGCGUUGUAUUUCUGUUCGAAUUUAACAACAAACUAAGCUACCUAAUCAACUUAAGUAAGCAAAUUUUAAAAAAAAUCCCAAAAAAUUAAAUCUAACCCUAAUUAAAAAAAUUCAACCGAGGCCUCCUUCUCGUCUUCUUUUCUUCUUCUUCCUCUUGCUCACCCCUAAUGCCCCAUUAAUGGAAUUCCAACAGCUAGAAACGCGUUUCAGCCGCUUGCGCGUGUAAGAAAUUUUCCUUCCCAUAGGAUUGUUCGUUUCCUUGGCUUGCAUUAAUAAAUUUGAAGAACAAUUAAAAAUUAAAAGAAAAUAAAAAGUGCUUUCUUUUUUAACGAUGAUAAUUUGUUCGGAUGAUGAAAAUUCUUAGAGUGGUAUAAUAAGUAUUUUCGAGUGUUGCCAUCGCGAAUAAUAUUUAAUUUCAUUUAUAUAGUUAUAUCUCAAGUAACAUUUAAACAGAAGCAAGUUGGAAAUUAAAAAAAAAAAAAAAAGAACCAUUGAGAGAAUGAAAAACUAACCAAAAAAAAAAGUUAAAAAUUUGUAUCUCAAUAAAUUUACUUGAGAGCUACUCUACUAAUCCGUGAAGAGAAAACACAAAGAAUAAUGAUGUAUCUUAAUUAAUAGGACAAUUUUUGUAUUUUUCGUUUAUUUAAGAAUCAUGAAACUUCAUUUAAACUUGUUAUUUCAUUGAUAAUAUAUUAAUAUUGAACAAUUUAGGAGACAUUCCUUUCCAAUUAUGCCCAUGUAUUAAUUAAAAACCACAAAAACGUUCAGGGAUACUAUAGUAAUUUAAGUCAACAAUUUAUGUGCUUGAAAUCAUCCGAUUAGACUCACUUCAGAAUAAACUAAGAUAUCAAAAUCACAUUCUUCAAUUCUACAAUUUCAAUUCAUCUUCAUAACUUCAACUGAAGAAUUGAUUUUAUCUCGUUUUAAUUUUUUUUAUGUAAAGAUAAAUAUAAAAUAUAAAUGGCGAGGAGACUGGAAAAGUAAAAUCAAAAGAAGAGCACGAGUUUUAUUGAAAAUUACUCUUUUUCAUCAUUUUGCCGGAGUGAAUGUAUCUACAUUUAAACAAAAGAAGCACAUUUGUUUGUAUUAACUUUUUUAUUGUAUUUUUAAUAAUAAGUCAUUUUUCAAUUAACUUAUAUCAUUUUUUACGAAAAUAAUAGGUGUUAGUUAGUUGAUUCAAAUGGCAAGACCUCUUGGGAUAGAGUUUGUAAUUUAGUGGCUUAUCAAUUGUUUAAAUAGGCAUUAUUAGAGCCAAAUUAUUGUAUUUGGUUAAAAAAGCUCCUACUUAGCUUACAACUUUAUUAUCCUAUUAUGUUUAUUAAUAAAUAACAAUUUUAUUGAAAAAAAAAAGAUAUGUUGAAAAGAUACAAAAAAUUUGGGAUGUAAAUCUUACUCGAAUUUAGCUUGAGGUUGGCAUUGUUAGCAUAAUAUUUGAAGAUAUAUUUUUUAAAUUAAAAAAAAAAAUUGGGUUCACACUAGUUAGUUUUAACUCAUAGUGAGAUUUAAACAAAAACGGAAUAAUAAAUCUUGAUAUCUUAACUCAUGGAUAACAUCUACAUAAAAUAAUAAAAUCUAUUGUGUCGAAAAUAAGGGGUCUAAAGUUUGAAUUUCGCUCACAUAGGUAGCAAGAGAAUUAAAUUAUUGUUAGAUUAAAUUAAUUAAAAAAAUUAUCUGAUAUCCAAAACACAGCAUAUCAAAAAAAUUGAAAUAAAAGAAAAUUGAAAAGCAAAACGAUUGAGAGAACGAAAAACUCACACAAGAAACUGCCGAUAAUUAAUUGCCUCAGCGGGCACCAACUUAAUUAUGCUUAUUAAAGCAUGGGUUAUUUCAUUUUCAUUGAUAAUCAUUUUGACACCGGUCAAAUUUAAAAGUUUAAAUAAUGGGGGCCAUUUUUCUUUCCAGCUAUGCCCAUUAGCUAAUAAAAGAACCGCCGAAAGGGUUCGGGGAUAAUAUAGUAAUAUGAUUGAUAAUCAUUUUGGAGCUGAGUAUUCUUCGUUCCACAUUUUGGGUUUUGGUUGACCAUAUUUUAAUACUUUUCUGGAAAACAAAUAUAUAUUUAUUGACUUGUAAUGGGUGCAACUCAUGUUUUUGAAACAUUAAGAUCUUUACUUACUUACACUAAUACGGCAACUGCUGCUUGCUUUUUUUUUUUUUCCUUUUGACUUUUAUUUUUACUUUUUGACUUUUGCUUUUGGUUAAUAAUAAUAAUAAUAAUAAUAACAACUUUUUAAUUUAAUAUAAUAUUAAAUAAUAUUUUUAUUUUUACAUUAUAAUUUAUUAUAACUAAUAAUAAAUAUUUAAAUUUGAAUAAUAUUAAUUUAAAAUUAAUAAUAAUAUAAAUAAUAAUAUAAAAUAUUAAUACAAUUUAAAUAUAGUAAUAUAAUAUAAUAUUUAAUUUAAAUUAAUCACAAAAAUUAAUACAAUACAUUGUAGCACCAAAUAUUAUACAGUAUUACUAUAAUACAGUACUGAUACAAUUUGAGGGAGAUUGUCAGCUUUUUUGGAUUAAAAAUAAUAUAUACCACUUACUCUUUAUUGUUUUUAUAAUGUUCAACAAUGAUAAAAAAAAAACGAAAAGAAGAAAUAAAUAGAUGAUUUGCUUGAAAUUGUAUCUUAGAAAUAUAAAAUAUAUAUUUAUUAUUAAAAAUAAUAAAGAGUACAUAAAAAAAUAUCUUAUCCUCAACAACAAGAUCAGACGACGUCAAUUCAGCAAAAUGACUUGUACAAUUUGAAAGUCCAGCGACGGUCACCUCUUGGCACACAUACGGCAACGUGUGUAGCUUUGGCAAGAGGUCUCCCAAAAGGACGAUUAAGGAAAGAUUGCAAGACAAAAUCAUGAAAAUAGUAGUACAGAUAUCCAAUCGCAAACAAGUCUUAGAAAUCGCACCCCUGUAUUAAUUUCCAGAAAUAUGUUUGUUCCAUAUUUAUCGUGCACGUAUACAUUGUAUGUAUUGGGAAUAGAAAGAGUGUAUGAAAAAAAUUCUUCAUUCAUCAAUUAAAACUUAACUUAUGUACGAGGGUUAAGUGUAGAGUUUUUAAAUUUGAAACGGAUAAGUAUUAUAGUCCAUUUCAAUUUAGAUACAAGUACUUCGAACUUAUAUUUGAGGCAAAAAUCUGUAUACCAUAGUACAUAUUAUAUAUCCAGUCAUGGGAUCCAUGCAUGGUUCCAUGUCAUUCGCAGAGUUGAACUGGAGACACUGAUUAUGUACAAGUAAUUGCAUGCACCAUUUGCGCCUUAUCUAUCACCCUGCUUGCAUUGCAUUAACUACGUCCCCAAUCACCCACGUCCGCUACUUGUGUGAACGUGUAUAUAAAUAUAUAUAUCCGCAGCAUAUUAUCAAACCAGAAUCAGAAGCAACUUAAGUUUUGAUUACGGUUCACCAGAAGUCACAGCUAGCAAGUGAUCCUUGCAUCAUUUUGCAUCAAAGUAAGAAACAGAGCUAACGAGAGAUGGACAAGUAUUAACCAUCGUUACCAGAAAUUAAAUAUGUCCGCAUUUUGUCAGUUCUGGCCAUAUUUUGAAAGAUUGGAACUAUUAGCACCCUAAUUUUCUUUUGAAGCUCCUUUUCUGUGGAAACCUAUUUUAAUUUCCAAAAUAUCUUUUUCCAUUCUUUUAGUUUCUUUCUGAUUCAAAAAAAAUAAAUCAGUUUCUUAAAUAACUCCAACUACAAAUAUUUUUUUACAAAUUUUUGAAUUGUUAAAUCAUAUGUGUGUGUAUAAAUUGAAUAGAAUUAAAAGUGAACUCAAAUGGUUAUUAUGUAAUUUUUUAUAAUUAAAGAAAAGUUUAGAAUGCAAAAGUGUGUGUGAGAAAACAAAAAAUAUAAAUCGCCUUUGAUGUAGUUGUAUGAUUGUAAAGAGUUAAAUGGAGAAAUAUAGUAUAUAGUUAAAUUUAUUUUGUUCUUUAAAACGGGUAGGUUUUAUAAGAAAUUUUUAGAGGAGUGCCAAUAUUUCAACUCUUUUUCAAAUGAAGUGAUGUCCAAGAAUAAAAUCACUACUCUAUCAUUGCUAUUAGUUUGUCUUGUAUUUCAAUCACUGCCGACAAGUAUUAAUUAUGAAUAUUAUUAUUUUAAAAAUAUUAUUAUUAUUAUCGUCGUUAUUCUUAACAGCAAUGACUAGAAUUAUAAUAAGAACAAUAACGUUAAUACAAUAAUAUAACAACAUAAUAAUAUUUUAAUUGAGAGGAUAAGAAUGAAAUUAUGAAAUUUAAGUUGGGUAAAAUGGUGAGUAUGAGGAAAUUAAAUUAUCAUUCUUUAAGCUAAAUAGUUCGUAAAUCCCACAUAUUUCAUUCUUAUUUCUCUUAUAUUUUAAUAAGUAAAUAUUAUUAAUUAUUUUAAUAUUUUAAUUAAUAAACACGACAUUAACUACGGAACUAAAAGAUCCCCAAAAAAAAAAAAAAGGGGAGACGCGUCUAUGUAUUGCUUGUGACAAGUCUCACCCAUGGAAAACUUUGUGAAAGGCAUUUGAAUGUGUGGCCGCAUUUAAUGAACGAAACGAUAACUUUAAAAGAAAGUAUGUACUGUGUUAAUUAUUAGGCUUUAGCUUAAUGAUUGCAAUUAGUUUGUCUUGUAAUUAAAUUAUUGCCGACAAACACUAUCACGACUCACGUCCGCUACUUGUGUGAAUGUGUGUAUAAAUAUACGCAGCAUAUUAUCAUCUUUUCUAAUUCGAAGAAGAUGGAAACUCCUUAUCCAGGUUAUUAGGCCAUGUUUAGUUGAAUGUCAUUUAUAAUUUUUAUUUUAAUAUUAUGUAUUUAUGAAUACAAUUAUUGUUAUGAUUUGUUUAGGUAAGAAUAGAUGAUCUGAGGGUAACCCAAUAACUAUGUACAAUAUUAUUAAUGGUGAGAGCGUGAAUAACAAUUUAGAUUUUAUUCUCGUCCCUUAAUACGGAAGAAAUAUUGAUCAUAGCGGUUAAAUGCUAUGCAACUCUUUCAUAUUAUGUUUAAUUAAUAAUAAAAUGAUGGGUUAUUAUUACCUGUCAAUUAUGUGAGGAGUGUCUUUGUUUGGUUUAGUUACACUUAUAAAAUCUCUUGAGAUAUACAAGAGAUUUUCUUUAUUUAAUUUUGUGUACCCUGUCUUCUUGUAAAAAGAAAUUAAUAAAAAGAAAAUCAUUGUGUGCAAUGUAUUAACUAAGUUAGUGUAUUCAUGUUAGCUUAAUUGUGCUCUCUCUUCUUGAUAUUUAAAAAAAAAAAAAAAAACUCCACAUAUUAUUGGUUAGCUAAUUCUUGCAGCUAGCAAGUGAUCAUUUUCUUUCCCCUACUGCCGUAGCAUCAAAUCCUUACAAUUACAUAUCAAGUGGUAGUCGAGCCGUCAAAUGAUCCAUGGAAACGCGCAACAAAUCAAAUGCUGAAUUUUGCGAAGAGAUUCACGAAAUCCUUGCUAUACAUGAGUCUAGUUUUGACCAAGUUCACGUCACUCAUCAGCUGCGGGGUUUUUUUUUUUUUAUUACAUGAGACUAUUGCUCAGAUUACAACUCAUAUACAUGAGAUUAUUACUGAUAUUUACAAAUCAGACUAUUACUGGGACCAACUUACAUCAAUGCUAAUGGAGCUCUGCCCAGAUUUUAACCUUCACAAAUAUUUGAGGGAUGUCUACUCCUCACUCAUGGGUAAGGGAGAAGACUAUUUUCACUCAAAUUAAUUGAGGAAGGAAAUACCCCCACAAUGCUUUUGUGGGGGAGAAGACUACCAUCAGCUGCGGGUUUGAAUGGUACCUAGUGGAUAUUUUGUGAGUUCCCACUAAUAAAAUCACACUUGCAACAAAACUUAAAAAUUUAAAUUACGUAAUUUAAAUUAUAAAUUUAUAAUCGUAGCCUAAAAAAUCACAUAAAAUACUUAAUUCUAGAUUUUAUCAAUGUAAAUGAGAAAUAAAAGUUUUAACAUUAAAAUAAAUACACAAAAUAUAUCAAUUUAACCUAAAUUCUCAAAUUUAAUUACCAAAUACAUAAGUCUAUCGCAACUCAAAGAGCUUUCAAUUGAAAAUGAAAAAAGAGAAAGAGAAAAAAAAAACACUACAAAUCAAAGUAGCACCCAUGACCCAUUUCGCGGUCUCAUUCAAUACCACUAGCACCCAUCCAACAUGAUUUUUCUAAACAAAGUAUAAAGUACAAAAUUACAAUAAGCAUAUCAUACUUCAUGCUUUAAGUUAAAGAUCCUUAUAUAUUUUUAUGAAUAAAUUUUUAAUGAAAUUUUAUGAUUAAAAUUAAAAAUACAAACAUUCAAAUAAGAAUGUCGGACACUUGCACAACUAUUUAUCAAAGUUUUUCUCUAUAAAAAUCGACCUGCAACUUUCAAUAGGUUUAAAUUUAUAAUAUCAAACCUAAUUGCAGCUUGCAAAAAUUAUCCGUUGCGGCCAAGACUUUGGAUUUGCGAUGAUUUUGCCACCCUAAGUGUAGUUAGUAUUGUAUAUCAUGUGGCUCUUAUAAAAAGCCUAGAAGUUGUUUGAAUAACGGGGGAGACACAUAUCGCCCAAAGAUUUUCUCUUUUUCAAAUUAUUAUUUUUUCUCUAUUAUUGUAACUUCGAAUCCUUAUAAAUUACAGAUUGGAGACAUGAACACAAUGUUUUGACAUAGUGGACUUUUGGCUUUGUCCUGAGAAAUUUAGGAUAGAUUUUUACGCACUAAGGCUCUAUUUACUAUUGAGGUUUUAGAACUUUUAAGCCACACUAGAAAUUUGUAUUGUUUUGAUAGAGUUCUAGUUCUUGAUAUGUGAUUGGUAUUAAUCAAGUGUUAUGUUUACAAUAGUUAAAUGCAUAUUGAAUCAAAAUCCACUUCUAAGGGCUUGAUUGAGUGAUUGUAAAGUAGGUUUUUAGUUUGCUAGCCACUCAAGUUCAAAUAUUGGAACCACAAAGCUUAUAGCCAGGUGAGAGAACUUGUGCCCUAAAAAUUGAGGGGUGCAUAUCGAGUUUUACCACCAAUAAAAGUUGGUGUUAAAACUUUAAUUUCUCAUCUAUUGAUGGAUAGGGGUGAUUAGGAGUUUACAUCUCCUCCUAUUAAUAGACAAGGGUUAUUAGGAAUAUUAAAAAAAAAGUUCAAAUAAUGAAAAUGUAGGUAUGGGUUAUAAAAUUCAUAAUAUAAAGACACAAAAUCAAGAUAAAGAUUUAAAAAUUUAGAACUAUGAGAGUGUGACUUGUAAGUUUCAAAGAAGCGUGUGCAAAUAUAUGCAUUAUCGAUGCCCAAUUAAGGGUGGGCAUUAAGAUCAGGUUAACCCGAAUCGAACCGAACCGAACUUAAAAUUUAUUUUGGAUUCAAUUUGGUUAUGGUUGAAGUUUUCAACUAAGUUCAAAACUUAAAAAUGAUUGGGUUGUUGUUCUGUUCGAAUUUAACCCCAAAAGACUAAUCAAUCCAAUCGAGUUAAGUAAGCAAAUUAAGAAAAAAAAUCCCAAAAAAUUAAAACUAACCCUAACUAAAAUAUUCGACCGCGGCCUCCUCGUUUUCUUUUCUUCUUCCUCCUCUCGCUCACCCCUAAUGCCCUUCAUGGAAAUCCAACAGCUCCAAACGCGUUUCGGCCGCUCGCACGUGUGAGAAAUUUUCCUUCUCAUAGGAUUAUUCGUUUCCUUCGCUUGCAUGCCAGCAAAACCCAAUCAUAAGUUCAUAACGUUUAGCGUUUGCUAUUACUAUAAUUUUUUUUAACCAAUUUUCACAUUCAUCAACAUCGGCUGACAGAUUUUGUAGAAAAUUAAAUUAAAUAAAAAUACAAGCUCACGAAAUUCCUUUUACACCUUUCACGUGCUUUUCUUUUUUUGGUGGGGGGGUGAAUUCACUUGCUUUUGUUUGCAUUGCCUUAUUGGAUAAAAGUUUGUAGAACAUCGUCUGUUUGGUUAAAGCCGAGCAUGAGUGAAGAAAAAUUAAAAAUAAAUAAUUUCCCAUUAAUUUGCAACAAGUAUUAAUAAAGUGCAUGAGAAAAGACACCAAGAUAUGCCUUUUUUUAAAUGAAAAUAAAUGUGUUAAUUAGUCAAUUUAAAUGGUAUGAUAUUUUGAAAUGAUAGAAGCGAUCUAAAGUUUAAAUCUUACUCACACUUAAUUUAGGGUUGGGGAUUAAUUGACGUAAUAUAUAAUAACGAAUUCGAAAGACAAUUAAAAAUUAAAAGAAAAUAAAAAAGUGCUUUCUUUUUUAUGAUGGUAAUUUGUUUAGAUGAUGAAAACUCUUAGAGUGGUAUUAUCAAUACAUAGUUUCGAGCGUUGCCAACGUGAAUAAUAUUUAAUUUCCUUUAUAUAGUUAUAUCUCAACUAACAUUUAAACAGAAGUAAGUUGUAAAAAAAAUGAACCAUUGAGAUUUGAGAGAACGAAAAACUAAAAAAAAAAGUUAAAAAAUCAGAUCUCAAUAAAUUUACUUGAGAACUACUUUACUGAUUAGUGAAGAGAAAACGCAAAGAAUAAUGAUGUAUCUCAAUUAAUAGGACAAUUUUUGUAUUUUUCGUUUAUUCAAGAAUCAUGAAACUUCAUUUAAACUUGUUAUUUCAUUGAUAAUAUAUUAAUAUUGAACAAUUAAUGUAGGAGACAUUCCUUUCCAAUUAUGCCCAUAUAUUAAUUAAAGACCACCAAAAAGUUCAGGGAUACUAUAGUAAUUUAAGUCAACAAUUUAUGUGCUUGAAAUCAGCCGAUCAAACUCACUUUAGAAUAAACUGAGAAAUCAAAAUCGCAUUCUCCGAUUCCACGAUUUCAAUUCAUCUUAUUUCUUCAACUGAAAAAUUGGUUGUAUAUCGUUUUAUUUUAUUUUUAUUUUUAUAUAAAAAUAAAUAUAAAAUAUAAAUGACGAGGAGACUGUAAAAGUAAAAUUAAAAGAACACAAGUUUUAUUGAAAAUGACUCUUUUCAUCAUUUUGCCGGAGUGAAUGUAUCUACAUAUAAACUAAAGAAGCACAUUUAUUUGUAUUAGCUUUUUUAUUGUAUUUUUAAUAAUAAGUCAUUUGUCAAUAAACUUAUAUCAAUUUUUACGAAAAUAAUAGGUGUUAGUUAGAUUAUUCAAAUGGCAAAACCUCUUGGGAUAGAGCUUGUAAUUUAGUGGCUCAUGAAUUGUCUAAAUUGACACUACCGAAUUAUUGUAUUUGGUUAAAAAAGCUCCUACUCUGCUUCAACUUUAUUAUCCUAUGAUGUUUAUUAAUAAAUAGCAAUUUUAUUGAAAAAAAAAAAGACCUCUUGAAAUGAUACAAAAGAUUUGGGAUAUGAAUCUCACUCGAAUUUAGCUUGAGGUUGGCAUGGUUAGCAUAAUAUUUGAAGAUAGAUUUUUUUUUAAUUAAAAAUCAAAAGAUUUUUUUUUGGGGUUCAUACUAGUUAGUUUUAACUCAUAGUGAGAUUUAAACAAAAACGGAAUAAUAAAUCUUGAUAUCCUGACUCAUGGAUAAUGUAUAGAUAAGAUAGUAAAAUUUAUUGUGUCUGAAAAUAAGAGGUCUAAAGUUUGAAUUUCGCUCACAUAGGUAGUAAGAGAAUCAAAUUAUUGAUAGAUUAAAUUAAUUAAAAAAAUUUCUGAUAUCCGAAACAACAUAUCAACAAAAUUGAAAUAAAAGAAAAUUGAAGAGAAAAACCAUUGAGAGAACGAAAAAUUAACACCAGAAAAUUUCUAUAACUAAUUGUAUCAGUGUGCGCCAACUUCACUUAUUAAAACAUGCUUAUUUCAUUUUCAUGGAUAAUCAUUUAAAAAAAUAUGGGCUUUUUCUGUGCUUCAAAUCAUCAAAUCAAACUCACACCUCACAAAAGCAGAGAAAUCAAACGGUUUCCGACUCUACGCUUUAAAUUCAACUGAAGAAUCGGUCGUCUCUCAUUUUUUAUUUAUUAUAUAAAGAUAAAUAUCUAAAUUUAAAUGGCGAGAAGAGCGGACGAGGAAUACGAUUACUUGUUCAAAGUGGUAUUAAUCGGCGAUUCGGGAGUCGGCAAUUCGAACUUACUCUCCCGAUUUACUCGUAACGAGUUCUGUUUGGAGUCCAAAUCCACUAUUGGCGUCGAAUUCGCCACCCGCACUCUUCAAGUAACUAACUUUUCCUCUUUCCCUUCACUUCUUUUUUAUUAAUUAAUUAAUUAAUUAAGAUCCAGUUAAUGUAAUUAAUUUUAUUUAAUCUUUUAAAUAAAGUUCUAGAUUAGGCUAACUUAGAUUCAUGUGAAGUUGAAGUGAUUUACUUUCGAUCUCUUUUUCGUCCUAUGUUUAUUUGUACUUACUAUUACUUUUUUUUGGGUUUAAAUUUUCGUUUUUGAAGUGUUUACUGAAUAAAUUUCUGAGCUUUAUUUGUGUAUGCUGAUUGAUUUGUGAUUUUAAUUUUGUGACUUUUUUUUUGGAAUUUAAAUUUGAAUGCUUUUUAAGUUGAAUCUGAAUGUGUUGGGCUGCAAUUUAAUUAAGUCAUCUGUGAGCGCCAAAUUGUGAUAGCUAUAUAUUGGGGUGAAAAUUUGGGAUUUAAAGUUAUGUAUUUAAGAUGCAGUUAAUUCGCAAGUGAAAAUUAUGGGCCGGCAGAUUUUGUCAUUGGAAGACUGUUCUCCACAUGUUGAAGUUAGUGAUGCAAGUUGAAACCAAUCUGUUUAAGCUUGGGGUUUCAUGUCUUGAAUCAAGGCUGUGACUUGGGGUGGGUUGAAAGUAUUAUAGCUUUAGCUAUUCCUGAAGUGAUCUGUUUAGACUCACCGUGAUGAGACCGAGUGCUGUACAGUAAAAUGAAAGGAAGUUGGAAAAUAUUUACUUAGCAUUUCGCGUUACUAAUGUUGAACUAAUAAAACCUAGCCCCUAUCCUAGUGAAUUUAUCUUAAAAUAAUAGCAAUAAUAAGUGGACAAAGCUAAGUUCCAGAGGUGAGAUAGGAAAUUCUCCCACACGACACAGCACAAACAAACUUUCCCUUUCAUUUUCUUUUCUUUUCUUUUUCUUGCUCUCCAAACAGAGCAAAAGUAACGUCGCAAGAUUCUUCACUUCCAUCCAAAAUCAUGAGCAACGAAUAGCGAGCCUCCCUGUUUCCUUCCUUUUUUUGAUAUUAACAUUGUUAACAUCUACUCAUUUUCAUUUGACAAUACUUCAAUUUUUUUAAUUUUUGGCUUUUCAUUUUUUUUUGUUGCCAAACCGAUUAUCUGUUCAAGCUGUUGCUUAUCGGAGACUCGUCCAUCGGAAAGUCCUGCCUGCUGCUCCGAUUUGCUGUCUGUUGACUCUUCCUUUUCCUCUUUAUUUUCUUUUUUUUUUUAUAUAAAUUACUUUCUAUUUUAGCUUUUUGUUCUUUGAAUUUGUGUUAUUAAAAUGAUAAUUUAGAUGGUAAAUAAUUGUUAUUCUUGGAAAUUUCAGUUUUCAUUACGUUAAUUACUAGUUUUUAGGUUUAUUAAUGUAAUUUUUUUUUUAAUUUUUCAGGAUGAUUCUUAUGUCGACAGCUACAUCAGUACCAUUGGAGUAGAUUUUGUGAGUCUCUCUUCUAUAUAUAUGUAUAUAUGUGUAUAAGUUAUAGUAUGAGUCUAUGUACGUGUAUGUAUGUAUGUGUAUGCAUAUGUGGAAAGAAAUGUUGGCAGACUUCAGCAUUUUACUUUUUUUUUUUUUAAUUUUGGCAGAAAAUAAGAACUGUGGAGCUGGAUGGGAAGACGAUCAAACUGCAGAUUGUGAGUCAAAAUUUCCUUUUAUCCUGUAUUGAGAGAAAUUCGACUUGUCUUAUUUAGUGAAGGUUAUGUUCAAGAACCUUGUGUUAUUUUCUUUGUUUGAAGAGUUAUAUGUCUUUUAAACAUCAUUUAGGUAAUGUCUGAUGUUUGAUUGUUUUUCAUCUGUUUAGUGGGACACUGCUGGACAGGAGCGAUUCAGGACUAUAACUAGCAGUUAUUACCGAGCCCAUGGAAUCAUAGUAAGGAGCCUUCCCUGUUCUUGGUUUAAAUCAGAAAGUUUGUGAUUUACAUGUGACAUCUUAACAACAUUGUAUGUGUUUAUUAACUUAUUUUUCAUCUUUCAUUAAGCAGUACAUUUUCCAAUAAAUCUGUAUACAAGAUGAUGUAGUCCAAGAAUGGGAGCGAUAAUAUGAUGCAUAUUGUCUAAUAAAUUCUUAUGACAUAUGAUGUUGUCGGAAGUAAAAGUCUUGCAAUGCUGUAUUCUCUUUUAAGAAAGAAUAAGUGAUACUUUUGUUUUUCCAAUUUUUUAAUUGAGCAACUGUGUGAGAUUAAUUAAAUGUGUUUGGAUUUCAACAGAUUGUCUAUGAUGUAACUGAGAUGGAGAGCUUCAAUAAUGUCAAGCAGUGGUUGAAUGAGAUUGACAGAUACGCAAAUGACAGUGUAUGCAAGCUUCUAGUUGGGAACAAAUGCGAUUUAGCUGAGAACAAGGUUGUGGACACAUAGACAGCCAAGGUAUAUUCGUGACUUCUGUCGCCUGAACUUUGAACAUAAUUUUAAGCUCUUCUCAAGUGCAUUUGCUUGGUAAGUUUCUGCAUACCCAGGACGCUCAAACUUUGGACAUUUUGUAUCUCGAGUUGGAAUCUUUUCUGUCAAUACAACUUUUUAAAAUAAGGGUUAUUAUCGUUUGAAUCCUUCAAGAAUUGCAAUAAAUCUAAAGUCCAUAAAAAAUAUGAUUCCAUCAUUUUACUAUUAUAUCCAGACAAAACCCAUUAUUUUACUACAUUUCAUUAGCACCGAUAGUUGACCUGUUGGCUGACUGAUAAAAUAUCAAUUUUGCACUUUAUAUUAAUUCUUUUUUGGUUAAAAAAUAACACACAAAGUAUUACAAUAUUAUAAAUUCAAAAUAUAAAGUAGCUACAAAUAAUUGCUAUUAGCCUAUGAAUUUAAUAUUUGAUACCUCUAUUUGUGUAAUUUUUUUCCAAGAGUGAAAUUGGUAUUUUUUUUGUACUAACGGAAAUGUAGUAAAAUGAUAAGUUUUGUAAAGAUAUAGUAGUAAAAUGAUAGGCUAAAAUACUUCUUGUAGUUGUUUGAUAUAUUGUAAUUCUUAAAGUAGUCAAUUGAUAAUAUCCCCUAAAAUAAAUGUUCGUAAUAUGUUCUCAUUUUAAUGCAACUGAUUGUUUAAUAAAAUUGUAUUUCUUUGUUAAUCUUUUUUCAUGUGCAUGCUCAGUGAGAAUUUGACUUACUAGAACACAAGUUUGACUCUUCAUUUAAAUGUCUCUUGUAUCAUAUCCUUCAAUGUUGAGUGUGAUUCCAAUAAAAUUGAGUAGGGGGAUCCUUAAAUACCUUUUCCUUUUUUCCAAGGGCCUGCCAAAUUGCUCUAAGUGGUUCUACCCUUUAUCAAUGAAUUAUGACAAUAAAAUUUUUAUUAAAGCAUUUUGUUCCUUAAAUGGUGACUAAUAGUACCCCUUUUUUUGGAGAGGAAAGCCAAACAUGCCCAAAGAGAAUCAUUUACUUUCCUCUAAUGUAUUUUCUAAUUCGUUUUGAGCCUUGAAUGUCUGUUUUGGUGCGUAUUCUCAUUCCAUGUCGAAUCUUAUCCAUAUGGACAACCCCACUUACAAAAAAGUCUAAUGAAUCUAUUGAAGUUCAUAUGAGGUUUGUGCUUUAGAUUUAGACCUCUCUCUCUCUCUCUCUCUCUCUCUCCACUUACAUGUCUUUCACUUACCUGUUUGCAUGCAUGCCCAUUCACACACUUUCAAGAUAAUACACGGUCACUCGUACUUGUGUUUUGGUUGAAUUACUGGCUGCUAACCUCUGUAAUUCAGUUUGAAACUUGCCACCCUUAGUGCUUCACUCAAAUGGUUGGUUAGGGUGAGAUCUGUAUCGUUUUCCUGGUCUCUUUCCAAGGUUAUCUAAAGGGUUUUGGCAGUCUGAUUCUUUAGGGAAUAUCAUUGCAUAAGAUAUCUAUUGUUUGUUAAUGAAUAAUUUCUAUUUAACUAGUUAUCUAUAUAAAUUGGUCAAUUUUAACUGCAUAAUUUGCAUGCAAUAAGAUUUUAUAAGAAUCUUGUUUUCAACUCAUGACUUAGACUAAUGUGAUACGUUGAGCAUUAAGCUACAAGAUCUGCACAUCAAAGUGCUUCACAAUGUUAAGGAGAAAGCAUCGUUUUCUGCUUCUUCAUGUGAUUUAAAGUUUCCAAGGUACUUAUCCAAUAAAAUGUCUUUCAAGACUUUGGAAAUGCUUUUAUGUAUGACUGAGAGAAACUUGUUGGGUUGGUUUUUAGCAACAGAUGGAGUUAUGGACUUUGUGUUGACUUGUUAUUGAUUAAGACAGUACAUCGGCUGAUCUAUUGGCAUCAAGCAGCAGAUGCAGAAAUUAUGGGUGGCAUACCAUUGUAUCCAAAUAACAUACUACAUUGAUUUUUCUGACUUUCUGUUGGUCUCCGAGUGAAAUGCAGGCAUUUGCAGAUGAACUGGGGAUUCCUUUCCUGGAGACGAGUGCCAAAGAUGCAAUCAAUGUGGAGCAGGCUUUCUUGACCAUGGCCGGCGAGAUUAAGAAAAAGUAAAAUCACUUAACUCUUUCCUUCUUGCCGACUGUUCUUAUUUAACAAUCACCAUUAUUGCUGGUUAUAUGCAUUGUGAUGAAAAUUCUGCAAUGAGUAACUUUUUACCUAAUGUUUUCUGUUGGAACAAAUUACUCUGGUAGAAAAGCCCUACAGGGUUUGAGAAAUCCCAUGAUGUGAUGAUUGUGAGCAUUUUAGACACCGUGUAUGGGUUUAUUUUGUGACUAUAAAAUGUUAAGAUUGUUUCUAGUUUUGGUUUGUAGUGCAUAAAAGGAUUCAAAAUUUGACAUCUGUCUAAAUCAGAUUAAUAACAUGAUAAUGUACCUAUGCAAGAUGUGAGGAAUUGUUUUAUCUCACCCCUAAACUUUAAGAAAUUGAAACAUUAUUAUUCAAAAUAUUUAACAUUUCCAGAAUUGAUAGUUGUCUAUUUGAGCAGUGACUGGUGGUUAUCAUGAACUGAUGUGUGGUUGUGGUUUCAAAUCUUGGUGAAACCUGUUGUCAUAUGCUGAUUAACAUAGCUAGUCUCUGAAACAAUUUGUUGAUUCACUAAUUAUGAGUUCAAAUUUGAUGCAGAAUGGGCAACCAGCCUUCUGCAAACAAAUCUUCUGGAACAGUUCAGAUGAAGGGAUAGCCAAUCCAGCAAAACUGCAACCGCUGUGGUUAGCCGAGCAUCUUAUUUUACUUCUACAUGUUAGCUGACUGAUUGUAGACAGUUUUAACUAUGUUGACUGCAUUAUCUUAUGAAUCUUUUAAUCUGUCAAAUAUUUAUUUCCUGGUUUAAGUUCUUUCCCGUUUAUAACAAAUUUAAUUUCUUGCUCCAUUGCAUUCCAAAUUCCUGUCAAUUUACGAGGGAAAAGGAAAAGAGAGACAAAAUGGGAGAAAAUGGUCAAAUUUGUUAGGGGGAGAGAGCUGUUCAAGUAGUUUUUGUUCUCGUUUAUUGUCAUAUCGGAUGGGUAAAGUUACCGAAACAGCGUCAUUUUGGGUGAAUUAUCAUAUUUAUGUAACACUUUUGAUAAUAUUUUUAUGCAACAAAAAAAUGUUAGUACCCUUUUCACAUUGUGAAGCGCAUGAUCGGAUGAGAGCAGUCUGUAUUCUGGCAUCACAAGCUAAUGCUUUGAUUUGCUUAGUUUGUUUUUUUUUUUUUCAUGGAAUUUGGAGAUGUUGUACAUGUAUGAAGAUGACGUAAUAAAGUUGUUUUGAUAAAUUUCCCUGGUCGGUUUACUUCACUAACCAUUAAUGCGCAAAGCCUCCUAAUGACCCUAAAAAAUCCCGUACAUAAUUAAAGAAUUUCAAUUUUAUACGUACAAAAAUAAAUAACUCUCAAAUAUAUUAUUUGAUAAUUCCAAAAACAGCAAUUCAUUCUAAUAAAUCUCGUAGGAAAUACAUGGUCUAUAUUGCAAGUUUUUUUUAGACUAAUUCAAAGAGAAAAUAUGAAGGACAUAUUAUUGUCCUUUAAUUGUCAUAAAGAACUCUAAAUAAAUUCUUAUACGCAUUGCAACUAAUUACAGCCUUGAUACUUCAUUUGGUUUUUGUUAAUUUUCUAUACAGUUGUGCUGUGCAUUAAAGUUUUGUUAAAUGAAAUCGGUAGGUGAGGAUUAAUUAAUCAAUUAAUUAAGAUCCAGUUAAUGUAAUUAAUUUUAUUUGAUUUUUUUAAUUCGAGUUCUAAAUUAAUCAAUUAAUUUAGAUUCAUGUGAAAUUGAAGUGAAUUAGUUUCGAUCUGUUUUUCGUCCUAUGUUUGUCUGUGUUUACUCUUACUUUGUUUUUUUUGUUUAAAUUUUGUUUUCUUAUUGUUUACUGAAUAAAUUUCUGAGCUUUAUUUGAGUAUGAUGAUUGAUUUGUGAUUUUAAUCUAAAUGUGUUGGGCUGCGAUUUAAUUGAGUGAUGUGUGAGCGCCAAAUAUUCAAUAACUGAUAAAUUAUAUUUAUAAAUAUUAAUAGCGAUGGCACAUAAACAAUUAAUUCAAGAACUUGCCCAUAGUGAUUAAUUUAAAGAGUAUAAGUAACAUCGCAAUACAGUCUAGCCCUUACAUGUUUAAUUAGCAAUUGAAAACUACUGUUGCUGAUGAGGUAGAACAUUAUAACACUGUUGCUGAUGAGGCAGCUGGUAAUUCUUCUGGUGAAGAUAUUAAGACUAUUAAAGCUGAAAUGUAAUUAGAGAAAUAUAAUGCAUUCCCUUAGUUUGCUUUUUGUUUUUUAUAUUUGUUUGGCUAAUGCUUUGCUUAGAUUGCUUUUUGUUUUUUGAGAUUUUAUUGGCUUAGUCGUGGGGUAUUGUUUUCUCUUCUAAUUUCUAUUUUUGUUGUUAUGGGAUUUGAUUGUGGUGUACAUAUACGAAAAUUAUGUAAUCAAAUGCUUUCAAUAAAUUAUUUAAAUUAGUUUUCAACUGAGAUUUGAAUUUUGAAAUUACAUACACAAACAAGCCCUUUUUUUAAAAUACUAAUAAUAAAAUAUUUCAUUUUUCAUCUAUUACUACAAGAGGUAUAAUCGCAAAAGUGAGGAAGGCAGUCAUCCUCUGUUCAAUUAUCAAAAACUCCUUUUACCAUCCAUUUGAACAUACAUAAUCACGCCCAAUUUGAAAAAAAAAAAGUAGUAAUUUUAAAAUAUUUCAAUCGUCCACUGUUCAGUCACCAAAAACCAAUUUACCAUCCAUUUCAACGCCUAAUUUGAAAAAAGAAAAUACUAAUAAUAAAAUAUUCCAGUCGUCCAUCCUUUCACAAACCAAAAAUAUCACCAAAAACCAAUUUCCAAUCUAUUUCAAAACAAUUUUUGCCAAAGUCCUCCUCGGCUAAUUAAUUCAUACAUUAAUACAGUCCUCCUCUGCUGAAUAAUGCAAACCCGUUACGUUAUUCUACCAUUUCUUUUUAAAGCAUUCCACCAUUUAAUAAAAAAAUUCGAAAACCCAUUAUAUACAAUACAAAAAGCCCACCGACACCAAACCAUAUUAAUUUAAAAUAGUUUUCAAUUGAGUUUUGAAUUUUAAAAUUACAUACACAAACACACCCGAUUUAAAAAAAAUAAUAAUAACACUAACAAUAAAAUAUUUCAGCCGUCCUAUGUGUUAUCGCCAAAAACGGAUUUCCAAUCUAUUUCAACGCGCGGUAUAUGAGUUAACAAGUCCCAAUACUGUCCUCCAUCCUUUCUGCACUUCUCUGCUAUCAACGGACAUCUCGAGAUCCGUAAUUCCAAAAGUGAGGAAGGCAGGCCCUUCUCCGGAAAGUAUUUGAGCUUGGGACAAUCAAAGAGAUACAAUUCAGUGAGGUUUUGAAGAUCAACAAUUGAAGAAGAUAGGCGUUCCAGAUUUGGAAAAGCUUCAAUCCACAGAGAUGUUAGAGAGGCAGGAAGAGGAAGCGCGGUCCCUAAUCUUUUGUCCUCUAGUGGAAAUGAAACCAUGUCCUCAUCGCAUCUGCUGAUUGUAAGACGUCGCAGAGAGGAGAAUCUGUGAAAUCCCCGUCCCCGCUCAAUCAUUGACUUCCAAAUCUCCAUAUUACCCCAAAUAUCAAGUGACUGAAGGUUGGUGGGAAGGCCAUCUUCUUCUUCAAGGCUUGGAAGCGCACCUCCUUUUCCUAUUCUUAAGUAUUGAAGAGAGGUCAGAUUGUGCAUUCCCUUGGGUAAGGCCUCUAGUCUCUUACAAUCAAGUAUCGUCAGCCUCGUGAGUUUCGCACAAGGCAAUCCCCCUUCGGGAAAGGACACCAGAUUUCCACAACUAUCUAUACUGAUUGUUUCAAGAGAUGUGUUGUUGUCCAACCUUUCUGCUAUUGACCCCAGAGGUAGAUUGCCAACUUCAAGGGACUCAAGCGUGGCAGGUAACUCGUUUUUUGAAAAUAUACAUGUCAGAGAUGGACAACUAAUAAUUUCUAAGUGCUCGAGAAGAGAUGAGGUGUACCUUCUGCUGCUGCUGCUACACUGGAUGCCCUCUUCCACUGUCAAAGUCCUUAUAUUAUAGCAAUCGCAGAUCUGCAACUUCUUAAGGCUCGAUGGUAGCUGGACCGCAGCAAUAUAUGUCAAGGAAUGGCACUUCUCAAUAUCCAAGAUCUCGAGAGACGAAUUGGUGUCGCACAUCCAUGCCUCUGGUAACGAUUUCAGUGCAUCACAAUGCCUAAUCUGAAUUUUCUUCAACUUGGAAGGCAGAGCAACCUCAGGAAAGGAAACAAGGGAACUGCACUUGCAGAUUUCUAUCUCUCUCAAGGAACUGAGGCUGAACGAUGAUUGUGGCAGCUUCACAAGGCCUUCGCAAUUACUCAAUCUUAGAUAUUCAAGUCUGCAUGACAACUCGCAGAGCUGCUGUUGUUGGUCUUUCUUUUCCUCCGCCACCAAGGAUUGAAGUUUGGGACAGCUGUCAAUCGUCAGUCUUUUGAGAGAGCAAAUGUCUUGCAGUAAUUCGUUAUGACUCUUCCAUAUAUGUGUUUCAUUUUUAAUAUUUUUUAUCUCCAAUUCUUCCAGUUUUGGUAUUCGCGGCUUCAAUGGCCCUGCGAGAAACACUUGAUUUGAUGUAUCUCUACAAACCACUGAAUUCUGUGAGCCGAGAUGAUCAGUUGCACUUCUCCACACAACCUUUUUACAUCCACCAAUUUCCAUUUUGCAAAGAGCUGGAAGACUCGCAAUUGAAAUUGAUAAUUCUUCGCAUUCUCCAAUAACAAGCAUCUCCAAUGCAGGAAGGUGCUCUGGAAAUGUUCCUUGCAGUUUAGAACAUCUUAAAAUGUGAAGCUCUCUCAAUUUAGGAAACCGUUCAACUCCUUGACUGGAUCCAUGAGGAAUCCACUCUUCCCACUCUUGCAGGUCUUCAAAACGAAGAGUCUCCAAGCAUGUAAAUGGAAUUUGAGAGUCAUCCCCAUAGAACUCUGAACCCAAUCUCUUUACUCUACUCAUUCCACGCACUGUAAGAUGCUUUAGAGAGGGCAGUUGGCCGACUGACGGCAGGGCAGUACACAUGCCGCAAUCUUCAAAUUUAAGUGUUACUAAAUUUAAGAAUGAGGAAUCUCCUAACCAUGUUGGAAAUUUUGUACCUCCAUAGCCACAGAUACCAAAUUGUUCCAGAUUUUUAUGGGGUUUGAGCACGUCAAGCACACCCAUUUCAGUUUCUGCCUCCCUUGAAGAUGAACCAUCGGUGCUGCAAGUCCAAUUAAGCGAUAAUUCUCUAAGAUUCUUCUUUCCAUCCAACCGAGCCUCCUUUGCAUCACCAAUGUCUUUUACAUUCUCUAAUUUUGAAAUUUUAAGUGUCCCCUGAAGAUGUAUCAAUGACUUUAGCUCUCGUAACCCAGAACCAUUGUCUUUUCCCACAGCGAAAUUACCCAGCAUUUGAAGACAAGUCAGCUUACCAAUUCCUAGUGGCAUUUCCUCCAAGGAAUCUGUAUUUGAAUUAUUGAGAUGAUGCAAUUUGAUGAGAUUUCCCAUGUCUGCACACAACUUCUUCAGUCGUCGACAGCCCUCCAAAAGAAGGGUGUGCAAGUUGUAAAGCUUGCUGACUGAUUCAGGCAGAGUUUUAAUUUCAGUUCCAGACAGGUUAAGGUGCCUUAAAUACCUCAAAUCACCAACUGAAUCCGGCAGCUCGGCUAUGCAAUAUCCACGCAGAGAGAAGACCCUUAAGCUUUGGAGUUUGAACAACUUAGGAAGAAUGCUAUGAGCCAAGUAUCCAUGCCGACUAUUUAACAUCACUGGUAAAAAAUUUCUCAAAUGUUGGAUAUCAUACAAUUUCUCAAACCUUUGAACGCCAUCAUAAUCUCCACGAAUGUACGACAGAUGACGAAGAUUUCUAGAAAAACUUUGUUGCUUGUUAACCUCCGAGGUAUACUCCAGUGUGAAGUAUGUCUCCCCUGCAGCCCAACGGGCAAGGUCGUUGAUAAGAUCGUGCAUAACAAAUCGUGACAUACUGUUGCUCGAUUGCUGGAAAAAAGAUCUUCCACGUAGCUCUUGAAAGAACUUUCGACCAAGAUCUUCACUAGGAUUCCCACUCUCUCCGUGAUUCAAGAAACCCACAGCACUCCAUAAUAAAAUUAUCUCCCCCUCUUCAAAUUCAUAAUCCUUUGGAAACAAUGAGCAAUACGCAAAGCAUUGUUUCAAAGGUGCCGAAAGAUAAUAGUAGCUCACUCUAAGCGCCGGCAUAAUGUCACAUCUCUCUUCUUGCAAUUCCCAUAUCUUGGUACUGAGCACUCUCUCCCAAUCACAUCUGUCAUCUUUUCCUCGCAAAAGUCCUCCAAGUGUUUGCGCUGCCAAGGGCAAGCCAUCGCAUUUGGCCACUAUCUUCUUGCCAAUUUCCUCCAAUAACUUAUCUGACCCCAAAGAGUGUUGAGCGAACACAGACAGACAAUCAUCGUUUGACAACUUUUUCAAUUCAUAAGCCGGAGCAGUCCCCAUGAUGGCUGCAACCCCUUGAUUACGAGCUGUGACAAUAAUCUUACUUCCCGGUGCGCCAGCUUCAAAUGGACGCCUGAGUCGAUCCCAAUCAUUGUAAUUCUCAUUCCAAACGUCAUCUAAAACAAGCAAAAAUUUAUUUUGAGAUAAUUUCUUCUUCAGCUCCUCUUGAAGCUUAUUCAAGUCGUGAUUAUCCACAUUCUGGUCACUAGCAAUUGAAAGUAGGAUUGAUUUUGUAAGCCUGAUAACAUCAAAAUCAUCAGAGACGCAAGUCCAUGCCUUGAGAUCAAAAUGAUCCUGCACUUGCUUAUCAUUGUAGACAAGCUGAGCGAGAGUGGUUUUGCCCAGCCCGCCCAUACCAAUGAUAGGAAUAACGGAGAAUUCACCAUCAUUUCUCAAAUCAUCCCUCAACAACAAUACAACAAUUUCCUUCUUUUCUGUUUCCCUCCCAUAUACCUUGGCUUCAUUCACCAAAGAGGUUGUGGGUAGUCUUUGCCUAUCUUUUUUGGACCUUCCAACUGAACUUACGUUCAAACCCAGCGAGUCUUUCUGUGUUACAAUAUCUUGAAAUCUGUCGUUGAUCUCUUUGAUUUUGGACAUUAUGGCGUAAUCGAACUGAAUCGAUUGUGGAGUAAAAGUGGUGCAGCAAGUAGGAAUGAGCUUCCGAAACUUACUUGUUCUUGUACGACUGCUACUGGGUUGAUCAAGAGCAGCAGCUGGAUCUCGAUUUCCAAGCAGCAACUUCCUCCGGAAAGCCUCAGUUUGAAACUCAUCCAGCAAGUCUUCAACAUCAAAAGCCAAGUUCUGAAGCUCGCCAAGCCACAACUUCACAGACUGAUCAGUCUUCUUCUCCUCAGCAUCAGCAAGCACCGCCUUGAUCAUCACCAACAUAUUCUUCCACUUCUUUAGGUCGGCUUGGAUUUGCUCUUGGCGUGCAAACAGCCGAAUCCCCUCUGAAGCUAACUUAUUGACCAGCAAAUCAAUGGACGCCGUAAGGAUUGCCUCUCCGAUGAAUGACAUUUUUUGUUCUUUUGCUUUUUUUUUUUUUGGUUUUGCAAAGAAAGAAAGGAGCAGAAUUAUGGGUUAUGGAAAGCAGAAUGAGAAAAUGGAACAGGUGAGAAAAUGGAUAAUUAAGCAGAAUGAGUGUGUGAUUGUGAAGGGUCUGGCCCAGCAAGCUUAGUAGAAAUCACGCGUUGAUACUUUAUUGACCAAUGACUAAUAAUUUGGCAAUUCACUCAUCACCACCACUUGGUAAGCAAAAUGAAAAUGCUUAGUAAUUAAGUGUCAAGGGUCAAGCAAAUACGGCGUUAAUCCAGUGUCUAUUUCCUAGAACCUUCAUCUCAUAAACCAAGUUCAAUCAAAACGUUCCUCUCUCGCUAUUUUUUUUUUAAAAAAAAAAAACUCCUAAAACGUUUCUUUUUAGAAAUAUUUUACUUUAUUCAUCUAAUAUGUUAUCUAACAAAUACACACAAUUGAAAUCACUCUAAAGUGAAGAUGAAAGGGGAAAAAAAUUACCUUCCAACCACCAGUAAUCUAGCAAGCUUCACUUUAUUCCACCAAAGUGUAAAUAAAGCCAGCCCCCACCGGCAUCAAUAAUUUUGCAAGCUUCACAGGCUUGUUGUCUUCUCCUUGACGAACUGGACAUGAGUGCACCAAGAAUCAAUGACAGAAUUUUAAAAAUAAUAAUAAGAGAAAAACCUACAUAUUUUCGACUUAGAGUAGAACCUUAAUUAAUGCUAAAAUCUACUCAGCUAAUUUUCAAAACCGUGAUUAGGGUUCAUCUCAAAUGUUUGAAGAGAGUCUAUCAGUUCUUCUACGUUAAGAAUAUCAAAAUUCUUGCUUUUUCUUCAAACAUUGAAGAAUGAAAACAAAAAGUUGAAUAUGGAAGAAAAGAGAAUGCAUCCAUCUUCGCUGUAGAAGUCUUCUACUUAUAAAAGCAAGUUAGAAUAAACUAUUUUAAUCUCUCUUUUUAUUCUUGUAAGUGCACUACAUUUUUUUUUUUAAUCUCAAUGCGAAAUCAUAUCAUAAUGUUAUAUUCAUGUUGUAAAACGAAAUUUUAGAUAAAACAAAUUCGACUCAUUUUUUAAAGGUAUAUAUUUAAUAGGUUACUAACAUAACUAACAAAACGUGAUUAUUACACUAAGGACAUGUUUGGUUACUGUAUUAUAACCCCUCAUUGCAUUAGUUUUAUACAAGCCUAUGUUUGGUGAAUUAAAAACUACAGAAACACUGCAUUAUGGGCCUAGCUAAUGCGGCAAACUGCCGCUUGCUGUUUCCUUUUUUUUUUUUUGCCUUUUCAUUUCCAACUUUUCAGUUUUUGCUAACUUUUGUUUUUACUUUAAUUUUUUUUUUCUUUUCGUUUCCAACUUUUCAGAUUUUACUAACUUUUGCUUUUACUUUAAUUUUAUUAUAAUAAUAAUAAUAAUAAUAAUAAUAAUAAUAAAUAUUUUUAAUUUAAUAUUAUAUUAUUUAAUAUUUUUAUUUUUACAUUUUAAUUUAUUAAUAAAUUUACAAUUUAUUAUGACUAAUAAUAAAUAUUUAAAUAUGAAUAAUAUUAAUUUAAAAUUAAUAAUAAUAUAAAAUAUUAAUAUAAUUUAAAUAUAUUAAUAUAAUAUAAUAUAAUAUUUAAUUUAAAUUAAUCAAAAAAAUUAUUACAGUACAGUGUAGUACCAAACAUUGUACAGUAUUAUUAUAAUAUAAUACUAAUAUAAUACAGCAUAAUAUAAUACAACAACAUUAAAGUAAUGCAAUACAACAUAAUACAAUACGUGUACCAAACACACCCUAAAUGAAAUAAAAGACAGUACUAUCACCAAUAAUUUAGCCAGUUUCGCAUGCACGUGUUUCUAAAAACAUUAUAUGGAAUCAAACAACAGUGAUACAAAGAGAAAAGUGGAAAUCCUCUGAUUGUAUUUUUUUUUUUUUUUCAAAAGAAAUGGUGGGGUUGGUUUGUUUGCAAAGUUAUUAGCGUGGGUCUAUUUGUUUUUGUUUUAACUUUUUUUUUUAAACCAUUCAGUUUCUGGCGACCGCAUUGAAUCCUGACUAAUUCGAAUUCGAAGUGUAAUCACAGUUAAGACUCAUUACCCCUCCCAAAUGGUGUGUUUAAUGGGGAUCGAAACCGAGAGCCCUUCUCACAAAUCCAACCAGCGUUGCCAACGGAGCCACAACCAUUUGGUUUGUUUUAACUUUAUUAUUCGAUAAGCAAACGUGUAAUGAUUUGUAAAUAUCACUAGCAUCACAUUAUUGGGAGGUAUUGGGCUUAGUAUUCACAAUUUUUGUAAGAUGAAUUUGUAAGACUAAUUAAUUUUGAUGAAAAUGUAUCGUUAUUAAGAUAUUAUUUAAUUCAUUAAGUUAACUUGAGGUAUUAAUAUUCACUAAUUGUGGUGCUGAUUAAUUUACUUAACUUGUCACUAUUUGCAAUUAUGAAUGAAGUUCAAUCAAUUUAUUGAGAAAAAAAAAAAACAAAGAUACCUUUUUUCUUUUGAUUUUAAUUCUUAGGAUUUGAUUUCACACUCUUUCGUUUUUUUACGUUGCUAAAGAGGCAGUAAAAAGCUUGCUGAAUGUCAUCAAAUUGGCAAUAUUUGUUUGGUAUUUCAUCUCAACGGAUGCAGUAAGAAUUGCCUCUCUGAUGACUGAAAUUUUUUUUUCUUUUUUUGGGCAAAGAAAGAAACAGAAUUUUGAGUUUUGAAAAGCAAAAGGAGAAAAUUGAACAGUAAGUGUGGAGGGUCAAGCAAAAUGCGCGUAACAAGCCUUCCGCUUGUUGUUUAUUCCAGUAAAGCGAUAAUAAAAUCAGAGCCCGCCACCCAUUAAUAAUUUAGCAAUUCACCAGUCACCAGUCACCAGUCACCAGUCACCAUGAAUAUAUUAAAUUGCACCUUGUAUUUGCGGGAUCCAGCAACAUUGACCCAGUGUCCGGGUAAAUACUGAAUAAAGAGGAAAAUGGAAUGUAUCCACUACGAACCUUCGCUUUGCAAGUCUUCAAACUCAUAAACCAAGAUAAAUCAAAACGUUUAUCUCUUCUAUCUCUUUUUGCCAUAUAAUUACUUUAUUUAUUGAAUUAAUUUCCAUGCUAAAAGGAAGACUUAAAACUGCACUACAAUUUUUUAUAAUCACAAUGAUAAUUCCUACUACCAUGUUAUUUUAAUAUCGUGUCAAAAUAAAUUAUAACAAAAUUUUUUUUAUAUGAACACUCUUUUUAUUUAUAAAUUUCUCGAUUUUUAAUAUUUUUUUCACUCUUUUAGUCUUAAUAUUUGUAUUUCUCUCUUCAAACUUUCUUUAUUAUUUAAUUUUUAAAUAAAAAUAUGAAAAAAAUAAAAAAAAUAUUAUAUUUAAAAAAUAAUAAAUAUUUUAUCGGUCUAAUCCAUUGACAAUGAAAGAGCACGCGAAAAAUCUCACGCAUAGAAAACUUUGUGAAAGGCAUUUGAAUGUGUUGCCACAUUUUCCAAACGAAACGAUAAGGCUUUAGCCUUAUAAUUGCAAUUAGUUUGUCUUGUAACGAAAUUAUUGCCGACAAACACCAUCAUGCUGACAAGCCGUGCAUGCACGUCCUCAAUCACCCAUGUCCUCUACUUGUCUUUUGGUGUUUACGGUGUAGUUAGGGAUGGUAGCGGGUAGGGUCUGGUACGGGUUUGACAUCACCAAACCCGCAUCUACAAAAAAUUUUAAUUACGUAAUUCAAAUUAUAAAUUUAUAACCGUUGCCUAAAAAAGCCACAUAAAAUACUUAAUUCUACAUUUUAUCAAUAUAAAUGAGAAAUGAAAAUAUCAACAUUAAAACAAAUACACAAAAUAUAUCAAUUUAACACCAAUUCUAAAAUUCAAUUACCAAAUAAAUAAGUCUAUCACAACUCGAAGUGCUUUUAAUUUAAAAUGAAAAAAGAGAAAGAGAAAAAACAAAGAGCUACAAAUCAAAGUAGCACCCAGACCUAUUUCAUAGGCUCAUUCGACACUAAGAUCUUAGAAUUAAGAUCUUCAAUUCAUUCAUUACCACUAGCACCCAUUCAACGUGGUUUUUCUAAGCAAAAUAUAAAGUACAAAAUUACAAUAAGCAUAUGAUACUCCAUGCUUUAAGUUAAAGGUCCUUAUAUAAUUUUAUGAAUAAUGAUUUAGUGAAAUUUUAUGAUUAAAGUUAAAAAUACACAAAUAUUAAAAUAAGAAUGUUGGACACUUGCACAACUAUUUGCCAAAUUUUUUCUCUAUAAAAAUUCACUUGCAACUUGCAGCAGGUUUAAAUUUAUAAUAUCAAACUUGAUUGUAGCUCGCAAAAUUUUUAGAUUUGCGAUAAUUUUGCCACCCUAAGUUUAGUUAGUAUUGUAUAUCGUGUGUUUCCAAUUGGCUCUUAUAAAAAGCCUAGAAGUUGUAUGAAUAAUGAGGGAGACAAAUAUUUCCCAAAGAUAUUAUCUUUUUCAAAUUUUUUUCUUUUCUCUAUUAUUGUAACUUCAAAUCCUUAAAAAAUUACAUAUUACAGACAUGAACACAAUGUUUUGACAUAGUGGCUUUUGGCUUGUCUAGAGAAAUUUAGGAUAGAUUUUGAUGUACUAAGGCUCUGUUUACUAUUAAGAUUUUGGAACUUUUGAGCCACACUUGAAAUUUGUUUAAUUCUAAUAGAGUUGUAGCCUUCGAUAUGUGAUUGGUAUUAAUCAAGUGUUAUGUUUACAACAGUUAAAGGCAUAUUGAAUCAAAGUCCACUUUUGAUUGAGAUUUUAAAGUAGGUUUUUAACUUGAUAGCCACUCAAGUUCAAAUAUUGGAACCACAGUGCACCUUUCACUUACUAGGCUUUAACCAAACAGACGACGUUAUACAAACUUCUAUCCAAUAAGGCAAUGCAAACAAAAGCAAGUGAAUUAAAAAUAAAUAAUUUCUCAUUAAUUUGCAACAAGUAUUAAUAAAGUGCAUGAGAAAAUAUGUCUUUUUUUAAAUGAAAAUAAAUGUGUUAAUUAGUCAAUUUAAAUGGUACGAUAUUUUGAAAUGAUAGAAGCGAUCUGGAGUUUAAAUCUUACUCUUGACGUAAUAUUUAAUAACGAAUUUGAAGAACAAUUAAAAAUUAAAAGAAAAGAAAAAAACACUUUCUUUCUUAAUGAUGGUAAUUUGUUCAGAUGAUGAAAAUUCUUAGAGUGGUAUAAUAAGUAUUUUUGAGUGUUGCCAUCGCCAAUAAUAUUUAAUUUCCUUUAUAUAGUUAUAUCUCAAGUAACAUUUAAAUAGAAGCAAGUUGGAAAUUAAAAAAAAAUGAACCAUUGAGAGAAUGAAAAACAAACAAAAAAAAAGUUAAAAAAUUGUAUCUCAAUAAAUUUACUUGAGGGCUACUCUACUGAUCUGUGAAGAGAAAACACAAAGAAUAAUGAUGUAUCUCAAUUAAUAGGACAAUUUUUGUAUUUUUCGUUUAUUCAAGAAUCACGAAACUUCAUUUAAACUUGUUAUUUCAUUGAUAAUAUAUUAACAUUGAACAAUGUAGGGGACAUUCCUUUCCAAUUAUGCCCAUAUAUUAACUAAAGGCCACCAAAAAGUUCAGGGAUACUAUAGUAAUUUAAGUCAACAAUUACUAUGCUUGAAAUCAGCCAAUCAAACUCACUUUAGAAUAAACUGAGAAAUCAAAAUCACAUUCUCCAAUUCUACGAUUUCAAUUCAUCUUCUUUCUUCAACUGAAGAAUUGGUUGUAUCUCGUUUAGAUAAAUAUAAAAUAUAAAUGAUGAGGAGACUAGAAAAGUAAAAUCAAAAGAAGAGCACGAGUUUUGUUGAAAAUGACUCUUUUUCAUCAUUGUGCCGGAGUGAAUGUAUCUACAUAUAAACUAAAGAAGCACAUUUGUUUGUAUUAGCUUUUUUAUUGUAUUUUUAAUAAUAAGUCAUUUUUCAAUGAACUUAUAUCAAUUUUUAUGAAAAUAAUAUGUGUUAGUUAGUUGAUUCAAAUGGCAAAACCUCUUGGGAUAGAGCUUGUAAUUUAUUGGCUCAUGAAUUGUCUAAAUUGACACUACCGAAGCCAAAUUAUUGUAUUUGGUUAAAAAAGCUCCUGCUCAGCUUCAACUUUAUUAUUCUAUGAUGUUUGUUAAUAAAUAACAAUUUUAUUGAAAAAAAAAGACCCCUUGAACUUAUACAAAAGAUUUGGGAUCUGAAUCUGACUUGAAUUUAGCUUGAGGUUGACAUUGUUAGCAUAAUAAUUGAAGAUAGAUUUUUUUAAAUUAAAAAUCAAAAGAUAUAUAUAUUUUUUUGGUUCACACUAGUUAGUUUUAACUCAUAGUGAGAUUUAAACAGAAGCAAAAUAAUAAAUCUUAACAUCCUGACUCAUGGAUAACAUUUACAUAAGAUAGUAAAAUCUAUUAUGUCCAAAAUAAGAGGUGUGAAGUUUGAAUUUUGCUCACAUAGGUAGUAAGAGAAUCAAAUUAUUGUUAGAUUAAAUUAAUUAAAAAAAUUAUCUGAUAUCCAAAACAGCGUAUCAACAAAAUUGAAAUAAAAGAAAAUUGAAGAGAAAAACCAUUGAGAGAACGAAAAAUUAACACAAGAUAAAUUCGAUAACUAAUUGUAUCAGUGUGCGCUAACUUCACUUAUUAAAACUUGGUUAUUUCAUUUUCAUUGAUAAUCAUUUUGACAACGAUUUUUCUUUCCAAGUAUGCCCAUGAACUAAUAAGAGAACUGCCGAAAGGGUUCGGGGAUAAUAUGGUAAUUUAAAUUAACAUUUCCUGUGCUUCAAAUCAUCAAAUCAAACUCACACUUCACAACAACAGAGAAAUCAAACUCACGGUUUCUCUCAUUUUUAAUUUAUUAUAUAAAGAUAAAUAUAUAAAAUUAAAUGGCGAGAAGACCGGACGAGGAAUACGAUUACUUGUUCAAAGUGGUAUUAAUCUAAAAACAAUAAUAUUAAAUAAAACACCUGGGAGUCGUAAUGGAAAGAAGAAUACAAUAUAUGAAACUUAUAAUGUUAUUUUUACUAUAUUAUAUUGAUACUUUGUUUUGUUAAUCAUAUAAGUCAAUCAGUAAUUAUUUAAUCAUUGGAAUUAAAACUAAUGUAUUAAUUAAAAUUCAAAAUCUAUUAUAAAAAUAGUAAAUAUUAAUAUAAAGAGAUGGACCUAUUACAAAAUACAUUCACCAAAAGUUCUAUUAUACUUAAAAUUCUCAUUCACAAAAAAAAAAAAAAAAAUAGUUGAAUACAUGUACAAAAAAAGGGGAUAAAUAAAAAAUAAUAAUAAUAAAUAAUAAAAGGAUAGUUUAUAUAAUAAAAAAUAAAUUUAUUGAAUAGAGAUGUUAAUAAUAAAGAAUAAUAGCCUAAUCAAACUCACUUUAGAAUAAACUGAGAAAUCAAAAUCACAUUCUUCGAUUCUACAAUUGAAUCUUUUUCAUCAUUUUGUUGGAGUGAAUGUAUCUACAUAUAUUGGGGACCAUAAUGGAAACCGGUAGAACCUACAAGGGCUAAAAUCAAAACAACGAACGAUAUCUCAAGGUCGCCGAAACGUAAAUAAUUAAUCUUAUCUUUCAAUUGAUUUUUGUGGAGCCAGAGACAAUUAAACCCGAACAGCAAAUAGCCAUAAAUGAUAGGACAAUUAAAUUGGAACUCUUCACAGACCCACGAUUUAAUAUCUUUAGAUUGUAACGGUUUAACCCAAAAAAAAAAUAGUAAAAUAUUUCUUAAAAAAAUGAAAAAAAAAUGUUGAAAAGAAGAACAAAAUUCUGGUCCACGUGUCAUUUCAAAAUAGGUUGCUGGCAUAAACAACCGGCCCCAUCCCGGACAGAUGUUAUUUGAGUGGUUGGUACGCAUUUCCACUUUUUUGUUUUAGAUGCAACGACUCAUGCACUAAAUAUAUAUAUAUAUAGGGAAUCCCUAUCUUACAUGCAUGUAAAAUAUAUUUUUCUCAUAUAAAUAAUAUAUGUGUAGAAUUCACGUACUGUUUAUGUAAGAGAGAUGUAUCUUACAUACAUGUAAGAUAUGAGGAUUCAUGAAUAUAAUGUUAUUAGUUUAAAUAAUGGGUGCAACUCAUGUUUUUGAAACAUUAAGAUCUUUAGCCAUUCUCUUACUAUCCCGUGGUUAUUUAAGUUACAAGAGACAGUAAAACAACAACGUCAUAUUUUAAUUACUUACACUAAAUAAAUUACUCACACUGAUGCCGCGACUGCCGCUUGCUUUUUUUCUUUUUUUUGCCCUUUUAAUUUUGACUUUUGCUUUUACUUUUUGAUUUUUGCUUUUGGUUUAUAAUAAUAAUAACUACUUUUUAAUUUAAUAUAAUAUUAAAUAAUAUUUUUAUUUUUAAUUUUACAUUAUAAUUAUUAAUAUAUAAUUUAUUAUUUAAUAUUAUUAUAUUAUGUUUUUUAUUUUUACAUUAUAAUUUAUAAAUAAAUUUAUAAUUUAUUAUAACUAAUAAUAAAUAUUUAAAUUUGAAUAAAUUUGAAUAAUAUUAAUUUAAAAUUAAUAAUAAUAUAAAAUAUUAAUACAAUUUAAAUAUAAUAUAAUAUUUAAUUUGAAUUAAUCACAAAAAAUUAAUAUAAUACAGUGUAGCACCAAACAUUGUACAUUAUUAUUAUAAUACAGUACUAAUACAACGCAACAUAAUACAAUACACCAACAUUAAAAUAAUACAAUCUAAUAUAAUACAAUACAGUGUGCGAAAUGCACCGACAUGGUAUUACUUUGUUUGUCUUGUUACUUACAGUUAUUUAAUCUGUAGACCCACUCAUGCUCCUUCUAUGUAACAUAGAUACAAUUUGAGGAAGAUUAUCAAUUUUUUUAUUAAAAAUAAUAUAUACCACUUAUUUUUUAUUAUUUUUAUAAUGUUCAACAAUUCGCUUGAGAUCAAAAAAUUAAAUGAAAAGAAGGAGUAAAUAGAUGAUUUACUUGAUGUUGUAUCUUAGAAAUAUAAAAUAUAUUUAUUUAUUAUUAAAAAUAUUUAAAAAUAAUAAAGAGUAUAUAAAAAGUAUCUUAUCCUCAACAACAAGAUCAGACGACGUCAAUUCAGCAAAAUGACUUGAAUAACUUGAACGUCCAGCAACGGUCACCUCUUGGCGCACACAUGGCAACGUGCGUAGCUUUGGCAAGAGGUCUCCCAAAAGGACGAUUAAGAAAAGAUUGCAGGACAAAUCAUGAAAAUAGUAGUACAGAUAUGCAAUGGCUAAAUUUCCUCGAUUAAGUCCAUCGCAAUCAAGUCUUAGAAAUCACACCCCUGUAUUAAUUUCCAGAAAUAUGUUUGUUCCAUAUUUAUCGUGCACGUAUAUAUUGUAUGUAUUGGGAAUAGAAAGAGUGUAUGUAAAAAAUUCUUCAUUCAUCGAUUAAAACUUAAUUUAUGUACGAGGGUUAAGUGUAGUGUUUUUAAAUUUAAAAAGGACAAGUGUCAAUCCACUGAGGCUUGACUCAAUGGCUAGAGCCACACUCCCUCACAAAGUGGUUCGAUCUCCCACAGAUGUAUUAUAGAAGUUUAAUUUAAAUUUUUUUUCUCAAAUUUUGAGUGAAGACAGUCUUUCUCCCCUAAAUAGAGUUUUUCUAAAAAUUUAAUGUUCUUCGAAUAUUUGAGAUGAUUAAAAUUUGAGCGGUGCUAUAUAAAAUAUAAUGUAAACUAAUCUAAAUAAUUAUAUAAUUAUAAAUAUAAUGAACAAUAGUCUCAUACAAAAAAAUGACAAGUGUAGUAAGCCCAUUUAAAUUAACUUAUAUUUGAGGGGAAAAUCUCUGUAUAUCAUAGUAUAUAUUAUAUAUCCAGUCGUGGGACCCAUACAUGGUUCCAUGUAAUUCGCACAGUUGAACUGGAGACACUGAUUAGUUCGUUGUCUAUUUGCCAACUUAUGUACAACUAAGUAAUUUCAUGCACCAUUUGCGCCUUAUCUAUCCAUCCUGCUUGCAUUGCAUUUUACUAAACAUACAAUGAAAUUAACCCUUGUAAUUUCGGCCUUUGCCAUAGUCGUUUUGUUUAUUAGGUUUAUGUUUAUCAACAUGAUAUGUUGUCAACCAUAAUCACAAUCAAGUUGUUAAUUAUUUUUUAAAUAAUGUGAAGGAACAAGAUUUUGGUCUUUGACUGUGGAGUUAAAAAUAUCUCACCUCAACAUACGGUGUUGUGCUCUCAUCAUCUUAACAUUAUUUGUUAAAAAUUAUGUCAAAGAGGAAAGCAGAUUCAAACAUUACUUCAAUUUUCUUUAAGAGCAUAAAAAAAUCGUUAAUAGGCUACUGUUAUUUGUUAGUACGAUUUCACAGAAGGAGGCUAGAGGAAGAUGAAGCUUUCACGUCAUGUGUGCAUCAAAGUAAGAAACAGAGCUAACGAGAGAUGGACAAGUAUUAACCACUGUUAUCAGAAAUUAAAUAUAUCAGCAUUUUGUUAGUUCUGGCCAUAUUGGAACUAUUAGCACCCUAAUUUUCUUUUGAAGCUCCUUUUCUGUCGAAACCUAUUUUAAUUUCCAAAAUAUUUUUUUUUCAUUUUUUUAGUUUCUUUCUGAUAAAAAAAAAAUCAGUUUCUUAAACAACUCCAACUACAAAUAUUGUUUUACAAAUUUUUGAAUUAUUAAAUCAUAUGUGUGUGUAUAAAUUGAAUAGAAUUAAAAAAGUGGACUCAAAUGGGUAUUGUGUAAUUUUUUUUAUAAUUAAAGAAAAGUUUAGAAUGCAAAAGAGUGUGAGAAAACAAAAAAUAUAAAUCACCUUUGAUGUAGUUGUAUGGUUGUAAAGAGUUAGAUGGAGAAAUAUAGUAUAUAAUUAAAUUUAUUUUGUUCUUUAAAACGGAUAGGUUUUAUACGAAUUUUUCAGAGGAGUGCCAAUAUUUCAACUCUAUCAUUGCUAUUAGUUUGUCUUGUAAUUCAAUCAUUGCCGACAAGUAUUAAUUGUGACUAUUAUUAUUAUUAUCGUCGUUAUUCUUAACAGCAAUGACUAGAAUUAUAAUAAUAACAAUAACAAUAACAAUAACAAUAACAAUAACGUCAAUACAAUAAUAUGGGUCCGCCUAUGUUGCCACUUAUGUAUGUUGCUACAGCUUUUGUCUUUUGUGAUCAGUUAUUGUAACAUCUCAUUGAGUCCCUUACACUCUAUUUUAUUUACAAUUUAUUUAUAAGUAUUAUGAUUUUUUUAUUUACCUACACUUUUAAAAUUUAAAUUUUCACUUCACACUAUUUUUUAUUUACCAUUUUUUAUAAGUAUUAAAGGAGUUUUCGUUUUCAACCACAAAACAAUAAUCAUCAUAACACAUUAUUAUCAAUAAAAAAAAUAAAAUACCCUUAAAUUAGUACUAAAAGAAACUCUUUUCUCUCUUGGAGGAAUCACAAUAGCUCAUCUUCCAUCACUUAUCAUCAAUAAAAUUUUCAAGGAUAUAAUCAAUCAUCUUCUUUACUAUAUCAUCUCAUAAUAAUUAAGACUUUAAUGAUAAAAGAAUUAACAAAAUAAAAAAAAAUUUCCCGUGAAUCCAUCCCUCUCCACUAUCAAUUUCUCUUCAUCAGCAACUUUUAUCAACAAUUGAAGCCACUAUUAGAACUCACCACAAAGAGAGAGUAUGGGAGGGGAAGAAGAAACGGGUAAAAAUAUAUGAAAUGUUUUCAAUUUUAUGAUACGUUUACUAAAUAAGAAUCAUAAUUAGAUAGAAUCAUAGUAAGUUGAAAUUAAAAUGAGCAGGAAUCAAAAUAAGAAAUUGUAAUUAGAAUAAAUUAUUUAUUUGAACUAUAGAAAUAGUAAUUGGAAUAAGCUAUAUUACAAUUAAUGUAUUUACUUUGUUUUAAAAUCAUAAUCGAAAUAAGUUAAGUUGUAACAAACUACCAUAAAGUACUUAAUUAAUUAUUAUCAUAAUUAUUACUUUGUAUUUUAAUUAUUGUGAUUAUUAUUAUUAAAAAAUUUAAUAAUUAUUGCUAACUAUUAUUAUUAACAAUAUAACUCAAAAAUUAUUAGUUAUUGUUAAUAUAUUAAUUAAUUAUAAAACUUUUAUCAUUAAUAAUAAUAAUAAUAAUCCAUUUAAAUAAUAAUAUUAAUUAUUAAUUAUUGUUAAUAUAUUAAUUAAUUAUAAAACUUUCAUCGUUAAUAAUAAUAAUCUAUUUAAAUAAUAAUAAUUAUUAAUUAUUGUUAAUAUAUUAAUUAAUUAUAAGCUUUUAUCGUUAAUAGUAAUAAUAAUAAUAAUCCAUUUAAGAAAAUAACAAUAAUAAUAAAAAAAUUGUCAUCAUCAUCAACGGCAACAAAAAAUGGGAAUCGGUGGCGGCAUCAUCAUCCACAACGUCGGCAUCAUCAUCAUCAUCUUGAAGACGGUCGGUAAAGACGAAGACGACGACGAGAAGGAGAGGUGGAGAUUUGCUCUUUGAAGAUGGUGAUGAGGUCGUUACCUGCAGGGGACUAAAUCAUGGACGGUGAAGACCAAUGACAACCAGCGAGCUAGAACCGAUCCUAGUGCUGUGCUUCUUCUUGGAUGCAACUAAAAAAUUCUUCCUCUUGGCUGCGAUGGAGGGUCGAAACGUUGGAUGUGUUUGUUAUUUUUUUAAUUUUGCUGGCUGUGUUUUCUAAUUAACUGUGGCGUAUUUUGAGAAUUUAAAAAGCUUGAAGGAGUAAAUUUGGUACUUUUAGGGGCUCAAUCAAAUAAAAUAGAGUGCAAAGGGUUCCAUGAAAUUUUAGAAUAAUUAAGUCACAAAAGACAAAAGCUGUUGUAACGUACAACAGUGGCAACAUAGGCGGACCCCAAUAAUAUAACAACAUAAUAAUAUUUUAAUUGGGGUCUUCCACCUGGGUAUGCAUGAUUCCUUGUGACAUGUGCCAAUUAAAUUCUGACAUACGUGCAAUAAAGACUGUAAAGUGACCGGUUAUUCCGAUUGAAUUCACAAGAGCUCUUGUUUGUGUGUUUGUGUUCCAAGUUGUGUACUCUGUGUUACGAGUUCUCUAAUUAAUCUGAUAUUAUCGCAACUGUUGCUCAAUAAUGUUACAUGCAUUAUAAUAUAUGUCACUGGUACGGUCGCUGUCUCAAGUGGUAAACAUUAAGGCACAAAUUUAGAAUGAAAAGUUUCCCAGUAAAAUAAGUUAUUUAAUUAAUUAAAUAAGAAUAAAAUGAAUUUGUGAAAGAAAUUUAAAUUUAAUUUUGAAUUAUUUUGACCAAAAUUUAAGUUUCUUUUUAAUUUGUUUAAGAAAGUGCGUUGUAAUUAUCUUGUUUUAAUUGGAAAAUCAAUGAAAAAAUUAUGUAACAGGAAACAAAAAAAAAAAAAACAAAACAAAACGGUUUGUUUUGGAUGGAGGCCAUAGAUUCCAAUAUUUCCUUCACGAAAACUACAAAAAAUUAUCAAAGGCAUCAAUUUCUACACUCUCACCGAGCAAAUACUCUCAACCCAGAAGAAAGUGUAUAAACCAACCCCAAUUAGUCCAUCAAUGUCGUCAACCUCAUACAACACAAAAAAAUAUGUGUCCAUUAAACCGCCAUCUUGCCAUCUCGUUGUAGUAUUUUGCUGUUCAAAUCUAGUUAUUAAUUGGGGAAAAUGGGGACCAAUCUGCAAGUCUUUAAAAUAGAAAGAAACUUUAAUUGAGCACUAUGUUCACAGUGGUGGACCCAGCGGCAGUAAUCUUUAAGGUGGAGCUAUUUAUACUUUAAAAAUUAUUUUAAACACUCUAAUUUUAAUAAGAAUAUGUAUUGCAAAAAUACUUAUCAUAUAAGUUACUGUUAAGGACAAUAUAUUAUAAGUCAACAUUAUAUAAUUACUUUGAACACUUAUAUAGCACAAUCCUUAUUCAAUUUAUUAUUCUCAUGACUUAAAUAUAAAAAAUUUUAUUUUCAACAUCUUAAUUAAUAUGUAGGUGAAUAAUAAGGAAAUUAACUUUGAGAAAAAAAAUUAAAUACAAAAUAUGUGUAAUACUUUUAAAAAAUAAAAUAAAACAACAGUAUUGCACAAGAUUUUUUUUUGGGGGGGGGGGGGGGGGCUUUGGCCAUUCUUCUUCUUCUCCUUCUCUCUCUCUCUUUUUUUUGGGUAGUAUUUAUGGAACAUUUUCUAUAGUUAUGUUCUCAUCGCAAGUUAUUUUGGGUGCAAAAUUCAAUAUUGAAAAUAAAUUAAAUAAAAAAUUAGUAACUAAAAUUAUGUUAAAUUAUUUUUUUACAACUUAAUUUUUAAUUAUAUUAUUGUGAGUAUAUGCUAAAUCUCUUAAAAAUAGAGUGUUGAAUAAUUUUAUUAGUUUUUUAAAUAAAUAAAGCUAAGUAACUUAAAAAGUUUAAGUAAGGAUAUUUUUGAAUUUUAAACAGUGUACAAAGUAAAAUUUAAUUUUUUUUAUAAUUAAGCUACGAGCGUGUAAAUUAAUAGAGUGCUCAAAAUAAUAUUUAGAGUGCUAAUAGUCAUAUCCUAAUAUUUAUCAUCACAUUAUUUUCCAUAAAAAGUUUACAACUACCUCUUUAUUGGAUAAUUUUGUUCCCUCUCUUACCUUAUGUUCCCCUACAUUCUCAUUUCUGCAUCACUAUUUAAAUUGUAAUCAUAACGUUAAUCUUUCGUGUCCUUUCGUUUUUUUCGAGUUUACUUUUGCUUUUUUUUUUUUUUACGUUUCUCCGGAAUUCACUUCAACAUCACUGGCGCGUUUUCUUCUUUCUCACUGCAACAUCAACUGGGCCACCACCUCUUGCCUCAAUAUACGUUGUGAUCUCAUCAUCUUGACAUUAUUUGUUAAAAAUUAUGUCAAAGAGGGAAAGCAUAUUCAAACAUUACUUCAAUUUUCUUUAAGAGCAUAAAAAAAUCGUUAAUAGGCUACUGUUAUUUGUUAGUACGAUUUCACAAAAGGAAGCUAGAGGAAGAUGAAGCUUUCAAGUCAUGUGUGCAUCAAAGUAAGAAACAGAGCUAAUGGGAAAUUUUCAUAAGAGUGCCAAUAUUUCAACUCUUUUUCAAAUGAAGUGAUGUCCUGGAAUAAAGGACUUGACUAGCUUACAGAUUCUGUAAGCUACAGACUGCAGCAUCAGCCGUUGGAUGUGGAGUGAGAAACUAAACAAUAGAAAAUCGGAUGGUGGGAUGACGGGAGAUGUUUGUUACAGAAUCUGUACCAUAGACAGGUCCUGGAAUAAAAUCACUACUCUAUCAUUGCUAUUAGUUUGUCUUGUAAUUCAAUCAUUGCCGACAAGUAUUAAUUGUGAAUAUUAUUAUUUUAAAAAUAUUAUUAUUAUUAUCGUCGUUAUUCUUAACAGCAAUGACUAGAAUUAUAAUAAUAACAAUAACGUUAAUACAAUAAUAUUACAACAUAAUAAUAUUUUAAUUGAGAGGAUAAGAAUGAAAUUAUGAAAUUUAGGUUGGGUAAAAAUGGUGAGUAUGAGGAAAUUAAUUUACCAUUUUUUAAGCUAAACAAUUUAUAAAUUCCACAUAUUUCAUUUUUAUUUCUCUUAUAUUUUAACAAAUAAACACUAUCAAUCGUUUUAAUAUUUUAAUUAAUAAACACGGCAUUAACUACGGAACUAAAAGAUCCCCCCAAAAAAAAAAAAACAGAGACGCGUGUAUGUAUUGCUUGUGACAAAUCUCACCCAUGGAAAACUUUGUGAAAGGCAUUUGAAUGUGUGGCCACAUUUAAUGAACGAAACGUUAACUUUAAAAGAAAGUAUGUACUGUGUUAAUUAUUAGGAUUACCCAAUAACCCGCUUAAUAUCUAUAUAUUAAACAAAAGUUACAUUAAAUAUUUAUACUUUGUCAUACAUAUGUAUGCACAUACAUACAUACAUACAUACAUACAUCCAAACAUACAUACAUAAUUUAUCAAUAUUAUAAAAUAUACAUAUCUACUAAAAUAUUACACACACUAUUGAGGUUUUAAUUAUAUGUAUGUAAAUAAUAUUAUAUAUCAAUAUUAUAAAAUAUACAUGUCUACCAAUAUUUUAUACAUUUACGCUAUUAAAGCUCUAAAUGUAUUUAAAAUUUUAUAAAUAAAAUAUUGUGUCUAUAUUCAUCUUUUUAAAGAAUUAAAAAAAUCAUCUCUAAUAUUUGAGUUUUGAUGACAAGAAUCUGUAAAUUAUUUUAAAAUAGAAAAUAUAAUCGGGUCAUUGAUCGGGUAAAUGGGUCAAGAAUUUUAACCCUAAUCCGACACGAAAAAAAAUCGUGUUGACCCGGACCCGACCCAUUUAAUAAUCGUGUUAAAUUCGAUGACCCAUACUUAUUUAUUGGUGUCAUGUUCGUAUCGAGUAAUCGGAUCGUGUCAAAUUUUACCAGCUCUAACUAUAGUGAUUCCACUUAAAAAUGAAAGGGGAGGCGACGAAAAGGUGAUAAAAAGCGGUAUUGUGUUCUUUUUUUUUUUAAUAUAAAUUUACUGGAAUGAUGAAAUAUUUAAUUGAAUAAUAUUAAAAAAGAGAAAAGGAGAGAGAAUUUUGAGCUCUCUCUACCGAGCCCACUCCCUCUCUUCUUUUUCAACGCAUUUUCUCUCGUCUUUAUCUCUCUUUAGCAUUUUUCUAUUUAAUUACGUGAAAUUGACUCUAAGAUAGACCGACGUUUGCUUUCAUAAUGGAAAGUAGAAAGUCGAAAAGAAACCACCCAUGCCAUGCGUGUGGACCAUUACUCUCAUUUGGAGGCUAUCAUAAGUGAGCAAGUACAAAUUAUGUUACUGUGGGGUCUCACUUAAAUGAACUCAUCCAUCGUGCGCUGGUCCAAUCCUUGGCAACAUCCCAUGUGACUUUUUCGGUUUUCCCCCCACUUUUCUUCACAAGGGUAGUUCCGAAUUUUCACUUCCCCUCAAUUCCAAUUCAGUGGCGAAAUUAGAUUUUCAUUUCAAGUUUUCAACCCAGGGCCAAGCUAUAAUAAUAUACUUCAAUAAUUUGUAUUCGUCGGAAGUUCGGAACCAAUGCUAAACUUUUUUAGUUAUAUAUAUAUAUAUAUAUAUAUUGUAAGAGGCUAAUAUGAACAUUACUAUUGUUAUAAGAGUAUAGAAAACGACGAAUAUUACUUAUUUUUUUUGUAGUUAAUAAGAAUUAUUUAAAAUUAUCCAAGCUCAAAAUUUAGAAUCAUGAGAGUGUGACUUGUAAGUUUCAAAGAAGCAUGUGUAAAUAUAUGCAUUAUCGAUGCCCAAUUAAGGGUGGGCAUUAAGAUCGGGUUAACCCGAACCGAACUUAAAAUUUAUUUUGGAUUCAAUUUGGUUAUGGUUGAAGCUUUCAACUGAGUUCAAAACUUAAAAAUGAUUGGGUUGUAUUUCUGUUCGAAUUUAACCCCAAAAGACUAAUCAAUCCAAUCGAGUUAAGUAAGCAAAUUAAGAAAAAAAAUCCCAAAAAUUAAAACUAACCCUAACUAAAAUAUUCGACGGCGGCCUCCUCGUUUUCUUUUCUUCUUCCUCCUCUCGCUCACCCCUAAUGCCCUUCAUGGAAAUCCAACAGCUCCAAACGCGUUUCAGCCGCUCGCACGUGUGAGAAAUUUUCCUUCUCAUAGGGUUAUUCGUUUCCUUCGUUUGCAUGCUAGCAGAAAAUUCAGGCCGAGGAUUUUUCCGGGCCUAGCCCAACUAUAAGCUCUCCCAAAACCCAAUCAUAAGUUCAAAACGUUUAGCGUUUGCUAUUACUAUAAUUUUUUUAACCAAUUUUCACAUUCAUCAACAUAGGCUGACAGAUUUUGUAGAAAAUAAAAUUAAAUAAAAAUACAAGCUCGCGAAAUUCCUUUGCCGAGCAUGAGUGAAGAAAAAUUAAAAAUAAAUAAUUUCCCAUUAAUUUGCAACAAGUAGUAAUAAAGUAAAUAACUCUUUUCAUCAUUUUGCCAGAGCGAAUGUAUCUACAUAUAAACUAAAGAAGCACAUUUGUUUGUAUUAGCUUUUUUAUUGUAUUUUUAAUAAUAAGUCAUUUGUCAAUGGACUUAUAUCAAUUUUUACGAAAAUAAUAGGUGUUAGUUAGAUUAUUCAAAUGGCAAAACCUCUUGGGAUAGAGCUUGUAAUGUAGUGGCUCAUGAAUUGUCUAAAUUGACACUACCGAAUUAUUGUAUUUGGUUAAAAAAGCUCCUACUCUGCUUCAACUUUAGUAUCCUAUGAUGUUUAUUAAUAAAUAACAAUUUUAUUGAAAAAAAGACCUCUUGAAAUGAUACAAAAGAUUUGGGAUAUGAAUCUCACUCGAAUUUAGCUUGAGGUUGGCAUUGUUAGCAUAAUAUUUGAAGAUAGAUUUUUUUUAAAUUAAAAAUCAAAAGAUUUUUUUUUUUUUGGGGUUCAUACUAGUUAGUUUUAACUCAUAGUGAGAUUUAAACAAAAACGGAAUAAUAAAUCUUGAUAUCCUGACUCAUGGAUAACGUAUAGAUAAGAUAGUAAAAUUUAUUGUGUCGAAAAUAAGAGGUCUGAAGUUUGAAUUUCGCUCACAUAGGUAGUAAGAGAAUCAAAUUAUUGAUAGAUUAAAUUAAUUAAAAAAAUUUCUGAUAUCCAAAACAACAUAUCAACAAAAUUGAAAUAAAAGAAAAUUGAAGAGAAAAACCAUUGAGAGAACGAAAAAUUAACACAAGAAAAUUUCUGUAACUAAUUGUAUCAGUGUGCGCCAACUUCACUUAUUAAAACAUGGUUAUUUCAUUUUCAUGGAUAAUCAUUUUGACACCGGUCAAAUUUAAAAGUUUUAAAAAAUAUGGGCGAUUUUUCUUUCCAGCUAUUCCCAUUAACUAAUAAAAGAACCGUCGAAAGGGUUCGGGGAUAAUAUAGUAAUUUAAACUAACAGUUUCUGUGCUUCAAAUUUAUAUAUAUAUAUAAAGUUGUGAUUACAAGAGGUGAUGUGGCAUCACUAUUUCUCAUCUUCUCAUAUUCUCUAUUAUCUAAUAAAUUGGUUGAAAUUAAAAAAUAAUUACAUUACAAAAUAUUAAAAAUAGAAAAUAAUUAUUAGAUUAUAAAUGAUUACAUGUCUUUUCAUCUUUCUAUUUAAAUUCAACAAUAUGUAACCAUUAAUAAUAAUUAAUUAUAAGUCUUAAAACAUUCAUUUAUUUUAUUAUGCCAACAAUUAAAUUUUAGUGGCUUAAAAUACAUCAAUUAAUUAAUAUAGGAAGGAAGAGAGGUUCUUUCAUCUUCCCUCAAUAAUGCCACUAGGGUCUAAGUUUAAUUUUAAUAAUUUUAAUGUCUCUUCCUCUUUCUAUUUAAAUCCAACAAUGUGUAACCAUUAAUAAUAAUUAAUUAUAAGUCUUUUGAAACAUUCAUUUAUUUUAUUAUGCUAGCAAUUAAACUUUAGUGGCUUAAAAUACAUCAAUUAAUUAACAUAGGAAAAGAGGUUCUUUCAUCUUCCUUCAACAAUCCUAAUUUUAAUGCCAUAAUCCCAUAUUUAAUUAUGCAAUCUUUUAUUUAGUGCUUUUUGACUUCUUCAAAUUUUAUUAUGCUAGCAAUUAAACUUUAGUGGCUUAAAAUACAUUAAUUAAUUAACAUAGGAAGAUAAGUUCUUUUAUCUUCCCUCAACAAUGCCACUAGGGCCUAAUUCUUCUUAUUCUAAAUUUAAAUUUCAUUUGCUUGCUAUCAUCAGCAACACAAGUCAAUUAUGAUGCAACUGCCAUUAUAAUUAAUGGAGAACGACGAGUUAUCUUCUCUGGUGCAGUUCACUAUAUCCUCGCAGCACUCCACAAGUACUACAUGCAAAUAAUUAAUUUACAAUUUCUGAAAUCACUUGCACUUUCACAUUUUCUUCUUCUUUUAACCAAAAAAAAAAAAGGCUACUUUGCUGCGAAAAUAUUAUCUUAAUUUUUUUUCCUAACAAGCCAAACAUGAUCCCACAUUCAAAACGGUGCGCUUUCAUGUUUAGGAAAAAUCAUGGGCAAUAUUUUUGGAUCAAAUAGCAUUGUUAUUUUUUAAAUAUGCAAAUUUUGAUAUGAUUUAUUUCUAUAUGCGUUGUAUUUGUGCAGAUGUGGCCAGAUCUUAUACAGAAGGCAAAGGGUGGACGGCUCGAUGCAAUUGAAACUUAUAUUUUGUGGAAUGCUCAUGAGUCUCAGCGUCGCCAGGUGUCAACUAUUAUUAUUAUUAUUAUGUGCGAUAUUUAUUAUUAUUGAAAUAGACAUACAAAAUUAAUUUAUUUAAUCUUUCUUUUAAGAAGAGAUCAGUACGAUUUCUCAAGAAAUUUAAAUUUUAUCAAAUUUUUAAUUUUUAAUUUGAUAUUUUCAAAGCCGCGCUAAGCGCGGUUAUAUUUUCUAAUCAUCAAAUCAAACUCACACCUCACAAAAGCAGAGAAAUCAAACGGUUUCCGACUUUACGCUUUAAAUUCAGCUUCAUUUCUUCAACUGAAGAAUCGGUCGUCUCUCAUUUUUUAUUUAUUAUAUAAAGAGAAAUAUAUAAAUUUAAAUGGCGAGAAGAGCGGACGAGGAAUACGAUUACUUGUUCAAAGUGGUAUUAAUCGGCGAUUCGGGAGUCGGCAAAUCGAACUUACUCUCCCGAUUUUCUGGUAACGAGUUCUGUUUGGAGUCCAAAUCCACUAUUGGCGUCGAAUUCACCACCCGCACUCUUCAAGUAACUAACUUUUCCUCUUUCACUUCUCUUCAUUUUUAUUAGUUAAUUAAGAUCCAGUUAAUGUAAUUAAUUUUAUUUAAUCUUUUAAUUAAAGUUCUAGAUUAGGCUAACUUAGAUUCAUGUCAAGUUGAAGUGCUUUACUUUCGAUCUCUUUUUCGUCCUAUGUUUAUUUGUACUUACUAUUACUUUGUUUUUGGGUUUAAAUUUUCGUUUUUGAAGUGUUUACUGAAUAAAUUUCUGAGCUUUAUUUGUGUAUGAUAAUUGAUUUGUGAUUUUAAUUUUGUGACUUUUUUUUUUUUGGAAUUUAAAUUUGAAUGCUUUUUAAGUUGAAUCUGAAUGUGUUGGGCUGCAAUUUAAUUAAGUCAUCUGUGAGCGCCAAAUUGUGAUAGCUAUAUAUUGGGGUGAAAAUUUGGGAUUUAAAGUUAUGUAUUUAAGAUGCAGUUAAUUCGCAAGUGAAAAUUAUGGGCCGGCAGAUUUUGUCAUUGGAAGACUGUUCUCCACAUGUUGAAGUUGGAAGACUGUUCUCAUUGAAUUUAUGUUAAAAAGCUAUGCGCGCAUUAAGUUAGUGCGAGAAACUGCUGAAGCAUAUGUCAGCUGUGUGUUUGGAGCUGAGUAUUCUUCAUUCCAAAUUUUUGGUUUUGGUUGACCUCCACCAUGACUCAACCCACUUGAGUUAAAAUCCCUAGAGUUACAUUCUACCCAUGAUAUUUGAGAUCAGGUCACCGUAUUUUAAUACUUCUCUGGAAAACAAAUAAAUAUGUUAAAUCAGGUAGGAAAAAGAAAAAGUUAAUUAUUGAGUUGUAAUGGUGCAACUAAUGUUUUGAAAAGAUGGGGCACAGGUUACAAAAUUUUUUUGAGUUUUGGAUUAAAGGAACAAAAUUAUUGAUGUCUAGCUCACAAUACUUGAAGUCACUCUGUGCUUCAUCAUGUAAAAUGGAUUGAAUUGCUGUAAGAUCAGGUCAAAUUAAAAUGUUUAAACUCAUUUAUAAGAAAUGAAUUCUCAAUUGGACUAGUCUUUCACAGAAACUGAUAUCACAGAAGUUUUGAGUCAGAUGCAUCCAACCAAAGCCCCUGGCCCAAAUGGUCUCCCAGCAGUAUUUUUCCAAAAGCUUUGGAAUUCAGCAAGCAAAGGAGUUAUAGCCACUUGUCUGCAUAUCCUCAAUGAUGGAGGUAAUAUUGCUCCUUUGGAUCAUACAUACAUUGCUUUAAUUCCCAAAAUAGCAAAGCCUAGGACUGUGAUGGAGUAUAGACUAAUCAGCUUAUGUAAUGUAAUUUAUAAGAUCAUUGCAAAGACUAUAGUGAAUAGGGUGAAGCUAAUCUUAGAUCAUGUUAUUUCACCAACUCAAAGUGCUUUCAUGCCAAAUAGGCUCAUAACUAAUAAUAUAAUUAUUGGGUAUGUGUGUCUUUAUAAGAUUCAGCAUUGCAAAAACAAAAAGCAUGGUCUAGUGGCUUUGAAAUUAGACAUUAGCAAAGCAUAUGACAUAGUAGAGUGGGAGUUUGUAAGAUGCACUAUGGAAAGGUUGGGUUUUUCUCACAAAUGGGUGGAACUGGUCAUGAGAUGCAUAUCUGCACCAUCUUUUUCUAUGCUGAUCAAUGGGGUAGCAAAAGGCCUUAUCCAGCCUCAAAGAGGCUUAAGACAAGGCUGCCCACUCUCUCUAUAUUUGUUCAUUAUUUGUGCUGAGGUUUUCACAAAUAUUUUGAAGCAAGUUGAAUUGAACCAGCUGAUUCAUGGAUUAAAAUUCAAUAGGGACCUGCCUAUUACUCAUCUUCUGUUUGCAGAUGAUAGUUUGGUUUUCACAAGAGCCACUAAAGAAGAUUGUACGAACCUGAAGUAACUCUUUGAUUGUUAUGCUGCUGCCUCAGGCCAGAUUUUUAAUUUUGAAAAGUCCUCCAUGUUCUUCAGCGAUAAUCCCAAGCAAGAGCAGAUAGCUACAAUUAAGGAUAUAUUUCAACUUCAAGUGGUUUCAAGACAUGAAAGGUAUCUUGGACUACCUUCAAUGGUGGGAAGAAAUAAGACCAGCUUCUUAAACGAUAUCAAGCUUAGAAUUAUAAACAAAAUCUCCAAUUGGCAAGCAAAAUUUUUCUCAUGUGGAGGGAAGGAGAUACUCAUAAAGGUAGUAGCUCAAGCAGUGCCUGCUUACGCCAUGAGUAUUUUUAAACUUCCUUUAGGGCUAUGUGAGGAUAUACAGAAGGCCAUUGCUGGGUUUUGGUGGAGAAGUUCAAGGAAGCAUAUGUCUAUUCACUGGUCCAAGUGGGAAAGAAUGUGUCAAGCUAAGAAGAGGGUUGGCUUGGGUUUCUGAGACUUGUCUAGUUUCAACCAAGUGCUUGUGGCAAAACAGAGUUGGAGGAUCAUUCAAGCGCCAAAAUCUCUCAUAGCUAAGGUGAUGGAGGCAAGAUAUUUCAAACAUUCGGAUUUUAUGGAGGCACAAAUUGGCUCAAACCCUUCUUAUAUGUGGAGGAGCAUCCUGUGGGGGUGAGAUGUUAUUCAUAAGGGUCUUAGAUGAAGAAUCAGAGAUGGAAAGUAGGUGAAAGUGUAUCAAAGUGACUGGUUACCAAGACCUGUAACGUUCAAACCAAUAUCUCCUACAAGUCUCCCUUUGGAGACUAUGGUUUCAGAGUUGAUUGAUCAAGACCACUACUGGAAAGAUCUUGUAAUAAGACAACAUUUUCAUCAAGAAGAUGCUGCCCAGAUACUUAAGAUCCCUCUGCCAAGACAACCAAGACCAGACCAAGUUUUGUGGCAUUGCGACAAAAAGGGUUACUACUCAGUCAAGAGUGGGUAUCAACUAGCUCUACAAAUGAAGUUUCCAACCAAGCCUAGCAGUUCAUAGGAAGGCAAAAGUGCAUGGAACUCAAUUUGGUAUUUGUCAAUUCCAGAGAAAGUAAAGAUAUUUAUGUGGCUGGCUGCAUAUGACAUGCUGCCCACAGCAGAGAAUUUAUGGAAGAAAAUAAUAUUACAAGCCCCCUGGUGUCAGAGAUGCAGGAGUUAUGGAGAGUCUAUCUUCCACACAUUGUUUGAAAGUAAAGCCUUGCGGAAAAUUUGGAAGCUCACAUCUUUUAAAGAUAAAGUGAAAGCCCCAAAAUGUAAAGAUGUCCUAAGCUUGCUGUUGGCUUUGGCUGAUCGACGAAGCAAGACUGAAAUGGAGCUGAUAGUUGUUUUGUGCUGGAGCAUAUGGCACUCAAGGAAUCUUUUUAUUUUCAAAAGCAGAAAUGAAGAUUCCCAAUUAUCAGUAGUUGGAGCUGAGGCAAUUGUUAAGUCUUAUAAAAGAAUUCAAAUGCCACAGAUGCAAGCAAUAUCAGAUCAAAGUUCUGCAUCCCAGAAGUAUUGGAAGUGUCCCCCUGCAAGUUGGUUCAAGGUGAAUGUUGAUGCAGCUAUAAAGAUAGACCAACAAAGAGUAAGUCUGGGCAUUGUAAUCAAAAAUUCAGAAGGUAAACUUAUAGCAGCAACCUUAAAGCCAACGAAAUGGCUUGAUAAAGUGGAUCUGAAGCAACUAAGUUUGGGCUGGAAGUAGCUGAAAACGCUGGAUGGUUACCUUUGAUUGUUGAGAUUGAUUCACAGGUAGUAGUAGAUUUAGUCUUAGGUAGAAAAAUCACAAAGGCUGAGAUUUUUGGGUUUGUAUCCAAGGUCCAAGAGAUGAUGAAGAGAUUAAAACAUGUCAAGUUACAACACACACCAAGAACUUGUAAUGGUUUUACUCACACACUUGCUAAGUUAGUUUUAGACUAUUUUGAUUAUCUGAUUUUGUACUAUGGGUGAAUAACAUACCAGCCCAUCUUUUGUAUCUAUUCACAAAAUUGAAUGAUUGAAAAUGAUACUUUGAUUUCAAAAAAAAUAAAAUACAAAGAGCUAAUUAUAAAUACAUAAUCCAAGAAAACAGUAAUAAUAAUUUAUCUCGUAAACAAAAUUAAAUAAUAGCAAUAAUAAGUGGAUAAAGCUAAGUUCGAGAGGUGAGAUAGGAAAUUCUCCCGCACGACACAGCACAAACAAACUUUCCCUUUCAUUUUCUUUUCUCUUUCUCGCUAUCCAAACAGAGCAAAAGGACCGUCGCAAGAUUCUUCACUUCCAUCCAAAAUCACGAGCAACGAAUAGCGAGCCUCCCUGUUUCCUUCCUUUUUUUGAUAUUAACAUUGUUAACAUCUGCUCAUUUUCAUUUGACAAUACUUCAAUUUUUUUUUUUUUUGCCUUUUCAUAUUUUUUUGGUUGAAGCGAUUAUCUGUUCAAGCUGUUGCUUAUCGGAGACUCGUCAGUCGGAAAGUCCUGCCUGCUGCUCCGAUUUGCUGUCUGUUGACUUUUCCUUUCCAUUUUUAUUUUCUUUUUUUUUUAUAUUAAUUACUUUCUAUUUUAGCUUUUUGUUCUCUGAAUUUGUGUUAUUAAAAUGAUAAUUUAGAUGAUAAAUAAUUAUUAUUCUUGUAAAUUUCAGUUUUCAUUACAUUAAAUAAUGUAAUUUUUUUUUCAAUUUUUCAGGAUGAUUCUUAUGUCACAGCUACAUCAGUACCAUUGGAGUUGAUUUUGUAAGUCUCUCUUCUAUAUAUAUGUAAUUAUGUGUAUAAGUUAUAAUAUGAGUCUCUGUACGUGUAUGUAUGUAUGUGUAUGCAUAUGUGGAAAGAAAUGUUGGCAGACUUCGGCAUUUUACUUUUUUUUUUUUAAAGGGAAAUUAUCACCGGUAUACCCUUAAAUGUCACCGGUAUCAAACGUACUACAACACUUUUCGCUUAUAUCACUCGUAUACCCUAAGUUGACAAAAGAGUUCUGGCGUCCACCUUUCCGUUUACUACCGUUAAGAACUUAACAGAAUUUGAGCAAAAUGACUAUUUUACCCUUUAAACUAAAAUGAGGUAAAAAAACAAUUUUGCCUUGAAAAUUAAUGUAAAUUUUCAAUACACAAAAUUUUUUUAUUUUGUUAUUAACAAUACAUUUUUUUAUUAAAAAAAUAUGAAUUAUUAAUGGUAUAUAUUAUUAACAAUUAUCCAUAAAAAACUUCAUCUUAUACCAUAAAACAUUAUUAACAACAUAUUAUUUAUAAUUAUACAUAUUAUAACAUAAAAAAUUCAAGUUGGAUCUUGGAGGAGUAGAUCUUUAAUAAUUUAGGUUAAAUUUUGGAGGAGUAGAUUUGGUUGUAAAGUAGUUUUUUUUUUUUAGCAAUUAUUAACAAUUAUCUGAUAAAUGGGAUGACAUGUCAUUUUUAUCAAAAUAUAUCAUAUGACAUGUCGUUUUUUACUAUAUAAAUGGGAUGACAUGUCGUUUUUAAAAAAAGACUAGAUUACCCUUAUGAUGUCAGCGCUCGCAAACGGCAGUUAACGGAUCGGUGGACGGCAGAAGUGUUUUGUCAACUUAGGGUAUACGAGUGACACACUUGAAAAGUGUUGUAGCACGUUUGAUACUGGUGUCAUUUAAGGGUAUAUGACUGAUAAUUUCCCUUUUUUAAAUUUUGGCAGAAAAUAAGAACUGUGGAGCUGGAUGGGAAGACGAUCAAACUGCUGAUUGUGAGUCAAAAUUUCCUUUUAUCUUGUAUUGGGAGAAAUUCAAUUUGUCUUAUUUAGUGAAGGUUAUGUUCAAGAACCUUGCCUUAUUUUCUUUAUUUGAAGAGUGAUAAGUUGAAAUGAGUGUAUUUUUCUUAUAAACAUCAUUUAGGUAAUGUCUGAUGUUUGAUUGUUUUUCAUCUGUUUAGUGGGACGCUGCUGGACAGGAGCGAUUCAGGACUAUAACUAGCAGUUAUUACCGAGGAGCCCAUGGAAUCAUAGUAAGAAGCCUUCCUGCUUCUUGGUUUAAAUCAGAAAGUUUGUGAUUUACAUGUGACAUCUUAACAACGUUGUAUGUGUUUAUUAACUUAUUUUUCAUCUUUCAUUACGCAGUACAUUUUCCAAUAAAUCUGUAUACAAGAUGAUGUAGUCCAAGAAUGGGAGUGAUAAUAUGAUGCAAAUUGUCUAAUAAAUUCUUAUGACAUAUGAUGUUGUCGGAAGUAAAAGUCUUGCAAUGCUGUAUUCUCUUUUAAGAAAGAAUAAGUGGUAAUUUUGUUUUUCCAAUUUUUUAAUUGAGCAACUGUGUGAGAUUAAUUAAAUGUGUUGGGAUUUCAACAGAUUGUCUAUGAUGUAACGGAGAUGGAGAGCUUCAAUAAUGUCGAGCAGUGGUUGAAUAAGAUUGACAGAUACGCUAAUGACAGUGUAUGCAAGCUUCUAGUUGGGAACAAAUGCGAUUUAGUUGAGAACAAGGUUGUGGACACAUAGACAGCCAAGGUAUGUUCGUGAGUUCUGUCGCCUGAACUUUGAAUAUAAUUUUAAACUCUUCUCAAGUGCAUUUGCUUGAUAAGUUUCUGCAUACCCAGGACACUUAAACUUUGGACAGUCUGUAUCUCGAGCUGGAAUCUUUUUUGUCAAUACGACUUGUUAAAAUAAGGGUUAUUAUCGUUUGAAUCCUUCAAGAAUUGCAAUAAAUCUAAAGUCAAUUAAAAAUAUGAUUUCAUCAUUUUACUGUUAUAUCUAGACAAAAUCCAUUAUUUUACUACAUUUUAUUAGCACCGAUAGUUGACCUAUUGGCUGACUGAUAAAAUAUCAAUUUUGUACUUUAUAUUAAUUCUUUUUUGGUUAGAAAAUAACACACAAAGUAUUACAAUAUUAUAAAUUCAAAAUAGAAAGUAGUUACAAAUAAUUCCUAUUAGCCUAUGAAUAUAAUAUUUGAUACCUCUAUUUGUGUAAUUUUUUUUAAAGGGUGAAAUUGGUAUUUUCUUUGUACUAACGGAAAUGUAGUAAAAUGAUAAGUUUUGUAAAGAUAUAGUAGUAAAAUGAUAGACUAAAAUACUUCUGUAGUUGUUUGAUAUAUUGUAAUUCUUAAAGUAGUCAAUUGAUAAUAUCUCCUAAAAUAAGUGUUUGUAAUAUUUUCUCAUUUUAAUGCAACUGAUUGUUUAAUAAAAUUGUAUUUCUUUGUUAAUCUUUUAUCAUGUGCAUGCUCAGUGAGAAUUUGACUUACUAGCACACAAGUUUGACUCUUCAUGUAAAUGUCCCUUGUAUCAUAUCCUUCAGUGUUGAGUGUGUUUCCAAUAAAACUGAGUAGGGGAAUCCUUAAAUACCUUUUCCCUUUUUCCAAGGGCCGUGCCAAAUUGCUCUAAGUGAUUAUCAAUGGAUAAUGAAAAUAAAAUUUUUAUUAAAGCAAUUUUUUCCUUAAAUGGUGGCUAAUAGUACCCCUUUUUUGGAAAAGAAAGUCAAAACAUGCCCAAAGAGAAUCAUUUACUUUCCUCUAAUGUAUUUUCUAAUUUGUUUCGAGCCUUGAAUGUUAACCUCUGUAAUUCAAUUUGAAACUUGCCACCCUUAGUGCUUCACUCAAAUGGUUGGUUAGGGUGAGAUCUUUAUCAUUUUCCUGGUCUCUUUCCAAGGUUAUCUAAAGGGAUUUGGCAGUCUGAUUCUUUAGGGAAUAUCAUUGCAUAAGAUAUUGUUUGUCAAUGAAUAAUUUCUAUUAAUUAGUUAUCUAUAUAAAUUGGUAAAUUUUAACUGCAUAAUUUGCAUGCAAUAAGAUUUUAUAAGAAUCUUGUUUUCAACUCAUGACUUAGACUAAUGUGAUAUGUUGAGCAUUAAGCUACAAGAUCUGCACAUCAAAGUGCUUCACGAUGUUAAGGAGAAAGCAUCUUUUUCUGCUUCUUCAUGUGAUUUAAAGUUUCCAAGGUACUUAUCCUAUAAAAUAUCUUUCAAGACUUUGGAAAUGCUUUUAUGUAUGACUGAGAGAAACUUGUUGGGUUGGUUUUUAGCAACGGACGGAGUUAUGGACUUUGUGCUGACUUGUUAUUGAUUAAGACAGUACAUCGGCUGAUCUAUUGGCAUCAAGCAGCAGAUGCAGAAAUUAUGGGUGGCAUAUCAUUGUAUCUAAGAAUAUUUAUCUCCGAGUGAAAUGCAGGCAUUUGCAGAUGAACUGUGGAUUCUUUUUCUGGAGACGAGUGCCAAAGAUGCAAUCAAUGUGGAGCAGGCUUUCUUGACCAUGGCUGGCGAGAUUAAGAAAAAGUAAAAUCACUUGACUCUUUCCUUCUUGCCUUGUGAUUGAUUCUGUGAUCCAUUGCCUAUUUGCAAAUGCUGACUGUUCUUAUUCAACAAUCACCAUUAUUGCUGGUUAUAUGCACGGUGAUGAAAAUUCUGCAAUGAGUAACUUUUUACCUAAUGUUUUCUGUUGGAACAAAUUACUCUGGUAGAAAAGCCCUACAGGGUUUGAGAAAACCCAUGAUGUGACGAUUGUGAGCAUUUUAGACACCGUGUAUGGGUUUAUUUAUGACUAUAAAAUGGUAAGAUUGUUUCUAGUUUUGGUUUGUAGUUCAUAAAAGGAUUCAAAAUUUGACAUCUGUCUAAAUCAGAUUAAUAACAUGAUAAUGUACAUAUGCAAGAUGUGAGGAAUUGUUUUAACUCACCCCUAAACUUUAAGAAAUUGAAACAUUAUCAUUCAAAAUAUUUAACAUUUCCAGAAUUGAUAGUUGUCUAUUUGAGCAGUGACUGGUGGUUAUCAUGAACUGAUGUGUGGUUGUGGUGUCAAAUCUUGGUGAAACCUGUUGUCAUCUGCCGGUUAACAUAAUAAUUUCUUGAUUCACUAAAUAUGAGUUCAAAUUUGAUGCAGAAUGGGCAACCAGCCUACUGCAAACAAAUCUUCUGGAACAGUUCAGAUGAAGGGACAGCCAAUCCAGCAAAACAGCAACUGCUGUGGUUAGCCGAGCAUCUUAUUUUACUUCUACAUGUUAGCUGACUGAUUGUAGACAGUUUUAACUAUGUUGACUGCAUUAUCUUAUGAAUCUUUUAAUCUGUCAGAUUUAUUUCCUGCUUUAAGUUCUUUCCGUUUAUAACAAAUUUAAUUUCAUGCUUCAUUGCAUUCCAAAUUCCUGUCAAUUUACGAGGGAAAAAGAAAAGAGAGACGAGAUCGGAGAAAAUGGUCAAAUUUGUUAGGGGGAGAGAGCUGUUCAAGUAGUUUUUAUUCUUGUUUAUUGUCGUGACCCUCUUGUAGCUUGUCUAUGACCUGGAAGUCCGGUCAUAUCGGAUGGGUAAAGUUACCAAAACGGCAUCAUUUUGGGUGAAAUAUCAUAUUUAUGUAACACUUUUGAUAAUAUUUUUGUGCAACAAAAAAAUGUUCGCGGUACCCUUUUCACAUUGUGUAGCGCAUGAUCGGAUGAGAGCAGUCUGGAUUGUGGCAUCACAAGCUAAUGCUUUGAUUUGCUUAGUUUGUUUUUUGUUUCUGAUUUUUUCUUGGCAUUGGGUGGCAUAUUAUUUCUCUUUUGAGUUUUCCUUUUUUUUUUUUUUUUUUUGUUAUGGAAUCUAGAGAUAGUGUACAUGUAUGAAGAUGACGUAAUAAAGUUAUUUGAUAAUCUCAAAAAAAAAAAUUCACUCUAAUAAAUCUCGUAGCAAGCACAUGGUUUAUAUUGCAAGUCUUUUCGAAACUAAUUCAAAGAGAAAAUAUAAUUGAUCUUUACUUGUCAUAAAGAAUUCUAAAUAAAUUCAUAUACGCAUCGCAGCUAAUUAGAGCCUCUAUACUUACAUUUGGUUUUUGUUACUUUUUUGUAGAGUUGUGCUGUGCAUAAAAGUUUUGUUAAAUGAAAUCGGUGGGUGAAGAGAAUUUUCAGAAGCAUACAUCAAAGUAAUGAUCAAUAUAAAUAUUGAUUGUCUCAAGUUAGAUUAUACAAAGAUGAAAUAAUGCUAAUCUAGUAAAUUCAAUCAUAAUAAUUUGACUUCCAUUAUAUUAAUUAUGUCCAAUCGUGCUACUUUAAUAAAGAACCCUCGAGCAUUUAUAUGUAUACAACAAACAAAAUUAAUUACAAAACGAUCUUUGACAAAGUCUGACCGGUCAACUAUCCACCAAAUUUUGUAAUAUGUUACCGUUGAACUCUCAUAUCAAAUAUGGAUAGACAGCGCUUUGGCUAACAGUGAAAUAUAUACGAGCAUAAGAGCUCCGUUCUCUGUUUUGAUGGUGUUUCUCUUUGUGGUUGUUGGACAAAUUGUAAUGUGAAUUUCUAUUUAAUGGGUAUCAUAAUACUUUUAGUUACUUUGGGAUUGUUGAUUUAUAUAUGACCUUCAGUAUCCAAAAUUCAGAUAAUGAUAACCUUUAGUACUCUUGUCAUAUUACCUUUCGUGUUGGUGUUAAUAUCUUAAUUAUGUACCCAAUGGUAAGGACAAUAUAUAACUAAUUUGAAACUUCUAUAAUUUUAUAUAUAUAGAUGCAAAUUCAUUUUUAAGAGUGCAUUUAAUCAAGCAGUCCAUGCGUUUAUACUGAGUAAUUGGUUCAAUAUUAAUACAAAACUAUUUUAAGUAACAUGUGGCAUAUUCUAAUUCCAGCGAGCUUCCAACUCAUAUUCCCAAUUUAAAAGAAAAGUUUUCAAUUUUCUCCAGAAUGUUCUACAAAACGUUUCUUCUAGUCUCUACACUGUGCUAGAAUUUUCUCUAAGUUUCUUUUGCAAAGACUUUUAAAGAACUAUCCAGAUACUGAGCUAUAAUCCAGUCUAAGCGUAUAUAUCUCUCUAUAUUUCACCUCCCUCCAUUUCACUAGAAGAUCAACAAACACUUAGCUUCGAAACAAACACUCUCAAAAAGCUAGCUUAGCUACCCAGAUGGCGAAAUCAAGAAUUCUUGCAAUGACAAUGUCGUUUCUUGUUAUGGCUGCAACAUUGAUUAUCAUGGCAUCACAAGCAAACACUAUGAUGUCGUACACACAAUCACCUUUCUUUGACGUGAUGUUUGCAAUGACAGAAGAUCCUUUCAGGGUUCUUGAACAAACCCCUCUAACAAUCCCAAAAAGAGCUGAUCAGCAUCAAACUCUAGCCCUGGCGAGAGCAGACUUGAUGGAGCACCAACAGCACACGUGAUCGCGCUCGACAUUCCAGGGAUGAAGAAAGAUGAAGUGAAGAUUGAAGUUGAAGAGAACAAGGUACUCAGAGUGAGUGGGGAGAGGAAGAGUGAUGAUUAUUAUAAGGAGGGAGUUGAAGGAGAGAAACGGCACAGAGCUGAGAGCACAUUUGGCAAGUUUUAGAGGCAGUUCAGGAUGCCUAUGAGUGCUGACUUGGAACAUGUUAAGGCUUAUUUGGAAAAUGGUGUUCUGAGGAUCACAGUGCCAAAGUUUGCUGAGGAGAAGAGGAGGCAGCCUAAGGUUAUUAGCAUUAAUGAAGAGCUCGCAGGUAAUUCUUUCGGUGAAGAUAUUAAGGCCACCAAGGCCCAAAUGUGAUUGAUUAAAGAAAAAAGUGCUUGCUUCGCUUGAUAUGCUAUUUAUCAAAAACUCCUUUUACCAUCCAUUUGAACAUACAUAAACACGCCCAAUUUGAAAGAAAAAAAAGUAGUAAUUAUAAAAUAUUUCAAUCGUCUACUGUUCAGCCACCAAAAACCAAUUUACCAUCCAUUUCAACGCCUAAUUUGAAAAAAGAAAAUACUAAUAAUAAAAUAUUCCAAUUGUCCAUCCUUUCACAAAUCAAAAAUAUCACCAAAAACCAAUUAACCAACUAUUUCAACAUAAGGUAUAUGGGUUAACAAGUCCCAAUAUUGUCCUCCAUCCUUUCUGCACUUCUCUCCUAUCAACGGACAUCCCUGGAUCCAUAAUUGCAAAAGUGAGUAAGGCAGGCCCUUCUUCGGAAAGUAUUUGAGCUUGCGACAAUGAUAGAGGUGCAAUUCAGUGAGGUUUUGAAGAUCAACAACCGAAGAAGAUAGGCGUUCCAGAUUUGGAAAUUUAGAAAUGCUCAGAGAUGUUAGAGAGGCAGGAAGAGGAAGCGCGGUCCCUAAUCUUUUGUCCUCUAGUGGAAAUGACACCAUGUCGUCAUCGCAUCCGCUGAUUGUAAGAUGUCGUAGAGAAGAGAAUCUGUGAAAUCCCCGGCCCCGCUCAAUCAUUGACUUCCAAAUCUCCAUAUUACCCUGAAUAUGAAGUGAAUGAAGGUUGGUGGGAAGGCCAUCUUCUUCAAGGCUUGGAAGCUCACCUCCUAUUGUUAAUUGUUGAAGAGAGGUCAGAUUGUACAAUCCCUUGGGUAAGGCCUCUAGUCUCUUACAAUCAAAUAUCGUCAGCCUCGUGAGUUUCGCACAAGGCAAUCCCCCUUCGGGAAAGGACACCAGAUUUCCACACCUCUUUAUCCAUAUCUCUUGAAGCUGGCGGAGAUUAUGUAAACCACUCGGUAAAAUUUUCAGAUUUUCACAACGAGAAAUGUCGAUUUCUUCAAGAGAUGUGUUGUUGUCCAAUCUUUCUGCUAUUGACUCCAGCUUUGAACAUCCAUAAACACGAAGGGACUUAAGAGACGGAGGUAGAUUGCCAACUUCAAGGGACUCAAGCGUGGCAGGUAACUCGUUUUUUGAAAAUAUACAUGUCAGUGAUGGACAAUGCCAAAUUUCUAAGUGCUCAAGAAGAGAUGAGGUGUACCUUCUGCUGCUGCUGCUACUGUGGAUGCCCUCUUCCACUGUCAAAGUCCUUAUAUUAUCGCAGCGGCUGAUCUCUAACUUCUUAAGUCUCGAUGGUAGCUGGACAACAGCAAUAUAUGUCAACGAUCGGCAACCCUCAAUAUUCAAGAUCUCGAGAGACGAAUUGGUGUCGCACAUCCAUGCCUCUGGUAACGAUUUCAGUGCAUCACAAUGCCUAAUCUGAAUUUUCUUCAACUUGGAAGGCAGAGCAACCUCAGGAAAGGAAACAAGGGAACUGCAGCCUUGGAUUUCUAUAUCUCUCAAGGAACUGAGGCUGAACGAUGAUUGUGGCAGCUUCACAAGGCCUUCGCAAUUACUCAAUCUUAGAUAUUCAAGUCUGCAUGACAACUCGCAGAGCUGCUGUUGUUGGUCUUUCUCUUCCUCCGCAACCAAGGAUUGAAGUUUGGGACAACUUGUAAUCGCCAGUCUUUUGAGAGAGCAAAUGUCUUGCAGUAAUUGGUUAUGGCUCUUCCAUAUACAUGUUUCAUUUUGAAUAUUAUUUAUCUCCAAUUCUUCCAGUUUUGGUAUUCGCGGCUUCAAUGGCCCUGCGAGAAACACUUCAUUUGAUGUAUCUCUACAAACCACUGAAUUCUGUGAGCCGAGAUGAUCAGUUGCACUUCUCCACACAACCUUUUUACAUCCACCAAUUUCCAUUUUGCAAAGAGCUGGAAGACUCGUAACUGACACUGACAAUUCUUCACAUUCUCCAAUAACAAGCAUCUCCAAUGCAGGAAGGCAUUCUGGCACUGUUCCCCGCAGUUUAGAACAUCUUGAAAUGCGAAGCUCUCUCAAUUUAGGAAACCCUUCAACUCCCUGACCAGAUCUAAGAGGAAUCCAGUCUUCCCAUUCUUGCAUGUCUACAAAACGAAGACUUUCCAAGCAUGGAAAAGGAAUCAGGGAAUCAUUCCCAUAGAACUCUGAACCCAAACUCUUUACUCUACUCAUUCCACGCACUUCAAGAUGCUUUAGAGAGGGUAGUUGCCCGACUGAUGGCAGGGUAGUACACAUGCCACAAACUUCAAAAGUUAAGGUCGCCAAAUUUGAGAAUGAGGAAUCUCCCAACCAAGUUGGAAAUUCUUUACCUCCAUAGCCACUGAUACAAAAUUGUUCCAGAUUUUCAUGAGGUUUUAGCAUGUCGACCACAUCCUUUUCAGUUUCUGCCUCCCUUGAAGGCAAACCAUUGGUACUCCGUGUCCAUCGAAAGGUUAACACUUUAAGAUUCUUCUUUCCAUCCAAUUGAGCCUCCUUCGCAUCACCAAUGUCUUUUACGUUCUCUAAUUUUGAAAUGUUAAGUGGCCCACGAAGAUGCGUCAACAAUUUUAGCUCUCGUAUCCCGGAACCACUGUCUUUUCCCACAACAAAAUUACACAGCGUUUGAAGGCAAGUCAACUUACCAAUUCCUAGUGGCAUCUCCUCCAAUGAAUCUGUAUUUGAAUUAUUGAGAUGAUGCAAUUUGAUGAGAUUUCCCAUGUCUGUACACAACUUCUUCAGUCGCCGACAGCCCUCCAACAGAAAGGUGUGCAAAUUGUAAAGCUUGUUGACUGAUUCGGGUAGAGUUAUAAUGCCAGUUCCCGAUAAGUUAAGGUACCUUAAAUACCUCAAAUCACCAAUUGAAUCCGUUAGCUCAUAGAUGCAAUAUCCACGCAAAGAGAAGACCCUCAACCGUUGGAGUUUGAACAACUUAGGAAGAAUGCUACGAGCCAAGAAUCCACGCGAACUAUUUGACAAUGUUACUGGUAAAAAAGUUCGCAAAUGGUGGAUAUCAUGCAAGUCCUCAAACCUUUGAACGCGAUCACAAUAUCCACGAAUGUAUGACAGGUGACGAAGAUUUUUGGAAAAACUUUGUUGCUUGUUAACCUCUGAGUUAUACUCCAUUGUGAAGUACAUCUCCCCAGCGGCCCAAUGGGCAAGUUCGUUGACAAGGUCGUGCAUCACAAAUCGUGAUUUGUUGUUGCUUGAUUGCUGGAAAAAAGAUCUUGAACGUAGCUCUUGAAAGAACUUUCGACCUAGAUCUUCAUUAGGAUUCCCACUCUCUUUGUGAUCCAAGAAACCCGAAGCAUACCAUAAUAAAAUUAUCUCCUCCUCUUCAAAUUCAUAAUCCUUUGGAAACAAUGAGCAGUAUGCAAAGCAUUGUUUCAAAGGUGCCGAAAGAUAAUAGUAGCUCACUCUAAGCGCCGGUAUAAUGUCACAUCUCUCUUCGGGUAAAUUCCAUAUCAUGCAACUGAGCACACCUUCCCAAUCACUCCCGCCAAGUUUACCACGCAAGAGUCCACCAAGAGUUUUCGCAGCUAAGGGCAAGCCGUUGCAUUUGAUCACUAUCUUCUUGCCAAUUUCCUCCAAUGACUUGUUUGAACUGAAAUCUCUUGUCCCCAAAGAGUGUUGAGCGAACACAGACAGACAAUCAUCAUUUGACAACUUUUUCAAUUGAUAAGCCGGAGCAGUCCCCAUGAUGGCUGCAACCCCUUGAUUACGAGUUGUGACAAUAAUCUUACUUCCCGGUGCGCCAGCUUCAAAUGGAGGUCUGAGUCGAUCCCAACCAUUGUAAUUCUCAUUCCAAACGUCAUCUAAAACAAGCAAAAAUUUCUUUUGAGAUAACUUCUUCUUCAGCUCCUCUUGAAGCAAAUUUAAAUCACUAUCAUCAGUAGUCUGCUUAGUAAUGGAUCUUAGAAUUGUUUUUGUUAGCCUGAUAACAUCAAAAUCAUCAGAGACACAAGUCCAUGCCUUGAGAUCAAAAUGACCCUGCACUCGAGCAUCAUUAUAGACAAGCUGAGCGAGAGUGGUUUUACCCAGCCCGCCCAUGCCUAUGAUAGGAAUAACAGAGAAUUCACCAUCAUUUCUCAAAUCAUCCCUCAACAACAAUUCAACAAUUUCUUUCUUUUCUGCUUCCCUGCCAAAUACCUUGGCUUCAUUCACCAAAGAGGUUGUGGGUAGUCUUUGCCUGUCUUUUUUGGACCCCCCAGUUGAACUUUCUUUCAAAUCUAGCAAGUCUUUCUGUGUCACAAUUUCUUGAAAUCUGCCGUUGAUCUCUUUGAUUUUGGACAUCAAGGCAUAAUCGAAAUGAAUCGAUUGUGGAGUAAAAGUGGUGCAGCAAGUAGGAAUGAGCUUCCGAAACUUACUUGUUCUUGUACGACUGCUACUGGGUUGAUCCUGAGCCGCAGCUGGAUCUCCAUUUCCAAGCAGCAACCUCCUCCGGAAAGCCUCAGUUUGAAACUCAUCCAACAAGUCUUCAACAUCAUAAGCGAAGUUCUGAAGCUUGCCAAGCCACUUCUUCACAAACUGAUUAGUCGUCUUCUUCUCCUCAGCAUCAUCAAGUACCGCCUUGAUCAUCUCCAACAUAUUCGCCCACUUCAUCAGAUCGGCCUGGAUUUGCUCUUGGCGUGCAAAAAACAGAAUCCCCUCUGAAGCUAACUUAUUGACCAGCAAAUCAACGGACGCCGUAAGGAUUGCCUCUCCGAUGAUUGACAUUUUUUUUUUGUUUUGCAAAGAAAGAAACAGAAUUUUGAGUUUUGAAAAGCAAAAUGAGAAAAUUGAACAAUAAGUGUGGAGGGUCAAGCAAAAUGCGCGUAACAAGUCUUCCGCUUCUUGUUUAUUCCAGGAAAGUGCAAAUAAAAACAGAGCCCACCACCCAUUAAUAAUUGAGCAAUUCACCAAUCACGAGUCGCCACCACUCGUUACCAUGAAUAUAAUAAAUUGCACCUCCAUAUUUGCAGGGUCCAGCAACAUUGACCCAGUGUCCGGGUAAAUGCUGAAUAACGAGGAAAAUGGAAUGUAUCCGCUACGAAGCUUCGCUUUACAGGUCUUCAAACUCAUAAACCAAGAUAAAUCAAAACGUUUAUCUCUCUCUCUCUCUUUUUGCCAUAUAAUUACUUUAUUUAUUGAAUUAAUUUCCAUGCUAAAAGGAAGACUUAAAAGUGCACUACAAUUUUUUAUAAUCACAAUGGUAAUUUCUACUAUCAUGUUAUUUUAACGUCGUGUUAAAAUAAAUUAUUACAAUUUUUUUUUUUAUGAACACUCUUUUCAUUUAUAAAAUUUUUAAUUUUUAAUAUUUUUCUCACUCUUUUAGUCUUAAUAUUUGUAUUUCUCUCUUCAAACUUUCUUUAUUAUUUAAUUUUUAAAAAAAUAUGAAAAAAAGUAAGAAAAAUAUUAUACUUAAAAGAUAGUGAAUAUUUUAUGGGUCUAAUACAAGCCUGUAUUGUUUUUGACAAUGAAAGAGCACGCGAAAAAUCUCACUCAUAGAAAACUUUGUGAAAGGCAUUUGAAUGUGUGGCCACAUUUUCCGAACGAAACGAUAAGGCUUUAGCCUUAUAAUUGCAAUUAGUUUGUCUUGUAACUAAAUUAUUGCCGACAAACACCAUCAUGCUGACAAACCGUGCAUGCACGUCCUCAAUCACCCCAUAUUUCCCAUUACUUCCCGUACUUUAUGCGUUAUUGUUUUGUAUGUUUUUUGGUGUUUUCGGUGUAGUUAGGGAUCGUAGCGGGUAGCGUCUGGUACGGGUUUGACAUCACCAAACCCGCAUCUACAAAAAAUUUUAAUUACGUAAUUCAAAUUAUAAAUUUAUAAACAUUGCCUAAAAAAACCACAUAAAAUACUUAAUUCUACAUUUUAUCAAUAUAAAUGAGAAAUGAAAAUAUCAACAUUAAAACAAAUACACAAAAUAUAUCAAUUUAACAUUAAUUCUUAAAUUCAAUUACCAAAUAAAUAAGUCUAUCACAACUCGAAGUGCUUUUAAUUUAAAAAGAAAAAAGAGAAAGAGAAAAAACAAAGAACUACAAAUCAAAGUAGCACUCAGACCUAUUUUAUAGGCUCAUUCGACACUAAGAUCUUAGAAUUAAGAUCUUCAAUUCAUUCAUUACCACUAGCACCCAUUCAACGUGGUUUUUCUAAGCAAAAUAUAAAGUACAAAAUUACAAUAAGCAUAUGAUACUCCAUGCUUUAAGUUAAAGGUCCUUAUAUAAUUUUAUGAAUAAUGUUUUAGUGAAAUUUUAUGAUUAAAGUUAAAAAUACACAAAUAUUAAAAUAAGAAUGUUGGAUACCUGUGCAACUAUUUGCCAAAUUUUUUCUCUAUAAAAAUUCACUUGCAACUUGCAGCAGGUUUAAAUUUAUAAUAUCAAACUUGAUUGUAGCUCGCAAAAUUUUUAGAUCUGCGAUAAUUUUGCCACCCUAAGUGUAGUUAGUAUUGUAUAUCGUGUGUUUCCAAUUGGCUCUUAUAAAAAGCCUAGAAGUUGUUUGAAUAAUGAGGGAGACAAAUAUUUCCCAAAGAUAUUAUCUUUUUCAAAUUUUUUUUCUUUUCUCUAUUAUUGUAACUUCAAAUCCUUAAAAAUUACAUAUUACAGAUAUGAACACAAUGUUUUGACAUAGUGCCUUUUGGCUUGUCUAGAGAAAUUUAGGAUAGAUUUUGAUGUACGAAGGCUCUGUUUACUAUUGAGAUUUUGAAACUUUUGAGCCACACUUGAAAUUUGUUUAAUUCUAAUAGAGUUGUAGCCUUCGAUAUGUGAUUGGUAUUAAUCAAGUGUUAUGUUUACAGCAGUUAAAGGCAUAUUGAAUCAAAGUCCACUUUUGAUUGAGAUUUUAAAGUAGGUUUUUAAUUUGAUAGCCACUCAAGUUCAAAUAUUGGAACCACAGUGCACCUUUCACUUGCUAGGCUUUAACCAAACAGACGACGUUAUACCAACUUCUAUCCAAUAAGGCAAUGAAAACAAAAGCAAGUGAAUUAAAAAUAAAUAAUUUCUCAUUAAUUUGCAACAAGUAUUAAUAAAGUGCAUGAGAAAAUAUGUCUUUUUUUAAAUGAAAAUAAAUGUGUUAAUUAGUCAAUUUAAAUGGUACGAUGUUUUGAAAUGAUAGAAGCGAUCUGGAGUUUAAAUCUUACUCUUGACGUAAUAUUUAAUAACGAAUUUGAAGAACAAUUAAAAAUUAAAAGAAAAGAAAAAAAUGCUUUCUUUUUUAACGAUGGUAAUUUGUUCAGACGAUGAAAAUUCUUAGAGUGGUAUAAUAAGUAUUUUUGAGUGUUGCCAUCGCGAAUAAUAUUUAAUUUCCUUUAUAUAGUUAUAUCUCAAGUAACAUUUGAACAGAAGCAAGUUGGAAAUUAAAAAAAAGAAUGAACCAUUGAGAGAAUGAAAAACAAACAAAAAAAAAGUUAAAAAAAUUGUAUCUCAAUAAAUUUACUUGAGAGCUACUCUAUUGAUCUGUGAAGAGAAAACACAAAGAAUAAUGAUGAAUAUCAAUUAAUAGGACAAUUUUUGUAUUUUUCGUUUAUUCAAGAAUCACGAAACUUCAUUUAAACUUGUUAUUUCAUUGAUAAUAUUAAUAUAUUAAUAUUGAACAAUUAAUGUAGGAGACAUUCCUUUCCAAUUAUGCCCAUAUAUUAAUUAAAGAUCACCCAAAAGUUCAGGGAUACUAUAGUAAUUUAAGUCAACAAUUUCUGCGCUUGAAAUCAGCCGAUCAAACUCACUUUAGAAUAAACUGAGAAAUCAAAAUCACAUUCUCCGAUUCUACGAUUUCAAUUCAUCUUAUUUCUUCAACUGAAGAAUUGGUUGUAUCUCGUUUUAUUUUAUUUUUAUUUUUAUAUUAAGAUAAAUAUAAAAUAUAAAUGACGAGGAGACUGUAAAUGUAAAAACAAAAGAAGAGCACAAGUUUUAUUGAAAAUGACUCUUUUCAUCAUUUUGGCGGAGUGAACGUAUCUACAUAUAAACUAAAGAAGCACAUUUGUUUGUAUUAACUUUUUUAUUAUAUUUUUAAUAAUAAGUCAUUUUUCAAUGAACUUAUAUCAAUUUUUACGAAAAUAAUAGGUGUUAGUUAGUUGAUUCAAAUGGCAAAACCUCUUGGAUAGAGCUUGUAAUUUAUUGGCUCAUGAAUUGUCUAAAUUGACACUACCGAAGCCAAAUUAUUAUAUUUGGUUAAAAAAGCUCCUGCUGAGCUUCAACUUUAUUAUUCUAUGAUGUUUAUUAAUAAAUAACAAUUUUAUUAAAAAAAAGAUCUCUUGAAAUGAUACAAAAGAUUUGGGAUCUGAAUCUCACUCGAAUUUAGCUUGAGGUUGGCAUUGUUAGCAUAAUAUUUGAAGAUAGAUUUUUUUAAAAUUAAAAAUCAAAAGAUUUUUUUUUCUGGUUCACACUAGUUAGUUUUUACUCAUAAUGAGAUUAAAACAAAAGCGGAAUAAUAAAUCUUAACAUCCUGACUCAUGGAUAACAUCUAGAUAAGAUAGUAAAAUCUAUUAUGUCCAAAAUAAGAGGUAUGAAGUUUGAAUUUCGCUCACAUAGGUAGUAAGAGAAUCAAAUUAUUGUUAGAUUAAAUUAAUUAAAAAAAUUAUCUGAUAUCCAAAACAGCGUGUCAACAAAAUUGAAAUAAAAGAAAAUUGAAGAGAAAAACCAUUGAGAGAACGAAAAAUUAACACAAGAUAAAUUCGAUAACUAAUUGUAUCAGUGUGCGCUAACUUCACUUAUUAAAACUUGGUUAUUUCAUUUUCAUUGAUAAUCAUUUUGACAACGAUUUUUCUUUCCAGCUAUGCCCGUGAACUAAUAAGAGAACUGCCGAAAGGGUUCGGGGAUAAUAUAGUAAUUUAAAUUAACAUUUUCUGUGCUUCAAAUCAUCAAAUCAAACUCACACUUCGCAACAACAGAGAAAUCAAACUCACGGUUUCUCUCAUUUUUAAUUUGUUAUAUAAAGAUAAAUAUAUAAAUUUAAAUGGCGAGAAGACCGGACGAGAAAUACGAUUACUUGUUCAAAGUGGUAUUAAUCUAAAAAUAAUAAUAUUAAAUAAAACACCUGUAACUUUAAGACAUACAUAUUCUCAAAGCACAAGUGGACCCGAGAGGCUGGGAGUCGUAAUGGAAAGAAGAAUACAAUAUAUGAAACUUAUAACGUUAUUUUUACUAUAUUAUAUUGAUACUUUGUUUUGUUAAUCAUAUAAGUCAAUCAAUAAUUGUCUAAUCAUUGGAAUUAAAACUAAUGUAUUAAUUAAAAUUCACAAUCUAUUAUAAAAAUAGUAAAUAUUAAUACAAAGAGAUGGACCUAUUACAAAAUAAAUUCACCAAAAGUUCUAUUAUACUUAAAAUUCUCAUUCAAAAAAAAAUAAUAGUUGAAUACAUGUACAAAAAAAGGGGAUAAAUAAAAAAUAAUAAUAAUAAAUAAUAAAAGGAUAGUUUAUAUAAUAAAAAAUAAAUUUAUUGAAUAGGGAUGUUAAUAAUAAAGAAUAAUAGCCGAUCAAACUCACUUUAGAAUAAACUGAGAAAUCAAAAUCACAUUCUCCGAUUCUACGAUUGACUCUUUUUCAUCAUUUUACUGGAGUGAAUGUAGCUACAUGUAUUGGGGACCAUAAUGGAAACUGGUAGAAACUACAAGGGCUAAAAUCAGAACAACGAACGAUAUCUCAAGGUCGCCAAAACGUAAAUAAUUAAUCUUAUCUUUCAAUUGAUUUUUUUGUGGAGACAGAGACAAACCCGAACAGCAAAUAGCCAUAACUGAUAGGACAACUAAGUUGGAACACUCCGCAGACCCACGAUUUAAUAUCUUUAGAUUGUAACGGUUUAACCCCCAAAAAAAAAAAUUAGCAAAAUAUUUCUUAAAAAAAUGAAAAAAAAAAUGUUGAAAAGAAGAACAAAAUUGUGGUCCACGUGUCAUUUCAGAAUAGGUUGCUGGCAUAAACAACCGGCCCCAUCCCGGACAGAUGUUAUUUGAGUGGUUGGUACGCGUUUCUACUUUUUUGUUUUAGACAUAUAUAGGUAAUCCCUAUCUUAUAUAUAUAGGUAAUCCCUAUCUUAUAUGCAUAUAAGAUACAUAAUGUUAUUAGUUUAAAUAAUGGGUGCAACUCAUGUUUUUGAAACAUUAAGAUCUUUAGCCAUUCUCUUACCAUCCCAUGGUUAUUUAAGUUACAAGAGACAGUAAAAAAACGUCAUAUUUUAAUUACUUACACUAAUAAAUAACUUACUCACACUAAUGCCGCGACUACCGCUUGCUUUUUUUCUUUUUUUUGCCCUUUUGUUUUUGACUUUUUGACUUUUGCUUUUGGUUUAUAAUAAUAAUAAUAAUAAUAAUAAUAAUAAUAAUAACUACUUUUUAAUUUAAUAUAAUAUAAUAUUAAAUAAUAUUUUUAAUUUUAAUUUUACAUUAUAAUUAUUAAUAUAUAAUUUAUUAUUCAAUAUUAUUAUAUUAUGUUUUUUAUUUUUACAUUAUAAUUUAUUAAUAAAUUUAUAAUUUAUUAUAACUAAUAAUAAAUAUUUAAAUAUGAAUAAAUAUGAAUAAUAUUAAUUUAAAAUUAAUAAUAAUAUAAAAUAUUAAUACAAUUUAAAUAUAUUAAUAUAAUAUAAUAUAAUAUUUAAUUUGAAUUAAUCACAAAAAAUUAAUACAGUACAGUGUAGCACCAAAUAUUGUACAUUAUUAUUAUAAUACAAUGUUAAUGCAACGCAACAUAAUACAAUACACCAGCAUUAAAAUAAUACAAUCUAGCAUAAUACACUACAGUGUGCGAAAUACACCGACAUAGAAUUACUUUGUUUGUCUUGUUAUUUACAAUUAUUUAAUCUGUAGACCCACUCAUGCUCCUUCUAUGUAACAUAGAUACAAUUUGAGGAAGAUUAUCAAUUUUUUCUGAUAAAAAAUAAUAUAUACCACUUACUCUUUAUUGUUUUUAUAAUGUUCAACAAUCCGCUUGAGAUAAAAAAAAUUAAAUGAAAAAGAGUAAAUAGAUGAUUUGUUUGAUGUUAUAUCUUAGAAAUAUAAAAUAUAUAUUUAUUAUUAAAAAUAUUUAAAAAUAAUAAAGAGUACAUAAAAAAUAUCUUAUCCUCAACAACAAGAUCAGACGACGUCAAUUCAGCAAAAUGACUCGAACAAUCUGAAAGUCCAGCGUCACCUCUUGGGACACAUCUGGCAACCUGUGUAGCUUUGGCGAGAGGUCUCCCAAAAGGACGAUUAAGGAAAGAUUGCAAGACGGAAUCAUGAAAAUAGUAGUACUGAGUCCAUCACAGUCAAGUCUUAGAAAUCACAUCCCUGUAUUAAUUUCCAGAAAAAUGUUUGUUCCAUAUUAGCCGUACACGUAUAUAUUCUAUAUAUUGGGAAUAGAAAGAGCAUAUGUAGAAAAUUCUUCAUUCAUCAAUUAAAACUUAACUUAUGUACGAGGGUUAAGUGCAGAGUUUUUAAAUUUGAAAGGGAUAAGUAUUAUAGUCCAUUUCAAUUUAGAUACAAGUACUUCGAACUUGUAUUUGAGGUAAAAUCUGUAUACCAUAGUACAUAUUAUAUAUCCAGUCAUGGGAUCCAUGCAUGGUUCCAUGUAAUUCGCAGAGUUGAACUGGAGACACUGAUUAGUUCGUUGUCUACUUACCAACUAUGUACUACUAAGUAAUUUUUUUUUUUUUUUUAUGGUUCAAAAGCAUAUUGUCAAACCACAAUCAGAAGCAACUUAAGUUUUGAUUACGGUUCACCAGAAGUCACAGCUAGCAAGUGAUCCUUGCAUCAUUUUGCUAAACAUACAAUGAAAUUAACCCUUGUAAUUUCGGCCUUUGCCAUAGUCGUUUUGUUUAUUAGGUUUAUGUUUAUCAACAUGAUAUAUUGUCAACCAUAAUCACAAUCAAGUUGUUAAUUAUUUUUUAAAUAAUGCGAAGGUACAAGAUUUUGGUCUUUGAGUGUGGAGUUAAAAAUAUCUCACCUCAACAUUAUUUGUUAAAAAUUAUGUCAAAGAGGAAAGCAGAUUCAAACAUUACUUCAAUUUUCUUUAAGAGCAUCAAAAAAUCGUUAAUAGGCUACUGUUAUUUGUUAGUACGAUUUCACAAAAGGAAGCUGGGGGAAGAUGAAGCUUUCAAGUCAUGUAUGCAUCAAAGUAAGAAAGAGCUAACAAGAGAUAGACAAGUAUUAACCAUCGUUAUCAGAAAUUAAAUAUGUCAGCAUUUUGUCAGUUCUGGCCAUAUUUUGAAAGAUUGGAACUAUUAGCACCCUAAUUUUCUUUUGAAGCUCCUUUUCUGUGGAAACCUAUUUUAAUUUCCAAAAUAUCUUUUUUCCAUUCUUUUAGUUUCUUUCUGAUUCAAAAAAAAAAUCAGUUUCUUAAACAACUCCAACUAUAAAUAUUUUUUUACAAAUUUUUGAAUUGUUAAAUCAUGUGUGUGUAUAAAUUGAAUAGAAUUAAAAGUGAACUCAAAUGGCUAUUAUGUAAUUUUUUUUUUUAUAAUUAAAGAAAAGUUUAGAAUGCAAAAGUGCGUGUGAGAAAACAAAAAAUAUAAAUCGCCUUUGAUGUAGUUGUAUGGCUGUAAAGAGUUAAAUGGAGAAAUAUAGUAUAUAGUUAAAUUUAUUUUGUUCUUUAAAACGGGUAGGUUUUAUAAGAAUUGUUUAGAGGACUACCAAUAUUUGAACUCUUUUUCAAAUGAAGUGAUGUCCAAGAAUAAAAUCACUACUCUAUCAUUGCUAUUAGUUUGUCUUGUAAUUCAAUCACUGCCGACAAGUAUUAAUUGUGAAUAUUAUUAUUUUAAAAAUAUUAUUAUUAUUAUCGUCGUUAUUCUUAACAGCAAUGACUAGAAUUAUAAUAAUAACAAUAACGUUAUACCAUAAUAUAACAACACAAUAAUAUUUUAAUUGAGAAUAAGAAUGAAAUUAUGAAAUUUAGGUUGGGUAAAAUUGAUGAGUGAAGAAAUUAAAUUACCAUUCUUUAAGCUAAAUAGUUCAUAAAUUCCACAUAUUUUAUUCUUAUUUUUCUUAUAUUUUAACAAGUAAAUAUUAUUAAUUAUUUUAAUAUUUUAAUUAAUAAACACGAGAUUAACUACAGAACCAAAAGAUCCCAAAAAAAAAAGGGGAGACGCGUGUAUGUAUUGCUUGUGACAAGUCUCACCCAUGGAAAACUUUGUGAAAGGCAUUUGAAUGUGUGGCCACAUUUAAUGAACGAAACGAUAACUUUAAAAGAAAGUAUGUAAUGUGUUGAUUAUUAGGCUUUAGCAUGGUGAUUGCAAUUAGUUUGUCUUUUAAUUAAAUUAUUGCCUACAAACACUAUCACGACCCACGUCCGCUACUUGUGUGAAUGUGUGAAUAAAUAUCCGCAGCAUAUUAUCAAACCUGAAGCGUGAUCAUCUUUAAGUUUUGGUUACAGUUCAUCAGACGUUAAAAAAAAAACUCCACAUAUUGUUGGUUAGCUAAUUCUUGCAGCUAGCAAGUGAUCAUUUUCUUUCCCCUACUGCCGUAGCAUCAAAUCCUUGCACUUACAUAUCAAGUGGUAUUCGAGCCGUCAAAUGAUCCAUGGAAACACGCAACAAAUCAAAUGCUGAAUUUUGCGAAGAGAUUCACGAAAUCCUUGCUAUACAUGAGUCUAGUUUUGACCAAGUUCACGUCACCCAUCAGCUGCGGGUUUGAAUGGUACCUAGUGGAUAGUUUGUGAGUUCCCACUAAUAAAAUCACACUUGCAACAAAACUUAAAAAUUUAAAUUACGUAAUUCAAAUUAUAAAUUUGUAAUCGUAGCCUAAAAAAUCACAUAAAAUACUUAAUUCUAGAUUUUAUCAAUGUAAAUGAGAAAUGAAAGUUUUAACAUUAAAAUAAAUACACAAAAUAUAUCAAUUUAACAUAAAUUCUCAAAUUUAAUUACUAAAUACAUAAGUCUAUCGCAACUCAAAGUGUAGCACCAAAUAUUAUACAUUAUUAUUAUAAUAAAGUGCUAAUGCAACGCAACAUAAUACAAUACACCAGUAUUAAAAUAAUACAAUCUAACAUAAUACAAUACAGUGUGCGAAAUGAACCGAAAUGGUAUUACUUUGUUUGUCUUGUUAUUUACAAUUAUUUAAUCUGUAGACCCACUCAUGCUCCUUCUAUGUAACAUCGAUACAAAUUGAGAAAUUUUAUCAUUUUUUUCUGGGAAAAAAUAAUAUAUACCACUUACUCUUUAUUGUUUUUAUAAUGUUCAACAAUCCACUUGAGAUAAAAAAAAUUAAAUGAAAAGAAGGAGUAAAUAGAUGAUUUGCUCGAUGUUGUAUCUUAGAAAUAUAAAAUAUAUAUUUAUUAUUAAAAAUAUUUAAAAAUAAUAGAGACUUCAUAAAAAAUAUCUUAUCCUCAACAACAAGAUCAGACGACGUCAAUUCAGCAAAAUGACUUGAACAAUUUGAAAGUCCAGCGACGGUCACCUCUUGGCACACAUACGGCAACGUGUGUAGCUUUGGCAAGAGGUCUCCCAAAAGGACGAUUAAGGAAAGAUUGCAAGACAAAAUCAUGAAAAUAGUAGUACAGAUAUGCAAUGGCUAAAUUGUCCUCGAUUGAGUCAAUCGCAAUCAAGUCUUAGAAAUCGCACCCCUGUAUUAAUUUCCAGAAAUAUGUUUGUUCCAUAUUUAUCGUGCACGUAUACAUUGUAUGUAUUGGGAAUAGAAAGAGUGUAUGUAAAAAAUUCUUCAUUCAUCGAUUAAAACUUAACUUAUGUACGAGAGUUAAGUGCAGCGUUUUUAAAUUUAAAAAGGACAAGUGGUUAGAGCUCCCACAAAUGUAUUGUAGAAGUUUAAUUUAAAUUUUUCUUCCUUAAAACUUAAGUGAAGACAGUUUUUCUCCUAAAAGUAGAGUUUUUCUAGGAGUUUGACGUCCCUCAAAUAUUUGAGAGGGUUAAAAUCUGAGCAAUACUAUAUAAGAUGUAAUGUAAACUGAUCUCAAUAAUUAUAUAAUUGUAAAUAUCAUGAGCAACAAUCUCAUUAAAAAAAAAGCAGAACAAGUGUCGUAAGUGUUGGAGAAAAAUUAGGUUUUUAAAUUUUUUAUAAAACCUUUUGAAGAUCUCUCUCAUAUAAUAUAUAAGAAUACGUAAUCUAGAAAUCGUAUCUUGAAAAUCCGAUUUGGCUUUUUUCGUUGAAGUGAUUUAGGCUCCUUGAUCACGAUCUUCCAUCACCACUCCUGUUAGAUCACGAUCCGUCACCACCACACUUGUUAGAUCACGAACUGUCACCAAUGAUCUUCCAGGUUAUGACUCAGGUUUGAUCUGCACUUGACGUGUGGGCGCCUUUAUCACUACUAAAGCAACUAGCACGAGAAAAUUUUUCUCUCAACAAUAGAGAGAAAAAUAUUUUUCUCUGAUCUGUAUAAAGUGGCUGCUCUCUUUUUCUUUUUAGAAAAUAAGCCUUUUUUAUAUCACUCUUUAGUGAAAACCCUAGACUCCAAAUAAUCAAAAAACAAAACUCACGUUAUUUGUUUUUUCUAUAGGAGACCCACCUUGUAAAAUAACAUAAGGCCCCUUACACAAAAGCUAAUUAAAUGGAGCCUCCCACUAAAUGAUAUAUUUAGGCUUUUGACCCAAAUAGCUAGUUAUCUUACUUAUUAGUCUAGUAGUGGUGCAGUCAAUUAAAUGAGCUAACCCAGGGAUCAUUUGGGAACAUACAAUAGUAGCUACAAUAAUUAGGCCUGUAAUUAAACUAGCCCAAUUAUUUACUUCCAAAUCUACUCCACUAAAAGAUUGGAACUGACUUCCAUAAUUGUAUGCUCGAAUAAUAAUUCGUCCCAAGCCACAUUGAUUUCUUUACUGCACAAUCCUUUGUACCACAUCGUUAAUUAAAUUGAUAUCUCAACUGUCCAAUCAAUUUAAUAACAUCUUAUUCCUUGAUCCUUACUGGUUUUCUCUAAUGAUCAUUUUCAACAUACUAAAUAUGUUGACACACUCUGGCCAGAGAAUUCUAUGAUCAAGUGCCGAAAACCCAUCAAGAGAUGUGUUGUACAAAUUCUAUAUUGUUAAUCCAUAACUCCAAUACUCAUAAUUGCUCCCACUAAGAUACCGGGUAAUCUUGACCACAAGGAUGUGUCUGCCCAUUGGUAAUUCAAAUGGAAUAACAAUUACAAUCAUGAAAUCAUAAUUAACUCAAGAUUAAGAUUACAGUAAAAUCAAUGCCUAUGAGAUUUAAUAAGUUUGACAGUUAUUACAAAGUUAAUUAAAUCUCAUAUGUGAUCCUGUUCAAUAUAGUCAUACUACAUCAAUAAAUUCAUACAUGAAUAAGACAAAUCAUUCAAUGAAUUUAUUACAGUCUAUACCUAAAUAAAGUGCCCAAUUUUAUUUAUCAACUGCGAACUAAAUUUAUUUAAUCAUAAGAUAACUUGUAUUUAUGUUUUCUGUGAAUCCACAUGGUGAUCACAUAAAUACAUCUAAUAUGAUUAAAUGGAUUUUAAUACAAAUAUUAAUGCAAUUAAGAUAUUUGAAUAAAAUACCUUAUUUAUUUUAUUAAUCAGAAAAAUUAUUUAUUACAAUUAAAUAAACACAUAUGCUUUUAAAGAGCAUAUUUUCCCAACAAUAAGCCCAUUUAAAUAAACUAAUAUUUGAAGGGGAAAUCUCUGUAUACCAUAGUAUAUAUUAUACAUCCAGUCAUGGGACCCAUACAUGGAUGGUUCCAUGUAAUUCGCAGAGUUGAACUAGAGACACUGAUUAGUUUGUUGUCUACUUACCAACUUAUGUACAACUAAGUAAUUGCAUGCUCCAUUUGCGACUUAUCUGUCCACCCUGCUUGCAUUGCAUUAACUACGUCCCCAAUCACCCACGUCCGCUACUUGUGUGAACGUGUACAUAAAUACAUAUAUCCGCAGCAUAUUAUCAAACCAGAAUCAGAAGCAACUUAAGUUUUGAUUACGGUUCACCAGAAGUCACAGUUAGCAAGUGAUCCUUGCAUCAUUUUACUAAACAUACAAUGAAAUCAACCCUUGUAAUUUCGGCCUUUGCCAUAGUCGUUUUGUUCAUUAGGUUUAUGUUUAUCAACAUGAUAUAUUGUCAACCAUAAUCGCAAUCAAGUUGUUAAUUAUUUUUUAAAUAAUGUGAAGGAACAAGAUUUUGGCCUUUGAGUGUGGGGUUAAAAAUAUCUCACCUCAAUAUACGGUGUUGUGCUCUCAUCAUCGUACUAUUAUUUGUUAAAAGUAUGUCAAAGAGGAAAGCAGAUUCUGUUGGGAAAAUAUGCUCUUUAAAAGCAUAUGUGUUUAUUUAAUUGUAAUAAACAGUUUUUCUGAUUAAUAAAAUAAAUGAGGUAUUUUAUUCAAAUAUCUUAAUUGCAUUAAUAUUUGUAUUAAAGUCCAUUUAAUCAUAUUAUAUGUAUUUAUGUGAUCACCAUGUGGAUUCACAGAAGACAUAAAUACAAGUUAUCUUAUGAUUAAAUAAAUUUAGUUCGCAGUUGAUAAAUAAAGUUGGGCACUUUAUUUAGGUAUAGACUGUAAUAAAUUCAUUGAAUGAUUUGUCUUAAUCAUGUAUGAAUUUAUUGAUGUAGUACGACUACAUUGAACAGGAUCACAUAUGAGAUUUAAUUAACUUUGUAAUAACUGUCAGACUUAUUAAAUCUCAUAGGCGUUGAUUUUACUGUAAUCUUAAUCUUGAGUUAAUUAUGAUUUCAUGAUUGUGAUUGUUAUUUCAUUUGAGUUACCAAUGGGCACGACACAUCCUUGUGGUCAAGAUUACCCGGUAUCUUGGUGGGAGCAAUUAUGAGUAUUGGAGUUAUGGAUUAACAAUAUAGAAUUUGUACAACACAUCUCUUGAUAGGUUUUCGGUACUUGAUCAUAGAAUUCUCUGGCCAGAGUGUGUCAACAUAUUUAGUAUGUUGAAAAUGAUCAUUAGAGAAAACCAGUAAGGAUCAAGGAAUAAGAUGUUAUUAAAUUGAUUGGACAGUUGAGAUAUCAAUUUAAUUAACGAUGUGGUACAAAGGAUUGUGCAGUAAAGAAAUCAAUGUGGCUUGGGACGAAUUAUUAUUCGAGCAUACAAUUAUGGAAGUCAGUUCCAAUCUUUUAGUGGAGUAGAUUUGGAAUUAAAUAAUUGGGCUAGUUUAAUUACAGGCCUAAUUAUUGUAGCCACUAUUGUAUGUUCCCAAAUGAUCCCCGGGUUAGCUCAUUUAAUUGACUGCACCACUACUGGACUAAUAAGUAAGAUAACUAGCUAUUUGGGUCAAAAGCCUAAAUAUAUCAUUUAGUGGGAGGCUCCAUUUAAUUAGCUUUUGUAUAAGGGGCCUUAUGUUAUUUUACAAGGUGGGUCCCUUAUUGAAAAAGCAAAUAACGUGGGUUUUGUUUUUUGGAUUAUUUGGAGCCUAGGGUUUUCACUAAAGGAAGAUAUAUAAGGUUUAUUUUCUCUAAAGGAAAAGUGAGAAGCCACUUUAUACAAAUCAGAGAAUAAGAUUUUUCUCUCCAUUAUUGAGAGAAAGAUUUUCUCGUGCUAGUUGCUUUGGUAGUGAUAAAGGCGCCCACACGUCAGGUGCAGAUCGAACCUGAGUCAUAACCUGGAAGAUCAUUGGUGACAGUUCGUGAUCUAACAAGCGUGGUGGUGACGGAUCGUGAUCUAACAAGAGUGGUGGUGGCGGAUCGUGAUCUAGGAGCCUAAAUCACUUCAGCGGAAAAAGCCAACUCGGAUUUUCAAGGUACGAUUUCUAGAAUACGAAUUCUUAUAUAUUAUAUGAGAGCGAUCUUCAAAAGGUUUUAUAAAAAUUUAAAAACCUGAUUUUUCCCCAACAGAUUCAAACAUUACUUCAAUUUUAUUUAAGAGAAUAAAAAAAUCGUUAAUAGGCUACUGUUAUUUGUUAGUACGAUUUCACAAAAAAAUCAGUUUCUUAAACAACUCCAACUACAAUUUUUUUUAACAAAUUUUUGAAUUAUUAAAUCAUAUGUUUGUGUAUAAAUUGAAUAGAAUUAAAAGUGGACGCAAAUGGCUAUUAUGUAAUUUUUUUAUAAUUAAAGAAAAGUUUAGAAUGUAAAAGUGUGUAUGAGAAAACAAAAAAUAUAAAUCACCUUUGAUGUAGUUGUAUGAUUGUAAAGAGUUAGAUGGAGAAAUAUAAUAUAUAAUUAAAUUUAUUUUGUUCCUUAAAACGGGUAGAUUUUAUAAGAAUUUUCCAGAGGAGUGCCAAUAUUUCAACUUUUUUUCAAAUGAAUUGAUGUCCUGGAAUAAAAUCACUACUCUAUCAUUGCUAUUAGUUUGUCUUGUAUUUCAAUAAUUGCCGACAAGUAUUAAUUGUGAAUAUUAUUAUUUUAAAAAUUUAUUAUUAUUAUCGUCGUUAUUCUUAACAGCAAUGACUAGAAUUUUAAUAAGAACAAUAACGUUAAUACAAUAAUAUAACAACAUAAUAAUAUUUUAAUUGGGAGAAUAAGAAUGAAAUUAUGAAAUUUAGGUUGGGUAAAAAUGAUGAGUAUCAGGAAAUUAAAUUACCAUUUUUUAAGCUAAACAAUUCAUAAAUUCCACGUAUUUCAUUCUUAUUUCUCUUAUAUUUUAACAAGUAAACAUUAUCAAUAGUUUUAAUAUUUUAAUUAAUAAACACGGUGUUAACUACGGAACUAAAAGAUCCAAAAAAAAAAAAAACCAGAGACGCGUGUAUGUAUUGCUUGUGACAAAUCUCACCCAUGGAAAACUUUGUGAAAGGCAUUUGAAUGUGAGGCCACAUUUAAUGAACGAAACGAUAACUUUAAAAGAGAGUAUGUACUGUGUUAAUUAUUAGGCUUUAGCUUAAUGAUUGCAAUUAGUUUGUCUUGUAAUUAAAUUAUUGCCGACAAACACUAUCACGACCCACGUCCGCUACUUGUGUGAACGUGUGUAUAAAUAUCCACAGCAUACUAUCAAACCUGAAGCGUGAUCAUCUUUAAGUUUUGGUUAGGGUUCAUCAGACGUUGGAAGAUAUCUUUCCUAAUUUGAAGAAGAUGGAAACUCCUUAUCCAGGUUCUUAGGCCAUGUUCAGUUGAAUGUCAUUUAUAAUUUUUAUUUUAACAUUAUGUAUUUAUGAAUACAAUUAUUGUUAUGAUUUUUUCAGGUAAGAAUGGAUGGUCUGAGGGUAACCCAAUAACUAUGUACAGUAUUAUUAAUGAAAAGAGAGCGUGAGUGACAAUUUGGAUUUUAUUAUCGUCCCUCAAUACGGAAGAAAUCUUGACCAUAGCGGUUAAGUGCUAUGUAACUCUUUCGUAUUAUGUUUAAUUAAUAAUAAAAUGAUGGGUUAUUAUUACCUGUCAAUUAUGUGAGGAGUGUCUUUAUUUGGUUUACUUCCACUUAUAAAAUCUCUUGAGAUAUAUAAGAGAUUUUCUUUAUUUAAUUUUGUGUACCGUGUCUUCUUGUAAAAAGAAAUUAAUAAAAAAAAUCAUUGUUUGCAAUGUAUUAACUAAGUUAGUGUAUUCAUGUUAGGUUAAUUGUGCUCUCUCUUCUUGAUAUUUUAAAAAAAAAAAAAAAUCCACAUAUUGUUGGUUAGCUAAUUCUUGCAGCUAGCAAGUGAUCCUUUUCUUUCCCCUACUGCCGUAGCAUCAAAUCCUUACAAUUACAUAUCAAGUGGUAUUCGAGCCGUCAAAUGAUCCAUGGAAACACGCAACAAAUCAAAUGCUGAAUUUUGCGAAGAGAUUCACGAAAUCCUUGCUAUACAUGAGUCUAGUUUUGACCAAGUUUACGUCACCCAUCAGCUGCGGGUUUGAAUGGUACCUAGUGGAUAUUUUGUGAGUUCCCACUAAUAAAAUCACACUUGCAACAAAACUUAAAAAUUUAAAUUACGUAAUUCAAAUUAUAAAUUUGUAAUCGUAGCCUAAAAAAUCACAUCAAGUACUUAAUUCUAGAUUUUAUCAAUGUAAAUGAGAAAUGAAAGUUUUAGCAUUAAAAUAAAUACACAAAAUAUAUCAAUUUAACACAAAUUUUCAAAUUUAAUUACUAAAUACAUAAGUCUAUCACAACUCAAAGUGCUUUCAAUUGAACACGAAAAAAGAGAAAGAGAAAAAAAAUAAAGAACUACAAAUCAAAGUAGCAUCCAUGACCCAUUUUGCAGUCUCAUUCAAUACCACUAGUACCCAUCCAACACGAUUUAUCUAAACAAAGUAUAAAGUGCAAAAUUACAAUAAGCAUAUCAUACUCCAUGCUUUAAGUUAAAGAUCCUUAUAUAUUUUUAUGAAUAAUUUUUUGAUGAAAUUUUAUGAUUAAAAUUAAAAAUACAAACAUUCAAAUGAGAAUGUCGGACACUUGCGCAACUAUUUACCAAAUUUUUUCUCUAUAAAAAUCGACCUGCAACUUUCAAUAGGUUUAAAUUUAUAAUAUCAAACUUGAUUGCAGCUCGCAAAAAUUAUCUGUUGCGGCCAAGACUUUGGAUUUACGAUGAUUUUGCCACCCUAAGUGUAGUUAGUAUUGUAUCUCAUGUGGCUCUUAUAAAAAGCCUAGAAGUUGUUUGAAUAACGAGGGAGACACAUAUCUCCCACAGAUUUUUUCUUUUUCAAAGUAUUAUGUUUUCUCUAUUAUUGUAACUUCGAAUCCUUAUAAAUUAUAGAUUGGAGACAUGAACACAAUGUUUUGACAUAGUGGACUUUUGACUUGUCCAGAGAAAUUUAGGAUAGAUUUUUACGCACUAAGGCUCUAUUUACUAUUGAGGUUUUAGAACUUUUAAGCCACACUAGAAAUUUGUAUUGUUUUGAUAGAGUUGUAGUCUUUGAUAUGUGAUUGGUAUUAAUCAAGUGUUAUGUUUACAAUAGUUAAAGGCAUAUUGAAUCAAAAUCCACUUCUAAGGGCUUGAUUGAGUGAUUGUAAAGUAGGUUUUUAGUUUGCUAGCCACUCAAGUUCAAAUAUUAGAACCACAGAGCUUUAUAGCCAAGUGAGAGAACUUGUGCCCUAAAAAUUGAGGGGUGCAUAUCAAGUUUUACCACCAAUAAAAGUUGGUGUUAAAACUUUAAUUUCCCUCUUAUUGAUGGAUAUGGGUAAUUAGGAGUUUACAUCCCCUCCUAUUAAUAGACAGGGGUUAUUAGGAAUAUUAAAAAAAAGUUUAAAUAUUGAAAAUAUAGGUAUGAGUUAUAAAAUUCAUAAUAUAAAGAAAAAAAAUCAAGAUAAAGAUUUAAAAAUUUAGAACCAUGAGAGCGUGACUUGUAAGUUUCAAAGAAGCAUGUGCAAAUAUAUGCAUUAUCGAUGCCCAAUUAAGGGUGGGCAUUAAGAUCGGGUUAACCCGAACCGAAUCGAACUUAAAAUUUAUUUUCUCACAAAUGGGUGGUUUGUGCGGGGGAUUCACUGGCUUUUGUUUGCAUUGCCUUAUUGGAUAAAGUCGAGCAUGAGUGAAGAAAAAUUAAAAAUAAAAAAUUUCCCAUUAAUUUGCAACAAGUAUUAUUAAAGUGCAUGAGAAAAGCCACCAGGAUAUGUCUUUUUUUAAAUGAAAAUAAAUGCGUUAAUUAGUCAAUUUAAAUGGUAAGACAUUUUGAAAUGACAGAAGCGAUCUAAAGUUUAAAUCUUACUCACACUUAAUUUAGGGUUGGGGAUUAAUUGACGUACGAUAUAAUAACGAAUUCGAAAGACAAUUAAAAAUUAAAAGAAAAUAAAAAAGUACUUUCUUUUUUAUGAUGAUAAUUUGUUUAGAUGAUGAAAACUCUUAGAGUGGUGUUAUCAGUACAUAGUUUCGAGCGUUGCCAACGUGAAUAAUAUUUAAUUUCCUUUAUAUAGUUAUAUCUGAACUAACAUUUUAACAGAAAUAAGUUGUAAAAAAAAAAAAAGGAACCAUUGAGAUUUGAGAGAACGAAAAACGAAUAAAAAAAAAAAAGUUAAAAAAUUAGAUCUCAAUAAAUUUACUUGAGAACUACUUUACUGAUUAGUGAAGAGAAAACACAAAGAAUAAUGAUGAAUAUCAAUUAAUAGGUCAGUUUUUGUAUUUUUCGUUUAUUCAAGAAUCAUGAAACUUCAUUGGAGACAUUCCUUUCCAAUUAUGCCCAUAUAUUAAUUAAAGACCACCAAAAAGUUCAGGGAUACUAUAGUAAUUUAAGUCAACAAUUUCUGUGCUUGAAAUCAGCCGAUUGAACUCACUUUAGAAUAAACUGAUAAAUCAAAAUCACAUUCUCCGAUUCUCCGAUUUCAUGCAAUUCAUCUUAUUUCUUCAACUGAAGAAUGGAUUGUAUCUCGUUUUAUUUUAUUUUUAUUUUUAUAUAAAGAUAAAUAUAAAAUAUAAAUGACGAGGAGACUGUAAAAGUAAAAUCAAAAGAACAACACGAGUUUUAUUGAAAAUGAAUCUUUUCAUCAUUUUGUUGGAGUGGAUGUGUCUACAUAAAAACUAAAGAAGCACAUUUGUUUGUAUUAACUUUUUUUUUAUUGUAUUUUUAAUAAUAAGUCAUUUGUCAAUGACCUUAUAUCAAUUUUUACGAAAAUAAUAGGUGUGUGUUAGUUUAUUCAAAUGGCAAAACCUCUUGGGAUAGAGCUUGUAAUUUAGUGGCUCACGAUUUGUCUAAAUUGACACUACCGAAUUAUUGUAUUUGGUUAAAAAAGCUCCUACUCUGCUUUAACUUUAUUAUCCUAUGAUGUUUAUUAAUAAAUAACAAUUUUAUUGAAAAAAAGACCUCUUGAAAUGAUACAAAAGAUUUGUGAUAUGAAUCUCACUCGAAUUUAGCUUGAGGUUGGCAUUGUUAGCAUAAUAUUUGAAGAUAGAUUUUUUUAAUUAAAAAUCAAAAGAUUUUUUUUUUUUGGGGUUCAUACUAGUUAGUUUUAACUCAUAGUGAGAUUUAAACAAAAAUGGAAUAAUAAAUCUUGAUAUCCUGACUCAUGGAUAACGUAUAGAUAAGAUAGUAAAAUUUAUUGUGUCGAAAAUAAGAGGUUUGAAGUUUGAAUUUCGCUUACAUAGAUAGUAAGAGAAUCAAAUUAUUGAUAGAUUAAAUUAAUUAAAAAAUUUUCUGAUAUCCAAAACAACAUAUCAACAAAAUUGAAAUAAAAGAAAAUUGAAGAGGAAAACCAUUGAGUUUGUGAGAACGAAAAAUUAACACAAGAAAAUUUCGAUCGCUAAUUGUAUCAGCGUGCGCCAACUUCACUUAUUAAAACAUGGCUAUUUCAUUUUCAUGGAUAAUCAAUUUGACACCGGUCAAAUUUAAAAGUUUUAAAAACUAUGGGCGAUUUGUCUUUCCAGCUAUGCCCAUUAACUAAUAAGAGAACCGCCGAAAGGGUUCGGGGAUAAUAUAGUAAUUUAAACCAACUGUGCUUCAAAUCAUCAAAUCAAACUCACACCUCACAAAAGCAGAGAAAUCAAACGGUUUCCGACUCUACGCUUUAAAUUCAGCUUCAUUUCUUCAACUGAAGAAUCGGUCGUCUCUCAUUUUUUAUUUAUUAUAUAAAGAAUCGGUCACUCUUCAAGUAACUAACUUUUCCUCUUUCACUUCUCUUCAUUUUUAUUAGUUAAUUAAGAUCCAGUUAAUGUAAUUAAUUUUAUUUAAUCUUUUAAAUAAAGUUCUAGAUUAGGCUAACUUAGAUUCAUGUGAAGUUGAAGUGAUUUACUUUCGAUCUCUUUUUCGUCCUAUGUUUAUUUGUACUUACUAUUACUUUUUUUUUUUGGGUUUAAAUUUUCGUUUUUGAAGUGUUUACUGAUUAAAUUUCUGAGCUUUAUUUGUGUAUGAUGAUUGAUUUGUGAUUUUAAUUUGUGACUUUUUUUUUUGGAAUUUAAAUUUGAAUGCUUUUUAAGUUGAAUUGAAUUGCUGUAUGAUCAGGUCAAAUUAAAAUGUUUAAGCUCAUUUUUAAGAAACGAAUUCUCAAUUGGACCAGCCUUUCACAGAAGCUGAUAUCACAGAAGCUUUGAGUCAGAUGCAUCCAACCAAAGCCCCUGGCCCAGAUGGUCUCCCAGCAGUAUUUUUCCAAAAGCUUUAGAAUUCAGUAAGCGAAGGAGUUAUAGCCACUUGUCUGCAUAUCCUCAAUGAUGGAGGUAAUAUUGCUCCUUUGAAUCAUACAUACAUUGCUUUAAUCCCCAAGAUAGCAAAACCUAGGACUCUGAUGGAGUAUAGACCAAUCAGCAUAUGUAAUGUAAUUUAUAGGAUCAUUGCAAAGACUAUAGCGAAUAGGCUGAGGCUAAUCUUAGAUCAUGUUAUUUCACCAACUCAGAGUGCUUUUAUGCCAAAUAGGCUCAUAACUGAUAAUAUAAUUAUUGGGCAUGAGUGUCUUCAUAAGUGGACAAAGCUAAGUUCCAGAGGUGAGAUAGGAAAUUCUCCCGCACGACACAGCAGAAACAAACUUUCCCUUUCAUUUUCUUUUCUCUUUCUCGCUCUCCAAACAGAGCAAAAGGACCGUCACAAGAUUCUUCACUUCCAUCCAAAAUCAUGAGCAACAAAUGGUGAGCCUCCCUGUUUCCUUCCUUUUUUUUAUAUUAACCUUGUUAACAUAUACUCAUUUUAAUUUGACAAUACUUCAACUUUUUUUAAUUUUUUGCCUUUUCAUUUUUUUUGUUGAAGCAAUUAUCUGUUCAAGCUGUUGCUUAUCGGAGACUCGUCCGUCGGAAAGUCCUGUCUGCUGCUCCGAUUUGCUGUCUGUUGACUUUUCCUUUCCCUUCUUAUUUUCUUUUUUUAUAUUAAUUACUUUCUAUUUUAGCUUUUUGUUCUCUGAAUUUGUGUUAUUAAAAUGAUAAUUUAGAUGAUAAAUAAUUGUUAUUGUUGUAAAUUUCGGUUUUCAUUACGUUAAUUGUUAGCUUUUAGGUUUAUUAAUGUAAUUUUUUUUUUUUCAAUUUUUCAGGAUGAUUCUUAUGUCACAGCUACAUCAGUACCAUUGGAGUUGAUUUUGUGAGUCUCUCUUCUAUAUAUAUGUAUAUAUGUGUAUAAGUUAUAAUAUGAGUCUAUGUACGUGUAUGUAUGUAUGUGUAUGCAUAUGUGGAAAGAAAUGUUGGCAGACUUCAGCAUUUUACUCUUUUUUUUUUUGGCAGAAAAUAAGAACUGUGGAGCUGGAUGGGAAGACGAUCAAACUGCAGAUUGUGAGUCAAAAUUUCCUUUUAUCUUGUAUUGAGAGAAAUUCGAUUUGUCUUAUUUUCUUUGUUUGAAGAGUGAUAUGUUGAAAUGAGUGUAUUUGUCUUAUAAACAUCAUUUAGGUAAUGUCUUAUGUUUGAUUGUUUUUCAUCUGUUUAGUGGGACACUGCUGGACAGGAGCGAUUCAGGACUAUAACUAGCAGUUAUUACCGAGGAGCCCAUGGAAUCAUAGUAAGGAGCCUUCCCGGUUCUUGGUUUAAAUCAGAAAGUUUGUGAUUUACAUGUGACAUCUUAACAGCAUUGUAUGUGUUUAUUAACUUAUUUUUCAUCUUUCAUUAAGCAGUACAUUUUCUAUUAAAUCUGUAUACAAGAUGAUGUAGUCCAAGAAUGGGAGCCAUAAUAUGAUGCAAAUUGUCUAAUAAAUUCUUAUGACAUAUGAUGUUGUCGGAAGUAAAAGUCUUGCAAUGCUGUAUUCUCUUUUAAGAAAGAAUAAGUGGUAAUUUUGUUUUUCCAAUUUUUUAAUUGAGCAACUGUAUGAGAUUAAUUAAAUGUGUUGGGAUUUCAACAGAUUGUCUAUGAUGUAACUGGGAUGGAGAGCUUCAAUAAUGUCAAGCAGUGGUUGAAUGAGAUUGACAGAUACGCAAAUGACAGUGUAUGCAAGCUUCUAGUUGGGAACAAAUGCGAUUUAGUUGUGAACAAGGUUGUGGACACACAGACAGCCAUGGUAUAUUCAUGACUUUUGUUGCCUGAACUUUGAAUAUAAUUUUAAACUCUUCUCAAGUGCAUUUGCUUGGUAAGUUUCUGCAUACCCAGGACACUCAAACUUUGGACAGUCUGUAUCUCGAGUUGGAAUCUUUUCUGUCAAUACGACUUGUUAAAAUAAGGGUUGUUAUCUUUUGAAUCAUUCAAGAAUUCACUACUACAAAAAUGACCUUUACUGACACUUCGUUUCUGACACUUCGUUUCUGACACUUCGUAAAAAGUGUCAGUAAUGGUUUACAUUUUGGUCAUUUUUUCCAUUUAACAAAUAUGUAUCAUAAAUCACUGGUACUAAGGUGUCAGUAGCAUAAAACUCAGUAAUUACUGAUGCUUUAGUAUCAGUGAUAAAGACAAAUAUAAUUCUAAUUAUAUUUUUACUUGGACUCGAACUCAAUAUCUCCGAAGUUAAAAUUUUAAUUUCAAACUACAAGCCACGUGUGCGCAUAUUUUCUUUGUUUGGUUAAACCAUAUAUAAUUAACCAAAAACCCUUUGCCAUAAUUUAACACAAACUUUUCGAUCUCCCUCCACCAAAUUUUGUUCCCUCUCAAACAAACUAAAAUCCAAAUCCCUAAAAUUCCAAGUGCCUAAAUCCUUAACUCUCCCUAAGUGCUAACCAGUGACAGCCCCUCUCUAAGGCCUUAGCAGCACGCACGAUGACGGCGGCACACGUAGCCCGAGUACCGGCAGCCCAGCAGGUCGCACCACACAUUGCAGUAGCUCGCUCGCUUUCACUCUCUCUCUGAAUGCACACACAGCAGUGGCAGCCCCUCUCUCUCACGCUCGUUUUGUCGCUCUCACUUUCUCCGUCUCUGGUCACCAUCUCACCUUCCGGUCUAAACUGUUGUCGUCGCAGCCGCGUUCAGCCGUCGCCAUCGUGCCGGCCGCUUGAGACAGUGAGUUGAGAUUCCACUUUUUAAUUUUUUUUCAUAAAAUUUUUGCCUGAAUUUGAUUAGUCAAAUACUCAAAUUAAUUGCGUUGUGAGUAAUACUGUAAUGAUUUAAUUUGCCCUGCAUCCCCUGCAGAAGGUAAGCAACUCCAUUUUUAGGGUUCGUGUAGUAGUGUCUUGACUGAAUCGCCUUAGUAAUCAUAAGGUCAGUUUUCUCAAGAAGGGCAACUUCGAUCUUUUGGCAUUUUCAGUGCUGCUUCUGAAUCUCUGUUUACUGUAGCCUGCUUCUACAUGUGAUUUGAGGGCCAAGAAUUUAUCUCAAGGGAAAAUCACAUUAUGUUUCAAUUCUCUGUUUGACCCUUUUAACUUUUGAAUAUCAACAUUAUAUGUUUAGUGUUCCGUCAAUUGUUUUAUCAAAUACAUAGACCUUUGGGCUUUAGACACUAGUGUUCAAAAUUAGCAUCUAGUUUUUAUGGUAUCUUUGAGCAGGGGUUUCGCUUCAUUUGGUUGAAUAAAAGAUCAGUUUUCAUUGUCAUGGAUCAAAAAAAAAAAAAAAGGCCUUGGCCACUAGUACCUCAGGAGGUCAAAGCCAAGGCUUCCAAAGACAAUGUUCCCAUGAUCGAUGUGACUCAAUUUGGCUACUUUAAGGUUUUAGGUAAGGGCCUUUUGCUUGAGAACCAACUCGUUGUGGUGAAGGCCAAGCUUGUUUCCAAAAUAGCCAAGAAGAAACUUAAAAAAUCUGGUGGGUCUGUCGUGUUUACUGCUUGGGUUUAGUGUUAUUGCUUUUAUAAUUUUUUUUCUGUUAUUUUGGUUUCAGCUUUUGAGGAUUUGACUAUAUAGUUUUGGAUAUUUAUGUUAUCAUCGGAAACUUUUUGUUUUAUAUUAAGGCAUGUUAUUGAUUAAGAAGAAGAAGAAGAAGAAGAAGAAGAAGAAGAAGAAGAAUAUUUUGCAGAAAAUGUUUUAGUUUCUUUCUUCCAUUCGGCAUUUGUAGUAUUUAUUUGAUUCGAUUUCUGUCAUGGUGUGUUGAUUAUGCGGAUGAUAAGAUACUACCUUGCUCCUUUACUUAUGUUUGAUUCCUUAUACUAGAAACAUACCUCUAGUAGAGUUGCCAUUUAUCUACUUUAUUGUUGUAAAAUCUGUUAUAAAAUGUAUAAGCAAUCAUUCAUUUGAACUCUCUUUAUAUGCUUAAAAUCUGAAUUCAUGUACAAGGUGUUAGUGUCAAUGUUGUUGAUCAUUUCAAUAAGUAGUGCCAAUUUAUAAUGACCUUGGUGCAUUUCUAUUCAGUCAGUAAACUUUUGUCAUUUAAGUUGUUUAUUUGUUUAACAAAUGUAUAACUAGUUUCUACAAAUUUACUUUGUGUAUAAUAGAUGAUUCAAAAUCUUGGCAUAGAGGAAAGUGAAGUUUCUGAGGUAAAUAAGGUACUUUACAAAAACUAUACCACAUCAAUGGUUGGUCUAAGAUACAAUAUAUAUGUAAGUUUAAAUGCACUAUUAUUUAUAUACAUAUCCUUGCCAAAAAAAAAAAAAACCAAUAAAAGCAGUUUCAUAAACUGAUGUAAAUGUUGUUAUUAUUGUUAAUUUGCAGGCUAUCAGCUAUGAUGUCGACAAUGGUGACUAUCAUAGGUAACAUUAUUUUCCUUUCUAAUUCAUCUGAAAGUGUUAAUUUGCAGGGGCUGUUUCUACUACAGAAUAGCAACAAGACAGCCCCUGUAGAUUUCUAGUGGUUGUUUUCACUGCACAACAGCCCCUACAGAUUUCCGGGGGAUGUUUUGUUGCUAUUCUAAAGUCAAAAAAACUCGUAUAAUUUUUUUGGGCUAUUUUGCAAUGAAAAUACUUUUGAGGUUUGUUGAGGAAGGAGGGGAAUGAGAGCGGUAGUUUUUUAGAAGGCUUGAUGAGAGUUUCAUAAAUUUGACAAGUUUUAUGAGAUUAAAGUGAAAGAAGUUUAUGCUAAGGCUGAAAGUUUGAGUGGGUAAAUGGAUGUUUUGAUUGCAGAUUUCUGUUGUUUGAUUAUAAAAAAUAGGAAGGUUUUAAUUAGAUUGACUUAGAUGUUUUGUUUUCUGUGACUUGUAGCAGGUUAUCCAACAUGGCUUCUUUAGACAACUUAAGCUAAGGUUCUUUAUUUCUAUAACUUUCAGUAUUAUUGUAAUAUUAUUUCUUAUUAUUUUAUUAGUUGUUGAAACAUCCUUCAAUUGCUUUGUUUAACUACUCGCAAUCAAUUUGUUUUCCAUAAUCUAUUUCCAUACUAAUUGAUUUUAAUUAUGUUGUUGUAGGUGGGGAAAAAAUGAAGCUGCAUAUGGAUAUUGAGUGAUGUUCUUGUGCUUCUUUUUGGUGGAAACUAAAUUAGUACUUUGUGGUUGUUGAAAACUUAAUUUAGUACUUAUAUUUUUCUUUUCCAGAUAGUGGUGUAGUUGAAUCAUGUGAAUUUGAGUGAUGUAUUUGGGAUGUUUAUUAUGUGAAUUAUAUUGUGACAUUUUAUAUAUUUGAUAUAUUUUGAGCUUUCUUUUAGUUGUAAAACAAACAGGAAAAAUAUAAUUAGAAUAAAAAAAAUUUAUUAACCAAUCCUCAAUAACAUUACGAAAUACUGACAUUAAAUAUUUAAAUUGAAAUGAAUAUUUUUUGAUAUUAUCGAGCUAGCUUGUUAUUGAUACUAUAGUCACAUAAAUCACUGACAUGUAAAUAGUAUCAUCAAAUAUUAACAUUAUCGUAUCAUUAUUUUGGUGAUACUAUAGUGACAUGAAUUACUGAUACAAAAAUCACUGACACUAAAAAUUAGUGUCAGUGUGUUCUGGCUUGAGCAUCACUGACACAAUUAACAAGUGUCAAGAAAAGUAAUUACUGACACUAAUUUAGUGUCAGUAAAACCCAUUUUUGUAGUAGUGAUUGCAAUAAAUCUAAAGUCCAUAAAAAAUAUGAUUCCAUCAUUUUACUAUUAUAUCUAGACAAAACCCAUUAUUUUACUACAUUUCAUUGGCACCGAUAGUUGACCUGUUGGCUGACUGAUAAAAUAUCAAUUUUGCACUUUAUAUUAAUUGUUUUUUGGUUAAAAAAUAACACACAAAGUAUUACAAUAUUAUAAAUUCAAAAUAUAAAGUAGUUACAAAUAAUUCCUAUUAGCCUAUGAAUAUAAUAUUUGAUACCUCUAUUUGUGUAAUUUUUUUCCAAUGGUGAAAUUGUUAUUUUUUUUGUACUAACGGAAAUGUAGUAAAAUCAUAAGUUUUGUAAAGAUAUAGUAGUAAAAUGAUAGACUAAAAUACUUCUUGUAGUUGUUUGAUAUAUUGUAAUUCUUAAAGUAGUCAAUUGAUAAUAUCCCCUAAAAUAAAUGUUCGUAAUAUGUUCUCAUUUUAAUGCAACUGAUUGUUUAAUAAAAUUGUAUUUCUUUGUUAAUCUUUUAUCAUGUGCAUGCUCAGUGAGAAUUUGACUUGCUAGAACACAAGUUUGACUCUUCAUUUAAAUGUCUCUUGUAUCAUAUCCUUCAAUGUUGAGUGUGAUUCCAAUAAAAUUGAGUAGGGAGAUCCUUAAAUACCUUUUCCUUUUUUCCAAGGGCCUGCCAAAUUGCUCUAAGUGGUUCUACCCUUUAUCAAUGAAUAAUGAAAAUAAAAUUUUUAUUAAAGCAUUCUGUUCCUUAAAUGGUGACUAAUAGUACCCUUUUUUUUUUGGAGAGGAAAGCCAAACGCCCAAAGAGGAUCAUUUACUUUCCUCUAAUGUAUUUUCUAAUUCGUUUUGAGCCUUGAAUGUCUGUUUUGGUGCGUAUUCUCAUUCCAUGUCGAAUCUUAUCCAUAUGGACAACCCCACUUACAAAAAAGUCUAAUGAAUCUAUUGAAGUUCAUAUGAGGUUUGUGCUUUAGAUUUAGACCUCUCUCUCUCUCUCUCUCUCCACUUACAUGUCUUUCACUUACCUGUUUGCAUGCAUGCCCAUGCACACACUUUCAAGAUAAUACACGGUCACUCGUACUUCUGUUUUGGUUGAAUUACUGGCUGCUAACCUCUGUAAUUCAGUUUGAAACUUGCCACCCUUAGUGCUUCACUCAAAUGGUUGGUUAGGGUGAGAUCUGUAUCGUUUUCCUGGUCUCUUUCCAAGGUUAUCUAAAGGGAUUUGGCAGUCUGAUUCUUUAGGGAAUAUCAUUGCAUAAGAUAUCUAUUGUUUGUUAAUGAAUAAUUUCUAUUUAACUAGUUAUCUAUAUAAAUUGGUAAAUUUUAACUGCAUAAUUUGCAUGCAAUAAGAUUUUAUAAGAAUCUUGUUUUCAACGCAUGACUUAGACUAAUGUGAUAUGUUGAGCAUUAAGCUACAAGAUCUGCACAUCAAAGUGCUUCACAAUGUUAAGGAGAAAGCAUCUUUUUCUGCUUCUUCAUGUGAUUUAAAGUUUCCAUGGUACUUAUCUAAUAAAAUAUCUUUCAAGACUUUGGAAAUGCUUUUAUGUAUGACUGAGAGAAACUUGUUGGGUUGGUUUUUAGCAACAGACGGAGUUAUGGACUUUGUGUUGACUUGUUAUUGAUUAAGACAGUACAUCGGCUGAUCUAUUGGCAUCAAGCAGCAGAUGCAGAAAUUAUGGGUGGCAUACCAUUGUAUCCAAAUAACAUACUACAUUGAUUUUUCUGACUUUCUGUUGGCCUCCGAGUGAAAUGCAGGCAUUUGCAGAUGAACUGGGGAUUCCUUUCCUGGAGACGAGUGCCAAAGAUGCAAUCAAUGUGGAGCAGGCUUUCUUGACCAUGGCCGGCGAGAUUAAGAAAAAGUAAAAUCACUUAACUCUUUCCUUCUUGCCGACUGUUCUUAUUCAACAACCACCAUUAUUGCUGGUUAUGUGCAUUGUGAUGAAAAUUCUGCAAUGAAUAACUUUUUACCUAAUGUUUUCUGUUGGAACAAAUUACUCUGGUAGAAAAGCCCUACAGGGUUUGAGAAAUCCCAUGAUGUGAUGAUUGUGAGCAUUUUAGACACCGUGUAUGGGUUUAUUUUGUGACUAUAAAAUGUUAAGAUUGUUUCUAGUUUUGGUUUGUAGUGCAUAAAAGGAUUCAAAAUUUGACAUCUGUCUAAAUCAGAUUAAUAACAUGAUAAUAAUGUACAUAUGCAAGAUGUGAGGAAUUGUUUUAUCUCACCCCUAAACUUUAAGAAAUUGAAACAUUAUUAUUCAAAAUAUUUAACAUUUCCAGAAUUGAUAGUUGUCUAUUUGAGCAGUGACUGGUGGUUAUCAUGAACUGAUGUGUGGUUGUGGUUUCAAAUCUUCGUGAAACCUGUUGUCAUAUGCUGAUUAACAUAGCUAGUCUCUGAAACAAUUUGUUGAUUCACUAAUUAUGAGUUCAAAUUUGAUGCAGAAUGGGCAACCAGCCUACUGCAAACAAAUCUUCUGGAACAGUUCAGAUGAAGGGAUAGCCAAUCCAGCAAAACAGCAACCGCUGUGGUUAGCCGAGCAUCUUAUUUUACUUCUACAUGUUAGCUGACUGAUUGUAGACAGUUUUAACUAUGUUGACUGCAUUAUCUUAUGAAUCUUUUAAUCUGUCAAAUAUUUAUUUCCUGCUUUAAGUUCUUUCCCGUUUAUAACAAAUUUAAUUUCUUGCUCUAUAGCAUUCCAAAUUCCUGUUAAUUUACGAGGGAAAAAGAAAAGAGACGAAAUGGGAGAAAAUGGUCAAAUUUGUUAGGGGGGGAGAGCUGUUGAAGUAGUUUUUGUUCUUGUUUAUCAUCGUGACCCUCUUGUCGCUUAUCUACUACCUGGAAGUCCGGUCAUAUCGGAUGGGUAAAGUUACCGAAACGGCAUCAUUUUGGGUGAAAUAUCAUGUUUAUAUAACACUUUUGAUAAUAUUUUUAUGCAACAAAAAAAUGUUUGCAGUACCCUUUUCACAUUGUGAAGCGCAUGAUCGGAUGAGAGCAGUCUGGAUUCUGGCAUCACAAGCUAAUGCUUUGAUUUGCUUAGUUUGUUUUUUGUUUCUGAUAUUUUCUCGGCAUAGUGUAAAUGUAUGAAGAUGAAAUUGUUGGGUUGGUUUUGUUAUGGAAUUUGGUUUACUUCACUAACCAUUAAUGCGCAAAACCUCCUAACGACCCUCAAAAAUCCCGUACAUAAUUAAAGAAUUUCAAUUUUAUAUGUACAUAAAUAAAUAACUCUCAAAUAUAUUAUUUGAUAAUCCCAAAAACAACAAUUCAUUUUAAUAAAUCUCGUAGUCAAUACAUGGUCUAUAUUGCAAGUGUUUUCGAGACUAAUUGAAAAAGAAAAUACGAAGGAUAUAUAAUUGACUUUUACUUGUUAUAAAGAACUCUAAAUAAAUUCAUAUACGCAUCGCAGCUAAUUACAGUCUUGGUACUUCAUUAGGUUUUUGUUAAUUUUCUAUACAGUUGUGCUGUGCAUUAAAGUUUUGUUAAAUGAAAUCGGUAGUGAGAAUUAAUUAAUUAAUUAAUUAAGAUCCAGUUAAUGUAAUUAAUUUUAUUUGAUUUUUUUUAAUUCGAGUUCUAAAUUAAUCAAUUAAUUUAGAUUCAUGUGAAAUUGAAGUGAAUUAGUUUCAAACUGUUUUUCGUUCUAUGUUUGUCUGUGUUUACUCUUACUUUUUUUUUUUGUUUAAGUUUUCGUUUUCUUAUUGUUUACUGAAUAAAUUUCUGAGCUUUAUUUGAGUAUGAUGAUUGAUUUGUGAUUUUAAUUUGUGACUUUUUUUUUUGGAAUUUAAAUCUGAAUGCUUUUUAAGUUGAAUCUGAAUGUGUUGGGCUGCGAUUUAAUUGAGUGAUGUGUGAGCGCCAAAUAUUCAAUAACUGAUAAAUUAUAUUUAUAAAUAUUAAUAGUGAUGGCACAUAAACAAUUAAUUCAAGAACUUGCCCAUAAGCCACUCGGCCUUUGGCUGAGUGGUCAGGACUGCUGCCCUUGGAGGGCAGCAAUUCGAACCCUCACAAUGCAUUGUGGGGGUAUUUUCUUUCUUAAUUAAAUUUGAGUGAAGGCAGUCUGCUCUCUUACCCAAAAGUGAGGAGAGGGAGUAGACAUCCCUCGAAUAUUUGAGAGGGUUAAAAUCUGGGCAUCGCUCCAUUAGCAUUGAUGUAAGUUGGUCCCAGUCAUAAUCUGAUUUGUAAAUAUCAGUUAUAUUCUCAUGUAAUAUGAGUUGUAAUCUGAGUAAUAGUCUCAUGUAAUAAAAAAAAAAAACGAACUUGCCCAUAGUGAUUAAUUUAAAGAGUAUAAGUAACAUUGCAGUAAGUUGGUCCUUGCGUGUUUAAUUAGCAAUUGAAAACUACUGUUGCUGAUGAGGUAGAACAUUAUAACACUGUUGCUGAUGAGGCAGCUGGUAAUUCUUCUGGUGAAGAUAUUAAGACUAUUAAAGCUGAAAUGUAAUUAGAGAAAUAUAAUGCAUUCCCUUAGUUUGCUUUUUGUUUUUGAUAUUUGUUUGGCUACUGCGUUGCUUAGAUUGCUUUUUGUUUUUGAGAUUUUAUUGGCUUGGUCAUGGGGUAUUGUUUUCUCUUCUAAUUUCUAUUUUUGUUGUUAUGGGAUUUGAUUAUGGUGUACAUAUACGAAAAUUAUGUAAUCAAGUGCUUUCGAUAAAUCAUGAUCGAUUUACUAUUAAUUAAUCAAAUUUAAUUUACUCAAAUUACUCAUGUACACGAUCAAAAUAAUUUUAAUUCCAUAAUAUAUAUACACACGCGCACACACAAACAAAAUGUAAUUGACAUUGAAAUAUAAAAUAUUUAAAAUAAUCACCGUACUAACAAUUCACAAGUUAGAUUUUAUAUAAAUAGAUGAAAUAAUGUUACUCUUGCGAAUCCAGUCAUAAUAAAUUGAUUUUCAUUUCUAUUAAUUAUGUCGAACCAUGCUAUUUUAAUAAAGAGCACUUGAGAAUAUAUAUCCAACAGGUAAAAUUUCAAAACAAUAUUUGCCAAAGUCUGAUGAAGAGAAUAUACACGCACGCACAUAUAUAACCAUACAGCAGAAGGAUAAAUAAAAGAAAAUGAAGUUUCAACAGCUGAAUAAUGUAAAUUCAUUUUUUUUAACAAGCAUUUUAUUGUUUAAUUAAAAAAUUCGAAAACCCAUUAAAUACAUAUAAGGACUCACUGACGCCGAACCAUAUUAAUUUAAAUUAGUUUUCAACUGAGAUUAGAAUUUUGAAAUUACAUACACAAACACGCCCAAUUAAAAAGUAGUAAUUAUAAAAUAUUUCAGUACUCGUUUUACCAUCCAUUUGAGCAUACACAAACACACCCAAUUUGAAAAAAAAAAGUAGUAAUUUUAAAAUAUUUCAAUCGUCCACUGUUCAGUCACCAAAAACCAAUUUACGAUUCAUUUCAACGCCUAAUUUGAAAAAAGAAAAUACUAAUAAUAAUAAAAUAUUCCAAUCGUCCAUCCUUUCACAAAUCAAAAAUAUCACCAAAAACCAAUUUCCAAUCUAUUUCAAAACAAUUUUUGCCAAAGUCCUCUCCUCGGCUAAUUAAUUCAUACAUUAAUACAGUCCUCUGCUGAAUAAUGCAAACCCGUUACGUUAUUCUACCAUUUCUUAAAUUUAAAGCAUUCCACCAUUUAAUAAAAAAAUUCGAAAGCCCACCGACACCAAACCAUAUUAAUUUAAAAUAGUUUCCAAUUGAGAUUUGAAUUUUAAAAUUACAUACACAAACACACCCGAUUUAAAAAAAAAUAAUAAUAAUGCUAACAAUAAAAUAUUUCAGCCGUCCUAUGUGUUAUCGCCAAAAACGGAUUUCCAAUCUAUUACAACAUGAGGUAUAUGAGUUAACAAGUCCCAAUAUUGUCCUCCAUCCUUUCUGCACUUCUCUGCUAUCAACGGACAUCCUGCGAUCUGUAAUUGCAAAAGUGAGGAAGGCAGGCCCUUCUCCGGAAAGUAUUUGAGCUUGGGACAAUUAUGGAGUCGCAAUACAGUGAGGUUUUGAAGAUCAACAAUUGAAGAAGAUAGGCGUUCCAGAUUUGGAAAAUUGAAAAUCUCCAGAGACGUUAGAGAGGCAGGAAGAGGAAGCGCGGUCCCUAAUCUUUUGUCCUCUAGUGGAAAUGACACCAUGUCCUCAUCACAUCCACUGAUUAAAAGACGUUGCAGAGAGGAGAAUCUGUGAAAUCCCCGUCCCCGCUCAAUCAUUGACUUCCAAAUCUCCAUAUUACCCCAAAUAUCAAGUGACUGAAGGUUGGUGGGAAGGCCAUCUUCUUCUUCAAGGCUUGGAAGCGCACCUCCUUUUCCUAUUGUUAAUUCUUGAAGAGAGCUCAGAUUGUGCAUUCCCUUGGGUAAGGCCUCUAGUCUCUUACAAUUAGAUAUCGCCAGCCUCCUGAGUUUCGCACAAGGCAAUCCCCCUUCGGGAAAGGACACCAGAUUUUUACAACUAUCUAUGCUGAUUGUUUCAAGAGAUGUGUUGUUGUCCAACCUUUCUGCUAUUGACUUCAGCUUUGAACAACUCCAAACAACGAGGGACUUAAGAGACGAAGGUAGAUUGCCAACUUCAAGGGACUCAAGCCUGGCAGGUAACUCGUUUUUUGAAAAUAUACAUGUCAGAGAUGGACAACUAAUAAUUUCUAAGUGCUCGAGAAGAGAUGAGGUGUACCUUCUGCUGCUGCUGCUGCUGCUACACUGGAUACCCUCUUCCGCUGUCAAAGUCCUUAUAUUAUCGCAAUUGUAAAUCUCCAACUGCUUAAGGCUCGGUGGUAGCUGGACCGCAACAAUAUAUGUCAACG